AUGGAGAUGUGCAACUAUGGCUCGUGCUGAAUCUGGUGAGAAUUCAAACCAACCAAUUCUAGUUCGGUUUAGUGUUAAUUUUCGCAAUAGAUUGAAACCACCUCUCCCUCAGAAUUAUUUUGGGAAUGCUUUGGCAAAAGUAGCGACACCUGAAUGUUAUGAGGGAGAUAUCAUAUCAAACCCAUUAGGAUUCGCUGCUCAAAAGAUAAGGGAAGCAUCUCAUGCAAUUACUGAAGACUUUUUAAGGUCACAAUUAAAUGUUGGUUUAGGCAAAUGGCAAUUGGACAACAUUAGGGCUUUUUUCAUGAGUCAACGACACCUUAUAAAUACGCCCUCUGCUGGGGAUCAUAACAUUUUUCUCACAAGCUUGAUGACCAUGCCAGUGUAUGAAUCAGAUUUUGGCUGGGGAAAGCCUGUGCAUUAUGGUUUAGCAAGUCUGUUUCAGGUAAAUAGGGCAGGAAUUCUUCCAAGCCCAGAUGGAGAUGGUGUUAUUGUUAACAUAUUUUUCCAGGAAGCACUUAUGCAGCUUUUCAAAAAGUUGUUCUACGAGGAUUUGUAUGUAUCCUCAUUAUAGCACAUAUGGAGCUAUGAAAUAUUCUGUUAGCUACUAUCAUGGUUUUAAACUGUGGUUGCAAUCAGGAUCGUGAUGAGUCAAAAUCUUUACAUUAUGGAUAAUUACGGAAAAAUAUGACUGAUGCCAUAUCAAUUCCGGUCAUAAUAUGACUGUGAAGUGUCAAAAUACCUUGGCGUUACGAUCACAAUUUCAGUCGUGGAUCAGAAUUUAAAACCAUGACUACUGUGUAAUUGAGGACUUCUACUAUGUUUGCAGUUCUAUUUUAAAGUCUGUUUCCUUGUUUUUAGAUGUUGAUAAUGUGUUGUGUGUUUUUUUAAUUUACAUGUGAUCUGUAUUCCAUGUGAUGAAUAAUGUUCUUAUAUUGCAAAUGCACUGGAGAUAACACUCUUGAAUGAUUUUUUUUUUAAAUAGUUUUCUAUUUUAUAAUUAAAAAUAUUGAUUUAAAAUUUUUGAAAGAAUUUCAAAAAUUAAUCAUGUUAAAAAUAUCUGUCUUGAGUAGCAUUUUUUUAUUGGGGUGGUAUCUUAUAAUUAAGAGAAUACAGAUGAAAAUACAUACAAUGAAAGAAAAAGAAUAAAAAAAAAGGAAAGAUGUGGGAUAUAUUUUAUUAUUUAGUAUAAUCUAAUUAAAAAUAGGAGUUUUUUACUUUUAUCAGUAAACAAAUGAAGUUGAAAGUAAGUAAAUAAAAGUUCAUAUAAAUAUGCUACUUGAAACUCGCAAAAGUUUUUUCCUCAUGGCUAUUAAAAAAUAGUCUGAUCAAAAGUGUCAUCAUAUUAAAUUCCUUUCUUUUGCAUGCAAAUCUGUUUCCACAUUAAAAAUACGUGAGCGUAGGUGCUGCUUGCGUUUAAUAUUUUAUAUUAAAGAUAGAAAAAGAAAACUAAAGAUAGUAGUUGUUUAUAGUAACUCAAGUUUCGUGUGAUGAUAAAGUUCCUGCUUUCUUAAAUAUGAUUUAUUUUCUGUAUUUUUAUUUUUCAGCUUUAGCCCCUCUCAAAAAAAGCUUUAGUCCCUAACUUUUAUGAACGUUUUUCUCCUACUAUCCAGCUGUUACAAAAAAUAUAGAAAAGAUAUAUUACAUCAUCAUGAAUUAAAAUAAAUCUAAAUUAUAUUUUAAAUGUGAAAAAAAAACACUAUAUUUAUUUAACCCUUUAAAAGAAAACUAGCUAUAUAUUUUAUUUAUUUAUUUAUUUAUUACUUUAUGAAUAAUUAUAUAUAUUUUUUAAUGAACAAAUUCUCUUCUUUUUUUUUAGGCAAAAGGCUAGCGAGGUUUAUUAUUAUCUGUUUUUUUUUUUUUAAUUUGUCUUUUUGAAUCAACAAGGGUUGGUUCUUAUUCCUACAUAUCUCUGGAUAAUGGUGAAUCAUACUUACAUAGUUCUUUUGUAGAAAACAUUUUGUGUUGAAGAAUUUUGUUUUUGUUUAAAGUGAAGGGAUCAUCAAGAUGUUAGAUCUUAUACAUUCCAUGGCAUCUAUAGUUAAAAUCCUUUACAAAAAAUACCAAUCUCAACGAUAGGAGACUUAGCGGAUGUGAGAUACCUAUACAUAAGUACAUAGGAUAUAAAUGAGUCAAGAUGAGCUGAACACUAGAGUUUUUGGCUUGGCUUUUAAAAAAAAUGGAUAGCUCAAGCUUGAUUCAUUUAUUUAAGAUUUAAAUAUGUUUUUGAUUUAUUUAAUAGUAGAGUGUAACUUUGUUCAUUAGAUAGAGAAUUUUCUGUUUCUGUCGAUAUACAGUUACGCUGUUCAAUCUAAAAGUUUGGUUUUGGAUUAUCUACUGUCAUUUUCCAUAUUAAAAAUUUAAAAUCAGAAAAGAAUUAGAAUGGUAAAAUUUAAUUCAAUUUCAUGUAGAGGAACAAUGCUUUAAAGCUUUACCAGCAAUACAUAAAAUCAGCAAGUGAGAACAUUUGGAAAAUUAUCUCUUGUGAAUGGUCACAAGAACUGCGAUUAAAGGUUUUGAGUUUUGCCGGCCGCUAAAUGAGUCUUUGCCAGUUUGCUAUAAGUCGGUAAAAGAUGUAGUGGCCAUUCAUGUGACCAAUAUAGAGAGAAAAAUGGCCGCUACAAUGAGUUUUGGUGUUUAUAAGAAAUUUAUUGUUUUCUUUUGGGGUGAUGCUAUUUCGUAUGAACAAAACUUGCACGAAAUGAAAUAUGUGAGGCUGAGAUAUGUUUAAAUCGAAUUUAAUUAAUAAAGAUUGAGAAAUAAACAGUGUGAUUUGAUAUAAAUCAGGAUUCAUUUCCUUUCACGAAAAACCUUUCGUAAAAUUUAUCAUUUCUCUUUCUUUUAUUACUUCUUUAAAAUAAAAAUUAACCUAAAACAGAAGUAGAAUAAAUUACACAUUUUCCAUUAAAUAUGCUUAAAUUAGACUGCAUUUUUCUCUAGAAAUAUUCCCUUUGAAAGAAUAAAUGUGUUAUACAUUAAUUCAUUUUAUUAUAAAUAAACAUUUUGAAAAUAGUGAGUAAUUAUCAUUCAAAUUGCAAUUUUUUUGCACUUAAAAAGAUUAAAUUAAACACAAUACUAUGUUAAUCUCUCAAAUAAGAGAUUGUGUUUAAAAUUAAUGGGAGAAUAAUAAGAUUUAAUAAUUUAUAGAAAAAUCAGAGGAGUGUCGAAUGUACUCAAUAAAUUAGUCCAAAUAUAAAAUGUCUUAAAUUUGGUGUUCCUGUACAUGACAAAAGGUGUUCCUACUUACUAUUCUUUCAUUUAACUUUUACUAUUUUAUGUGAAUGCCUAAAGGUCUAUUUCUUUUGUUUUUAAAUGAAGACGUUCUUGCAAAGAUAAUUAGCGACAUGAUCUGCUUGCUUACAAACAAACUCAACUGAAGAAUUUUGCAUACACUGAAGUCUAAGCUUACAUUUUUUAAUAAUAGAACGAAACUCAGAAAUCAUGAUUUUAUGUGAACCAAUGCUAUCAAUGUCUUGUUUACAUAUACAACCUCAAAAGUAAUGUGAUGCAUAUUUUGCUACUAUGCCCAAACGAUAGAGUUUAAGAGAGCCACGAUGCCAAGACGUGCGUGUUGAUGCUACAAAAUGACCCGGGGAUCAUUUUUAUUGCACGCCCCGAAUCCAUAUCAUACAAGAUCGUUUAAAAAGGAAACGUCAAUGUUGCAUUUGUACUUUCCAUCUGGAAGUUUGGUCCAACUAGUAGAAAUAGAACGUACAAUCAAAAAAUUGACUUCUUUGAAAGGUUAAACGACAUAGACACAGGCUUUUAAUUUCAACAUCUUCCCAAACCUUUUCAUUGCGACGUCACCAAAGACACCAAAAAGUUGCUACUAACAGCUGCUGUUGAAAGGUUAGCAAGAUUCCAGUAAGAAAAGCAUGUAGUCUUUGAGAGAUUCUCCAUUUAGUAGUUAGAUUCUACAUUUGUUUACAGAAUUAGCCAGGUAGAACACAUAACUUCUGCAAGUUAAUUAUUAAACUAAUUAUACCUCACCACAAUAUUACAUACAAUCUAUUUAUAACUAAAUCCUUCUAUUCCUUUCCUUACCUGCAAUGUAAUCCAAAACAACAGUGAGAUGUUGUGAUAAAUUUGGUUAUAAGUAAUUAUGUAUAUAAAAAAUUAAUAUAGACAACAUAGUUUGUAAGUAAUAAAAUAAAUAGAAAAUACAUUCUAAAAUAUUUGAAUGGGAAUUUAACUGAGUUAAUGGAGUAAGGAUGUGUAAGUUAUUUUGAAUUAUAUGACAUUUGUGUUUGAUUCUUAAGGAUUAAAAAAUAAAUAAAUACAAAACACAUAUUUUAAAACAAAUAUUUUUAAAUUUUAUUAUUUUUAUUUUUUAAAAUUCAAAAUAUAAAGGUAAUGUAAAGUGAACAACAGCAGUGACAUAAACAUUAAUGGCCUGAGAUGACGUAACCAAUGAAUCAAGAGGAAUAAAAAAAAAAAGUCACACUCUAAAAUCACGCUACACCUGUAAUCGAAAGGAUUAUUAUGAUAAACACAGACCUCACAGUAUGACAGCUAACAGUAAGAGAGAGAGAUCAAGGAAAAAUAAUAAGUUAAAAGAGAACAUAACAGGAAUUCUUCCAAGCCCAGAUGGAGAUGGUGUUGUUGUUAACAUAUUUUUUUCAAGAAGCACUUAUGCAGCUUUUCAAAAAUUUGUUCUACGAGGAUUUGUAUGUAUCCUUAUUAUAGCACAUAUGGAGCUAUAUAUGAAAUAUUCAGUUAGCUACUAUAUCAUGGUUUAAAAUUGUGGUUGCAAUCACGAUCGUGAUGAGUCAAAAUUUUUUAAUACGGAUAAUUACGGGAAAACGCAAUUGAUGCAAUCAUAAUUACAGUUACGAUGUGAUUGUGAAGUGUCAAAAUACCUUGAUGUUACUAUCACAAUUUCAGUGAUGGAUCAGAAUUUAAAACCAUGACUACUGUGUAAUUGAGGACUUCUACUAUGUUAAUUUGCAGUUUUAUUUUAAAGUCUGUUUCCUUGUUUUUAGAUGUUGAUAAUGUUUAGUGUGUUUUUUAAUUUACAUGUGACCUGUAGUAUUCCACGUGAUGAAUAAUGUUUUUAAUAAAUUUUUAUAACACUAUGCCGCAAAUGCAUUUUAUAACGCACGGGAGAUAACACUCUUGAAUGAUUUUUUUAAAAUAAUUUUUUUAUUUUAUAAUUAAAAUACUAAUUUAAACUUUUUGGAACAAUUUCAAAAAUAAAUCAUGUUAAAAAUAUCGGCCUUGAGUAGUAUUUUUUAUUAGGGUAGUAUCUUGUAAUUAAGGGAAUAAAGAUGAAAAUACAUACAAUUAAAGAAAAAGAAUAAAAAAAAGAGAAGUGGGAGAUAUUUUAUUAUUUAGUAUAAUCUAAUUAAAAAUAGUAAAUUUUUAUUUUUAUCAAUAAACAAAUGAAGUUGAACGUAAAUAAAUAAAAGUUCAUAUAAAUAUACUACUUGAAACUCGCAAAAGUUUUGUUACUAUUGGCGAUUAAAAAUUAGUGGGGCCAAAAGUAUCAUCAUAUUAAAUUCCUUUUUUUUUUUUUGCCUCCAAAUGUGUAUUCAUAUUAAAAAUACGUGAGCGAGCUCCUCGUGUUUAAUAUUUUGUAGGAUUUAAUUAAGUUUUUUUUAUAUCAGAAAAAUAAAUUGUUUUUAGAUUACUAUUUAAUAUUUAUUUAUUUUUUCAAUUAAGUACUUAAAAAAUUUUAAUAUUUUAAUUUAGUAUAUAUCAUUAAUUCUUUAUGUCAAGUGAUAACGUGACAGAGAGAGUGUCACGCCAUCACGUCUUAUCUGAUAUCUCAUUGUCAUGUGAUUCCCUUCGAUGACGUGAAGUAGUAAUUAGGUGUGAUGGUGUGACGUUUUAUCUACCAUGUCACCACUUAACAGAAACUGAGUAACGACAGGUGCUAAGUUAAAACAUAAAAUUUUGUAAGGUAAUUAUUUGACGAAAAAAUGAAUUUUUAGAUGGUAAUCUAAAAAUGAUAUAUUUUUUAGGUAUGGAAAACUUAUUUAAGUCAAUUUAAAAAAUAUUUUUUUAUCUAACAAAAUAAAUAAUUUAAUUUUAGAUAAAAUGAUAAAUGAUAAAUUUUAUUAUUUUAUUAAAAAUAUAAAUAAAAUGGAAAUCGUAAAUUUAAGUUAUGUUUAAAAAUAAAUCUUAUAAGUUAAUAAGAAAAAUCAUUUCUCAUACACUUUUAUUUGAUCAAAUAUUUGUAAACUUAUCAAAAAAUUAAAAAUUAAUUAAAAUAACUAGAUGAACAUAUAUGUAAUUUAUUUUUAUAUAUACUUAACAAACUUUAUCCUAUUUAAUUUUUUAAGACAAUUUCUCAUUCAAAAUAAUAAAUACAUUAAAUUCAUAAGAUAUUUUUCACUGGUAGGAAUAAAUAUUAUUUGAAAUUUACAAUAACUCACCUAUCAAUUUAUUAUGUUUAACCCGUAUUUAAGAUAAAAUUAAAGAGUUAAGAUGUGUAUCUUUAAUACCUGAACAAAGUUAAGAGAGAAUCCAACAAGAUCAAAUGGUGGGAUAUAUAGUUUGGGUGUAGAGUGAAAGAAUAACGCGGGAAAACAUAACAUGUUGCAUGUGUACAUUGAUCGUAGACCACAAAACACCAAUUAUACAUAGUUUAAAUAAAUUUUUCACAUCUGAAAAACAGUUUGUUUUUAUAUUACUUUCAAAAAAUUCAUUUUUUUUGUCAAAUAACUAUCAGAAGAAAAAUUGUUUCAACUUACUACCUAUUGUUAGUCCCCGUUAAGUGAUGAUGUGGAGUAUUAGGUUAUCACGUCUAAUAAUUAGUGACAUAUCAUUGAAGGUGAUAAGGUGACAAUGUGGUAUUAGGGAUCAGACGUGAUGACGUAAUAUUAUAUAUAUAUAUAUAUAUAUAUAUAUAUAUAUAUAUAUAUAUAUAUAUAUAUAUAUGAUGUUAUCACUUAACGGAUAGAGACCAACAACUCAUCAUAAAUUAAAAUAAUUUUUUAAAAUACUUAGUUGAAAAAAAUAAAUAUAAAUAAUUAUUUAAAAAAUUUAUUUUUCAGGUAUGAUUAACUACCGAUUUCAUAUUAAUAAAUUCCUGCUUUUUGCCUCCAAACUUGUAUUCACAUUAAAAUACGUGAGCGUGCUCCUCGGUUUAAUAUUUUGUAUUAAUAAAUUCCUUUCUUUUGCAUCCAAAUGUGUAUUCAUAUUAAAAAAUAAGUGACCAUCCUGCUCGCGUUUAAUAUUUUGUAUUAAAGAUAUAUAUAUAAAAAAGAUAGUAGUUAAUUAUAGUAACUCAAGUUUCAUAUAAUUUGGCCAUUUUACGACAUGAAAAAAGUCAAAAUAUUUAAUAAUAUGAAAAUUUUAAAAUAUUUCUAAAUUACAUUGUAGUCUCAUAUUUUAUAAGAAGAAAAUAUUUUAUUCUCAAAAGAAAUGGUUGUAUUUUAUUAUAUAUAGAUAAAUACUGUAAUAAAAAUAUCAUUAAAUUGUUUACAUUUGAAUUUUUUUAUUUUAUAUUUAAAACUAAUAAUUUAAGCAUUUUGAAAGAAUUUUGAGUGGUAUUUUUUAUUAGGGCAUAGUAUCAUAUAAGGAAAUAGAGAUGGAAUACAAUACAAUAAAAGAAAAAGAAUAAAUAAAAGGGAAGUGGGAGAUGAUUUAUUGUUUAGCAUAAUCUAAUUGAAAGAGUAUGAAUUAAUUUUUACCAACAAACGAAUGAAGUUGAAUGUAAAUAAAUAAAAGCUCAUAUAAGAACACUACGUGAAACUUGCACAAGUUUUAUCCUACACUCAGAGGAUAAAAUAAAAUAGUUUGGACAACAAAAGCGUCAUCUUAUAUCUUUAUUUAUUUUUUGAUAGAGUUGCAUCUUAUUAAAUUGAUUGGUUGCGUGCAAACUUACAUCCACGUUAAAAUAAGCGAGUGUGCUCCUCGCGUUUAAUAUUUUACAUUAAAAAUGCUAAAUUAUUAUUAUUAUUAUAUAUGGGAUUUGUUGAUACGGAUAAAUCUUUUUUUAGUUGGUGUAGGUGUGUACACCAAAAUAAUUAGACAAAAACUUACAUCCACGUUAAAAUAUGUGAUUGUGUUUCUUGGGUUUAAUAUUUUAUAUUCAAAAUACUAAAUUAUUAUUAUUAUUAUUAUUAUUAUAUGUGGGAUUUGCUAAUAUGCACAAAUCUUUUUUUAGAUGAUGUGCAUUAUGCGUGUACACCAAAAUAAUUAGACAAAAACUUACAUGCACCUUAAAAUAUUUGAGUGUGUUGCUUGUGCUUAAUAUUUUAUAUUAAAAAUACUUUAUUAUUUAUUAUUAUUAUAUAUGUGGAAUUUGUUAAUAUGCACAAAUAUUUUUUAGUUGGUAUGCAUUAAGCGUGUAUAUCAAAAUAAUCAGACAAAAACUUAUAUCUACAUUAAAAUAUGUGAUUAUUGUCCUGGCGCUUAAUAUUUCAUAUUCAAAAUACUAAAUUACUAUUAUUAUUAUAUACGUGAGAUUUGUUAAUAUGCAUAAAUCUUUUUUUGUUGGUGUGCAUUAGGUGUGUACACCAAAAUAAUUAUAGAAAAAAUCAUCAAUUUUUUUGUUCUAAUAAAUUUCCCUUGAGGACAUUAUAAUAAUUUAAUAUAUUUUUUUUAAAAAAAAUCUUUCCUUUCUCACUCUCUCAUCUCUCCUUUCUCUCGGAUCCUUAGAACCCCAACAAUUACCUCGUUUUCUUCUACGACCCCUUUGUCGUUUCAGUCAUAUCUAAAUCCCGACUCCAACGGUUGUAUUCUAAUAACGGCUAAUUAUGAGUAUAUUUUGGGGUUAAAUUAUAUAAAAAUUUAUAAUUUUUAUCUCCUAAUUUUUCCUUUUAAAGCAAAUAAUUGCUAAAUUAAUAUCAUUUAAGUUUUUGUACAGAGAAUAUUAAAAGUGAUGAAUUUAUGAUGCUUAGUGAGUAAAUUAAAACGUAGUAAAACAAGCUAAUUAAGGAAAGCAAGGAAAGCAUGGCUAAUUAAGGAAAUAAGACUAAUUAAGGAAAGAAGAAUAAUUAAGGAAAACAUAAUAAAGCAUGACUAAUUAAGGAAAGUAAAUGCAGUCUUAGUGCAUGAAACCCACUAAUCUGUACCUAUAAAAAAAAAGAGAGAAGAAAGAAAAGAUACAAUGAAAUUUCAAGAAAAUACAAUUUCUUAUAAAAGGCAAAUGUUAGAAGAAGGUGAAACAAGCUAUGGGAGACAUUCCUUUUCUCGAUUUUCUUUCUUAUCUUUUCCCCCUUUACUAACUAUUUUCCUCUUACAAUUGUAAAGUAUCCAUGGCAAUGAGAGACUAAACCUCCUUUGUUUAGAACUUGACAGUCAACUACUCUUAAUGUAAUUUUUCUCCCUAUCUAUUUAUGAAUAUUACAUUUGCAUUAUCUUUUCAUAUGCUUAAUUUAUUGCUUAUGGUUUGAUUAUUCAUUUGCAUGGUAAGUUUCAGUGGUAGCAUUGAGAAAUAUUACUUUCUAAUACAACUGGGAAAUGGUAUCUAAAUAAAGUCAUCACUAAGGAUAUGUUAAUAUUUAAUUUGUUUAGCCUCUUAUACAUCUUUAUUCUUAAUGCAAUUUACUAUUUUAGCUUUGCAGAGGAAUUUGAGAGAGAAAAUAGAUAAAUUAGGUUCUUUCAUGCGGGAACCAAAGUUAGAGUAUACUAGUAGAUGUAUGUGUAAAUUAGAAUAAUUAUAAAUAAAUAAAAAUUAUUAACAUUACAUCAAAGAGUAACUCUGGUAGGCUAAUUUCUCAAUAUUCUCAUCUUCUGAAUUUCCUUCAACAAUAAUAUUGGAUUUUCUAAUCUUUUAUGUCCUUAAUUAAUUCAUGUUUACUUGUUUUUCUUUGAUUUAAUUUUCAACAAUUUAUUUUACUAUUUUCUAUUAUCUUUUCCAAAUCUUUUUCUUAAUUAAAUAAUCAUCUACCUAAGUAGAAACAAAAUUUCUAUGAAUACGUUAUUCGAACUUCCGUUUUAACUUUAUUAUUUGGGACGAAUUGAUGUACUUGUCAAUCCAUCAACACAUUCGUUAUUAACUAUCUUACACUCAUCAAGAUUUGGAAAUUCUUAUUUUAAUAAUCUCUACUUGAUUGAUUUAUUAUAUUAUUAUUAUGCCUCUCUAAAUUUUUAAAUAAUUGAAAAUAUAAGUUAAAUACAGUUAAUAAAAAAAUGACAAAAUAAAAAAUUAAUAACAUAAAAGUAGUGAAGAGCUAAUGUAAGUUAGGAGAAAAAUUUAAAAUUUAAUAAGUGAUUUAAGGAUAAAAUUAUCCAAUGAAAUGUGUGCAUCAAAUGGAGUAGUUUCUAUUAUUGAUAGUUAUAGAUUAUUAUUGUGGUUCUCUAAAUUUUUUAAAUAAUAAAAAAAUAAAAAUAAAAUAUUGUUAAUAAAAAUGACAGAAAAAAAAAUUAAUAAUAUAAAAAUAGUGAGAAUUUAAUUUAAGUUAGAAGAAAAAUUAGAAAUUUAAUAAGUGAUUUAUGGAGAAAAUUAUCUACCAAAUGAGAUAAUUCUUAUUAUUAAUAAUUAUAGAUUAUUAUUGUAAAAUUCAUUACUAUCAAUAUCAACUUCAAUUACCGUCCAAUCCGAUCUCUUUCAUCUUCUUUUUUUCAUUCUUGCUUUGUUUUUAUAAUUGCCUUUUCUUUUUCUUUAAGUCACAUAUAGUUAACGUUCUAUGAAGUUAUCUAAUUCAUUGAAAAGGCUGAAAAAUGGAUGAUUUGAUUAGGUAAAAUGAAUAAUGUAGUUAGGGAGGAUAGCAAAAAUUGAAGAGGGGUAGAAUGAUAAGAUGAAAGAAACUAACAAGAAAACUCACUUCGUCUCUUCACUGAUUGCGUGAAAAUGGAAAAUUUAAUUUCUGUGUGCAACUAUGUGAGAGAGCGAGAGGAGAGACAAAUAACUUUGUUUUUUUUUUUAAAAUAAUACAAAUCAAAUUAUUGUAAUGUCAUCAUGUGAAAUUUAUUAGAACAAAGAAGUUGAAAUGUUCUUUUUUUUUCUAAAUAUUUUGUGUUGGUUAUUUUCAAUAAACCUUGUAAAAUAUCAAAUAAGCAUUAUAACACAUUAAGUCAGAUUAUCAAGAGGUUUUAAGGAAUAUUUUGUGUUUUAAGGAAUACCUGGAUCCAUAGAGUUUGAUUAACACGCAGCGGAAUCUUACAGCGGUUACGAAUAAUUGGUUUAAUGACCUUCCUCAACCAAAUCACCUUCUUCCUUAUGGGACAUUUGUUUUCUCUUCAAAUGGGAAGAGAAGAAACUGUUUUAUUGAUUUGGUGUAUUGGAAACCAUAAUCAUGCCUUAUGUUUUAAACCUAUUAGGGUUCUCAUUAUCCCCUAAUGGGCCAAACUAGUUUCCACUUAUUAAGCCCAUAUCAAUUUUCUGUUGGCAGUCUAAUGGACUCACUUAAAUAGAUCACUUUAUAUUGAACCCAUUUAAAUGUAAAUAACUAAUAUAAAUAUUAUAAUAUAAUAUGUUGCCCAUAAUAAUUAGUUAGGAAUUAUAAAAUUCCUAACAAUCUCCCACUUGGGCUUCAUAUUAACCUUAGACAUUUAUAUCACAAAAUUCUUUAGGCGCACAACCGUAUGUUAUUUACUUUUAGACUCUUUUUAUACAAUCUGGUCCAUCUCAUAUAGCAACAGGAAAUCACUGUAGUUUUCAUCAUAAUUUAGCUUGACUAAGCCACAAUGAUCACCACUGUUACUCAUACUCGAUGAUAUAGAUCAAAUAUGGAUAAGCGGCAUGAAAAUUACAUACAAUGUGAUCUUAAACAUGUCUAUUUCCAAUUAGUCCAAACUUUAUUCUUUAUAGAGAUCAAUCCAAAAUGCAAUACAAACAUUGCACACAAAACGAACUCAAAAUAAAAUGAUAAACAUCAACUUUAUUUCUUUAGGAAAUCCAAAUAACAAAAUGUUUGUAAACCGUAAGAUAUAAAACAUGAGUAAGACUCUCACUAAACUAAGGUACUAUCAAGAAUUAUACUCAUAUGACCAGUGUGCUCGUGAAAAAAACUUUAGUGUCAUACCUUUAGUAAGUGGAUUAGCUAGCAUGGAAUGAGUUCCUAUAUGUUCUAUACAAAUAUGUAUUUUCUAAAUUCUUUAUUCAAUAACCAAAUACUUUAUGUCAACAAAAAAAAUAUUUUUACUUAGUUGAAUCCUUAACAAGAUUGCUAAGAUAUUGUCUCAAUAAACACCUGAUGGCUACUUAAUGUUGGCGACAACAGGCAAGCCAGGUACAAUAAUUUAACAAUCAUAAAUUCUAGUAUAAUGUCUCAUAGCAAAAUAUUAACUCCACCAACAUGGUCAAAUGUGAAUCCUUAUGUGAAGUGAUUGCUAUUAAGACAUUCUGAAAUAAUCGAAGUCAUAAUGCCCAAUGAUCUCUAAAAUUCUAGACUUUCGAUAUGAAAACAUGUAGUUCAUUGUUCUCUUCAAUUAAUGAAUAAUGCACUUUACUACUUUCUAGUGUUGUAUACCAAGGUUACUCAUAUAUCACCUUAGGACUCCCACAAAAAUAAUUUCAAACUCUAAAUUUUAUACAUGCAGAUUUCAGAUUCACACAUGAGUAAUUUAAAUCAUAUUAGUAACAACAACAACAAUUAAAGAAGAGAACAAUAAACAUGUAAUGCACAAAUAAUCUUUAUGGUAAAUUUCAAGACCCAAACAAGAUACCUAACGCACCAUUAAUCCUCAAUCUUUGGAUUGAAAAAGACUAACUAUAAGUGGUACUCUUAACACAUUGAUCAAACAUUGGUGAUAAGUCUCGUCAAACAAAGGUUGUCUUUGGACACUCCAUUGCUCACAUGAAAAUCUUAUAUGAUGAUUAUUCUGGUCAAAUAAUGAUUAUCUUUGAACAUUUCAUUAUUCACAUGGAAAAUCACACUAUUUAUAAUCACCACAUGUUUGCCAUUGCAAGCAUGUAAUUAUUCUGUCAAAUUGUGUCUUCCUUUGGGUCGAGCACACUUCACAUGAAUAAGUCCAUGCAACAUCCAUGUAAAUUCAAUCAAAUUAACUUAUGCAACAGAGGUUAAUUUGGCAACAUGUUGUUUCAAUCAAUUUAACCAAAAAAUACAAGACAAAUUAAUAUAACAAAUGGGAGGUCUUAAAAUUACACAAAUUUUCUUAAAAUUACACAAUUUAACCAAAAGAAUCCUUUGAAGAUACUGGAGAAAAGGUUUCUUUAUAGUCAAUGUCUUCCUUUUGAGUAAAGUCUUUAGCAACUAGACGAGCCUUAUAUCUCUCGAUAUUACCCUUUGAAUCCUUCUUGGUUUUAAAUAUCCAUUUACAACCAAUAGAUUUCACACCUUCAGGCAACUCGACUAGAUCCCAAACUUCAUUGUCAUUCAUAGACUUCAUCUCAUCCUUCAUGGUGUCAAUCCAAUUUUGAGAGUUAGAACUAUGCAUAGCUUGACAGAAGUUGAUUGGAUCAUCCUCUGUUAAACCAACACCAUCCUCAUGUUCUUGGAGAAAUAUAAUAUAAUCAUUUGAGAUUGCACUUAUCCUCUCUCUAAUGGACCUCCUUAAUGGCAUUUCUUGAGGUUGUUGAGGUUGUUCUUAAGGUAUUUGAGGGAGAACCCCAUAGUUGUCUUGUUCUGGAACAAUGUCAAUAGUUUGAACAAUGUCUUCUAUUACUAGAGUUGUGUCUUGAACGGUAAUAGGUACGAGGACUUGAUCAUUGUAAAUAAUAGGUUCUUCCUCAAAGACAACAUUCCUUAUGUUUUCUUCCUUCCCAAACUCAACUUCCUUAAGAAAUCUCGCAUUUCCCAUCUCGAAAAAGGAUCUUAAGGUGGGAUUGUAAAAUUUAUGGCCCUGAAAGCGUUUAGCAUAGCCAACAAAAUAGUAGCUAAUUGUUCUUGAGUCCAGCUUUCUUUCAUGUGGCCUAUAAGGUCGUGCCUCAGCCAAACAACCCCAAAUGUGCAAAUGUUUAAUGCUUGGCCUUUUACCAAUCCAAAGUUCAUAAGGGGUUUUGUUAACUGCUUUACUUGGCACCCUAUUAAGGAUGUAAACUGCGGUCUUUAAGGCUUCUCCCCAAAGUGACUCUGGCAAAGAGGAAUGACUAAUCAUACUUCUCAACAUAUCCUUAAGAGUUCGGUUUCUUCGUUCUACUACACCAUUCAUGCUAGGUUUUCUCGGCAUAGUGUAUUACGGAACAAUUCCACACUUUUUGAGGAAAUGCACAAAAGGUCUUGGACGUUGUUCUCCUGAUCUAUCAUAUCCGCCAUAGUACUCACCACCACGGUCAGAUUUGAUAGCCUUAAUUUUCUUUCCAAGUUGAAGUUCAACCUCAACCUUGAAAGUCUUAAAAACAUCUAGGGAUUGGGAUUUCUCAUGAAUCAAAUAUAGGUAACCGUAUCUAGAGUAGUCAUCUAUGAACGUAAUGAAAUAUUGUUGUCCAUUCCAAGAAGUUGUAGGAAAAGGACCACAAAUGUUUGUAUGUACUAGUUCCAAGACGUCUUUAACUCCUUCGGCACCUAAUUUCCUUAUGUUUGUUCGUUUUCCCUUUAUGCAUUUAAUACAGACCUCAAAGUCUGAUAAAUCCAAAGGGUCAAGAAUUUCAUCCAACACAAGUCUCUGAAUUCUUUGUUUAGAGAUAUGGCCCAAAUGCUUAUGCCAUAAGGUGGUUGAAUUCUCAUUCAAUUUUCAUUUUUUACCAUGUGAACUUAUUUGCAGUAUUUCAUUGAGGGACCAUUUGUCCUUCUGAGUGUUAUAGCUCACUUUGAAUUGCCCAACGUGUGCAGGAAGCGAGAUCAAAACCAAGUGCACGAGCAGGUCUUCACCAAGCUCUAACUUAAGUGACUUGAGUUUUGAUGCGAGAUUGGACAUCUCCAUAAUGUACUCCCUUAUGUUUCCUUUGCCUUUAUACUUCAUGGAGAUGAGUUUAGCCAAAAGGUUACUCGUCUCCGCCUUUUCAUUUUUGGCAAAGUAUUGCCUAAUUUCCUCAAGGAAUUUCUUUGCACUCUGACCCUCAGAAAUAGAGCCCCGAAACGCCUGUGGAAUAGAGCGCUUCAUGAUCAUAAGGCACAUUCGGUUGGACCGAUCCCACUUCUCAAUUUUUACCUCAGUAGAGGUUUCCGGAGUGGAAAUGGGUUGUUCUGUCCUCAAUGCCAAGUCCAAAUCCAUACAGCCAAGAACAAUUUCUACGGCUUCCUUCAAGACCUUAAAAUUUGUCCCAUUCAGCAUUGGGAUAGAAUUCACUUGGGCAGUAACAUUUGCAGCACUGGUAAUAUUAACUAAGCAGAGAACAAAAAUAACAUGUUCACAAAUAAUCAAACAAGUCAUAUAAAGUAUAUAUAACAAGACAUGCAAAUAUUUCCCAUAACAGAUUCAUCACAAGAUACCUAGCACAACAUUAAUUCUAAUCUUUCGACAGAGAAAUUAAUUUGUAAUUGGUACUCUCAACGCAAUGAUCAAAUAUUGACAAUUAGUUCUGACAUAUAAUAACCUUUCUUUGGACCGAAUAUUAUUCUCAUGAAAAAAAAACUUAAUAAUUGUCACAUAUUUAUCAUCGCAGGUAUGUUAUUAUUUGGCCAAAUUGUGUCUUCCUUGGGGCCGAGCACAAUUCGCAUAAAUAAUUGCAUACUAACAUCCAUGCAAUUUAAUUAAAUCAAUUUACACAAUAGAGGUUACUUUGGCAACAUAAUGGUUCAAUCAAUUUAAUUAAACUUAUUGGACACACAAUUAAAUGGAAAGGAUCCGUAAUGGUUAAANNNNNNNNNNNNNNNNNNNNNNNNNNNNNNNNNNNNNNNNNNNNNNNNNNNNNNNNNNNNNNNNNNNNNNNNNNNNNNNNNNNNNNNNNNNNNNNNNNNNNNNNNNNNNNNNNNNNNNNNNNNNNNNNNNNNNNNNNNNNNNNNNNNNNNNNNNNNNNNNNNNNNNNNNNNNNNNNNNNNNNNNNNNNNNNNNNUUGCCUAUAUAUAUAUAUAUAUAUAUAUAUAUAUAUAUAUAUAUAUAUAUAUAUAUAUAUAUAUAUAUAUAUGAAAUUGUGCCACGUACUAAAUAUCAACACCAGAUACGUAGAAUCUUUAUCCCAAAUAGAAUAAUAUGUCAGCAAAUGCGACACAAAAAAAAAUUGUACAACCCCGUAAAUCAAAUGCAGAGGCCUUUUAUUAAUUCUAAAGAGGAGAAAAACUUUAUGGUCAUAACACAUAAAUUUAGGGAUUUUACAAUUUUAUUGAUCAAAAUAGUUUCUCCCCAAAAUAAAAUUAGGGUUCAUAUAACUAAAAAGAUCUAGAUAUAAUACAUAUCAAACAGAGCUUUAAAUCCCAAUAAUCUAACAAUAAUGGUGACUCUGGUACCACUUGUUGGUUAUUUUCAAUAAACCUUAUAAAAUACCAAAUGAGCAUCAUAACACAUUAUGUUAGAUUAUCAAGAGGUUUUAAGGAAUACUUGGAUCCAUAGAGCUUGAUUAACACGCAACGGAAUCUUAUAACGGUCACGAACAAUUGAUUUAAUAACCUUCCUCAACCAAAUCACCUUCUUCCUUAUGGGACCUUCGUUUUCUCUUCAGAUGGGGAGAUGAAAAACUGUUUUAUUGAUUUGGUGUAUUGGAACCAUAACCAUACCUUAUAUUUUAAAUCUAUUAGGGUUCCCAUUAUCUCUUAAUGGAUCAAACUGGUUUCCACUCAUUAAGCCCAUAUCAAUUUUAUGUUGACAGUCUAAUGGGCUCACUUAAAUAGAUCACUUUAUAUUGAACCCAUUUAAAUAUAAAUAACUAAUAUAAAUGUUAUAAUAUAAUAUGUAGUCCAUAUAAAUUAAUUAGGAAUUAUAAAAUUCCUAACAUUUUGAUGUACAUUACUAAUGCAUACUAACUGAAAAAGAAAUACGUAUUCACAGACUCCUAUAUUUGAAAAUACUAAACAUUUUUAUUUCUAGUAAUUUUAUAAUCUUAUUAUCAAAAUAUUUGUUGUGUCUAGAAUCGUCAAAAAAUAUCUUAACUAAACCAACAAUAUUUUGUUACGUGACUGUUAGGUACAUCAUAUUAAUAGUCAACCUGCCAAGUGUCGUGGUUGCACAUAAAAUGAAGAACUAAUAUACAUGUUCCAUUAUAAUAUAGUAACUAAUCUUGUUUGUAAAAUUCAAUUGUGCGUGUGAGCGUUAGUAGUACUAGCUAGUGAAUACAUGAGGCAGCUACAAAAUUUAACCAUAGAGUUGAUGAGCAAGAGCAAUAGAUGUGCCACAUAAUAAACUCGGAAAUCAAUUCUCUUUGGUCGAACCAUCUUUAUUAAUGCUGCUGGUUGAUGAACGCAGAACCUUAUGUGCCCAAUUACAAAACCACUGGUAUUGUGUAGCAUGUUACUUAGUUUACGAUUAGUUCCUCGGUUAUUAAAUUAAACAAGUAGAAAACUUCUCAUUUUAGUUGAUACUCAUGACUUGAAUUUCGGUUUCUCAUGUAAUCCACAAUAUCUGAGGGUAUAUAUAGCCACAACCCUCACUCAUGUGUUUUCUCUACAAGAAGAUCAUGAAUUUAAUCUUUUCUCUCAAAUCCCUCGCUAAAUGAGGAAAUACAUCCCUCACUCAUGUGUUUAGGGAAGUUAUAAGGGACAUAUUCCAUCUCUAAUUCCUUGCUCAAUUGCAAAGGAAAAAUUUCCCUAGCAAAUUCGUCACAAAAAACUUCAUAAAAAAUUGAAAACCAAAUUUUAACUUGUUUGCGGUGGUUUUUAGUUUUAAGUUUGGAAUUUUUUAAAAUAACAACCAGUUUUUAGUUUUAGUUUUAAAAAAUUUUAAACCAAUUUUUAAAAUAUGAUUAGAUUAGUUCAACAACUCUUUUCUAAAGUGUCACAUGUAUUAAUUAGUUUAAGAGUAUUUUUGUAUGAUGUGAUGGUGAUUAUGUCAUAGCUGCAGUUAGGGAUACUAAUGGUGGUCGACUAAUUGCGGUGGCAAUGGUGAUAAUGGCAGUGGUGGUGGUGGUGGUGGUGGUGAUGUCAAUGACGACAUAGUGGUGGUAGUGGUAAUUGUGGUGGCAAUCGGUGACGACAAUGUUGGUAAUGGUGACAUUAGUGGUGGUAACGAUGAUAGAGGUUGUAUUAGUGGUGGUUGUCACAAUGUUGAUGGUGAUGGUGGUGGUAGUGACAGUGGUAGGGUGGUGGGGGUAGCGAUGUUGGUGGUGGCGGUGUGGUAGUGGUGGUGGUUGUGGCAACGUUGGUGGUGGUGGUGGUGGUGGUGAUGGUGACAAUGACGAUAGCGGUGGCGAUGGUGGUGGUGGGUAGCAAUGCCAAUGAUGAUGGUAAUUUCAAUGGCGAUGAUGGUGACAAUGACGAUAACGGUGGCGAUGACAUUGAUGGUGGUGGGGGUGGUCGUCGUAGCAAUGUUAAUGAUGAUGGUCAUGACAAUGACAAUGGUGGUAGUGGUAGUGGUUAUAGUGGUCAUGAUGGUGACAGUCAAUUAUGAUGAUGACAACCAUGGUGGUGGUGACAGUAGUGUUGGUGAUGGUGAUGAUGAAAGUGGUAUUGAUAGUGGUGGCGAUGAUAGUGAUGAUGGUGGUGGUAGUAGUAGUGACAACAAAAAGUGUUUUAUUCUUAUAACUAAAGUGUUUUGUUGGUGGCAAUAGUAGUGAUGAAAGUAUUUUUUUUUUAACUAAAAACCAAAUUCACAAUAUAUCUUUUCUUGUUCUUGAAAAUGAAUAUAAAAGUGUUUUGAAAAUUAUUUAAAAAUUAUUUCAUAUCUAUUUUUGUCAAACACAUCUUGUUUUGACAAUUGCAUUUGAAAAUGACAAACCAAAAACUUGCAACUAACCCAAAUGGGCCCUUAGGAAUAAACUACUCUUGCUAUUCAUUUGAAAAUUAGGGAGAGAAUUAAUCCGAUGCAAAAUUUAGAAAAAUAGAAUUUUAGUUAAUGAGGGAAUUAUUUCCAAGAAAAUCCCUCGCUAAAUAAUGAAAAAAUAUGUAUAAUAAUAUGAUGAAAAUAUAUAUUUAUAAUAAUAAUAUUAUUAUUAUUAUUAUUUCAUAUUAUACAUAAUACAUUUUAUGCAUACUCAUGAUGAAUUUUUUUUGGAUAUAAAAAUAUAUAAAUUUAAAAAUAAAAUAACGUAAUGUAUAAAAAAUAAUUAUAAACUGACAUGUUGAUCCUUGUAUAUAUUUAUAUAUUUUUGAGAUGAAAAAAUAUCGAUCUAAUAAUAUAAUUUCUUAAAACUAACUCUUAAAUAAAGAAUUAAUUUUUAUUUUUUAAAUAUUCUUACUAAUAUAUAGAGAGAGUGUGAAAGAAAUAAUGAGAUUUAUUAAAAUAUACUAUUCAUGAAUGCAACCAUAUCAAUAAAAAUACUAAAAUAUAUUUUUUGUUCUUAUAAAUACAUAAAUGUUUGAAAUAUGUUCUUGUAAGAUUUUUAGUAUGUAUUUCGUCCUCACAAAAUUAAAAUUUGUUGUUUUUUUAACUUGAGCAAGGUUUGGACAUCCAAACAUACGCACAUGACUUUUUACAUCAGUUAUAUGCACAACCAAUUAAAAAAAAAUCACAUCUUACAUCGGUGCAUGCAUAACUGAUGUAAAAAAAUGUCACAUUUACAUAGAUUAUAUGUAUAACCAAUGUAAAAAGUCAUCAUCAUAGGGUUCGGUAAAUUUGAACCUAUAUCCAAACCAAAAAAUAAUACAUUUUAAUUUUGUGAGGACUAAAAAUAUACUGAAAAUUUUGUAAAAAUAAAUUUCCAACAUUUUCAUAUUUAUGAUUUAGCCUAAAAAAAAUAUAAGGCCAUAUUUAGAUUUUAUUUGUGCUAUAAAUUUAAAGGUUAUGUCCUAUACUUUAGCAAGUAGGUUUGGGUUAGGCUUAAGCUUGAUGUGAGUCAUGAGUCGUAGGUUAUGUAAACAAAAUAUUAAUUCUAUUUAGGCAUUUAAAUGACCCCCUAACUCGAUGAAAAAUCUAAUUUGCAUUUGUGGUUUGGAUUGACAAUUUAGCUUAGUUGAAUGGUUUCAUUUUGUCUAACCCAAACUCGAAAAACUAGAGAAAAAAAAAAGAAAAUUAUCUAUUUACAUACGUGUCACCCAGCUGGACCCAAUUAUAAUUAUUUUUAUAAUUUUAGUUAUCUAUUUACUAUCUAUUUACUAAAUAUUAAAACAAACCACCUAGCUAGUUGGACACAUGGAUGUCAUCUCUAUCAAAAUUCAAACUCUGUAAUGAUUAAAGAUUGGAUCAUGUAAUUUAAUUAAUGACCCACUAGUUCAAGUGAACUCCAAAAAAUAUCUUUAUGCUUAAUUAACUAAUAGACAAGCACUUGCCUGUACCAGAGAUUAUGCCCUUAGCUCAUAUAGGUUCAUGCAUAUACAUGUGUUAAUUUCACUAUCCCCAUAAAUAUAUUUAGUUAUAUUUUCUAUGAUCAAAUAUUUUACUUCAACAUUAGUUUUUUGGGUUUAAGAUUAUUUCUUAUAAUAAGAGUUUUAAUUAAUUAGUUGCUAUAAGAAAACAUAUUUGGUAAUCAAUCCUUACUUUCGGGACUUUAAAGAAUAAUAUAAAAGCUUAUAUAGCUAUAUUUAUUAUGUUGACUCAUGCCGAUUAAAUUCAAUUUUUAAACACAGAAGAAUUAUACUACCAGUAUUUUAUUAAAUUCAAAAUAUGUGGUUCCAAACUAUAAAGAUACAUAUAAUAAAUAUUGAUUAAAGAAAUUUGAUUUCAUUAUAUAAGAGAUGUUUUUUCUUAUGAAAAGAUUAGAUUAUUUUCUAAAGCUUGAUUAUUAAAUUGAUAUCAGUAAGUGAUAAAAAUAAAUUUCUAUAAUACUGGUUAUUGUAAAUUUCUUCAGCAUGAUGUUACUAUUAAUUUAUUAUUGUUAAGAGUAAAUACCGAUGUCUAGUUUAUUAAUUAUAAAGUAAAGCAUCAGUUUGUUUAUAUCAUUCUUAGGGGGACAACAGACAUUUUGUAUCUAAUUGUAUUUUUUUUUCAUUUUUUUUAAACAAAAAGAAAGAUAAUAGAAAUUAGUAUAGAUGAUUUGCGAAGGUAGUUAUAGAAAUAAAAUAAUAAUUUAUAAAUACAAUUAUAAGGAUAAAAUAUGCAUCAAAUAUAUCAAAACAUCCUAUUUCAUUUGUAUAUAAUUACAGAUUAUAGAUUAAUGCGGUUUUACACACUCUUCCCCUCACCAAAAACACAUGUUCAGAACUCACAAGUAAAGCAGAAUAUAACAGCCUCAUUUAUAGAUUUAAUGCAAUUAAUCCUUUUAAAGCCCUUUCCCUUACACGUUUCAGCAUCCCCUUGACUUAAAAUGGAAAACUCUCUUUUAUAAUUGUACUGCCCUAACCAUAGAGGGAAUUAAAACAUCUCACUUUUGUUGUGAUGAACGGGACAUGCACCCUCCGUAGAAGCAAACCACCCCACACCUAAACAAUCUCAUUUCCCUCAAUUGCUAAAAAUAACACACAGGAUAUCUUUUAUUUCACCCAUCAUCUUCUCCCCAAAUCCGCAACGCACCACUUUUCCCUCUCAUCUUCCUUCAACAUCUCACACAUGUUCCACUUCCUCAUCCAUAGCCUCGGUCCCCUCCACCAACAGCCGCACUUCAUCACGAACCCCAUCACUAGAGCAAAAUUCAUCCCUCCUCCACCUCAACUCUUGAAUUCCAUGAUCAAAACCCAUAUGCAUACUGAGAUAUUGGAUUGGUCUAGUAGUAAAGGGGAAGGGAAAGGGAGACAUGUCACGAGUUUGAAUUCUCCCACUGACAAAAACUAACGGUUCUAACAAGUAGCAUUUUCCUAUUAAAAAUAAAACCCACAUGCAUACAGGGAUUGGCUCUAUCUGUUGGAAAUUUUCCUUAGUCCUUAUGUAAUAUGUGUUUUUUAUGCGGAAGUUAAAAGGAACAAGUAGGUUCUAACCUAGAACAAUUACCGAAGGUCCUAGGAUCUACAACAUAUUUGAUUAUUAAAGAUAGAGAAAUACCUGAAUUCAUAGAUGUUUCCUAAUCUAUGCGUUCUUCUUAGAAUCCGCUAUGGAAUGAUGUAGAGACAACAAAUAAAUAAUUAGCUAACAGCGUAACCGAUGGCUUCAUGAUUCUUCCUCAACUGAAUCUUCUUGAGUUCUCAACAGAGACCUUAACCUCUCUUCGGAUAGGGAGAAGAGAAAAUGAGUUUUUUUUUUCAUUCGGUAUAUUGGGAACCAUAUCCUUCUUAUAAUGUGUUAACCUAAUAGGGUUUCCAUUAAUCCCUAAUGAGAUAACACUAACAUCUGCUUGUUUAGGCCCAUAUCAUCUUAUUUGAUAGUCUAACAGACUCACUUAAUUUGAUCACAUAAAAUAAUAUCCACUAAUGAUAAAUGAAUAAUAUAAUUGUUUUAUAAUAUUAGCCCAUAUUAAUUAUCGGAAUAUAAAAUUCCAACAAUCUCCCACUUGGGCUACAUAUUAUAACAAUUAUACCAUAAUUCUUUAGGUGCACAUCCGUAUAUCAUUUAUCUUUAGACUUUUAGUUUAACAUUCUAGUCCAUCUUAUGUAUCAAUAAUGGGUCUACCGCUGCUUUUGUCACUACCACAAAUGUGACUAAGCCCUGAUGACCACUACAUCAAUACACUCAAUGUCAUAGAUCAAUAUGGAUAAGCAGCAUGAGAAUUACAUAUAAUUGUAGAAGCAAGCUUCGUGAUGAUGAAUCAAGUUGAUUCAAGUAGUUUUGAUGAUGACUAAGAUGAUGACAAAAAGCCCAAAGAAUGAUUUCAAGAUUCAGUCAACAAGUUCAAGAUCAAGAUAAAUUUCAAGUUUCAUGAGAAGAAAUCAAGAAGAUUCAAGAUUCAAGGAAGUUUGAUUUCAAGAUUCAAGAGAAGAUGAAUUCAAGAUUCAAGAGAAGAAAUCAGGAAGACUUCACAAGGGAAGUAUUGAAAAGAUUUUUCAAAAAACAAACAUAGCACAGUUUUGUUUUUCAAAAGAGUUUUUCUCAAAAUUUUCUAAGUUACCAGAGUUUUUACUCUCUGGUAAUCGAUUACCAGUUUCCUGUAAUCGAUUACCAGUAGCAAAGUUUGAUUUCAAAAGCUUUCAACUGAAUUUGCAACGUUCCAAUUGAUUUCAAAAUGGUGUAAUCGAUUACAAGAUAUUGGUAAUCGAUUACCAGUGUAUCUGAACAUUGAAAUUCAAAAUCAAUUGUGAAGAGUCAUAUCCUUUCAUAAAAAGCUUUGUGUAAUCGAUUACAUGGUUUUGGUAAUCGAUUACCAGUGACAAGUUUUGAAUAAAAAUCAAAAGAUGUAACUCUUCCAAUGGUUUUUAGGUUUUCUCAAGGUCAUAACUCUUCCAAUGGUUUUCUUGACUAGACAUGAAAAGUCUAUAAAAGCAUGACCUUGACUUGCAUUUGAACAAUAAUUAUUUUACAACUCUUAAACACAACUUUUUGAUAACCUUUUGAUAUCUUCUUCUUCUUCCUUUGUCAAAAGCUUUCUGAGUUUUCUAGUUUCUAAACUUUGUUCUUUCACAAAAAACAAAAGUGUGCUAUUCAUCUUUUUCACUUUCUUCUCCCUUUGCCAAAAAGAAUUCGCCAAGGACUAACCGCCUGAAUUCUUUUUGUGUCUCUCUUCUCCCUUUUCCAAAAGAACGAAGGACUAACCACCUGAAUUCUUUUGUGUCUCCUUUCUCCCUUUUCAAAGAAUUCAAAACGACACAGUCUGAGAAUUCUUUUUGAUUCUUCCCUUUCCCUUAAACAAAAGAUUUCAAAGGACUAACCGCCUGGGAACUUUUUCUUAACACAUUGGAGGGUACAUCCUUUGUGGUACAAGUAGAGGGUACAUCUACUUGGGUUGUUGUAACUGAGAACAAGAGAGGGUACAUCUCUUGUGGAUCAGUUCAAGUGGAGGGUACAUCCACUUGGUUGUUCAAAGAGAACAAGGGAGGGUACAUCCUUUGUGGAUCUUUGGUUGUAAAGGAUUUUACAAGGUUGAAAAGAAAUCUCAAGGACCGCAGGUCGCUUGGGGACUGGAUGUAGGCACGGGUUGUUGCCGAACCAAUAUAAAACUCUUGUGUUUGUCUUCUUCUUCCCUAUACUCUUUAAUUUCCGCUGUGCACUUUAAUUAUCGCUUUUACUUUUGGUUAAGUUUCUAUUUCUAUUCUUUACUUUCUUAACAUUAUAGUAAAAGCCUAAUUGAAUCUAGUAACAUUAAGAAGGAUAAGUUUUUUUUAAUUAGUAAAGGUUCACUAAUAAUUAAUUCAACCCCCCCUUCUUAAUUAUUCCGAGGCCACUUGAUCCAACAGUAAUGUGAUCUUAAUUAAUCAUGUAUAUUUCCAACUGGUCCAACUUUAGUCUUUAUUGAGAUCAAUCCUAAGUCUUUAAUUGCAAAAUACUUUUGCACACAACACGAUACAAACAAGUUUACUAAUAAACUCAUAAUCUUUAUUUCUACAGAAAAUUAAUAUAACAUAAAAUUUGUAUCAAAUAAACAUAGAACAUAAAGAAAGCUCCCACUAAACUAAGGUAACCUUAGAGACAACACUAUAUGAGGAACACGCUCGUGAAAAACCUUAUGUGUGAAAUCCUUAGUUAGUGAAUUAGUAUAUAAUCUCCCUCCCACAUGUUCUACAAAUCUAUAUUUGUCCAAGGUGAUUUCAUUCAACAACAAACAUUUAUGUCAUUAAACUUUGCAAUAAUUACUUCUUGUUGUUGAAGUACGAUAUGACUUACUUGUUUGUCACAAUGUAACUUAAGCGGUAUUUUAAUACCCUUUACUGUAUGCAACCAAGUGACAUAAAUACUUCAGUCAUAACCCAUGAUUGGAAGCCCUUUAUAUUGGCGUCCUAGAAAAAUCGGAGUCAGAAUUCAAUGAUCUUUAAACUUUCAAAUCUCUAAAGUUUGAGCACAUAAACUUUUGUUCUCUUUAAUAAUCCUUAUGGUUGAUUUUCAUUAAUUCAAACUUUAAUUACUUAAGUAUCUGCUAAACACAAAUCCAAAUUCAUUCAAAUAAAAUUAUAAACUACUUUAACCAUAAAUGUAGCAUGGGAAACUUUUGAAUUUUCAUAUUUACCUUUGGACAAUAAUUGAGACUAAAAUUAUCUCCUAGUGUUUGAGGUAUUCCAUGGUUUACUGUUUUUCAUGUUGAAUUCAAUUAAAAAUUUAUCGAUAUAGCUCUUUUUUGAUAACCCAAUGAUACAUUGAGAAUGAUCUCUAAGUAUCAUAAUCCUAAGACAAAAGAGGCGACCCCAAGAUCUUUCAUCUCUAAAUUUCCUUAGAGAUUUUUUUAUUUUUAGUUUCAUGCAACCAGCCUAUAUCGCUAGUAACCAAUAAAAUAUCAUCAACAAAUAAUACCACGAAUAUAAACUCACUCCCACUAAACUUGUGAUACCCACAAUUGUCCACAAUAUUUGUCUUAGAGCCAAAUAAGACAAUAUCCUAAAUAGACUUCGUGGUAUUACUAAUGAGACAACUUCUUUUAGCCAAUAGAUGAAUCUGGUCAGAUUGCAUACCAAUUUCUUUGGAUAACUUGAUACAAAGUUUUCUGGUUUCACCAUAUACAUUUGUUUCAUUAACGUUUUCAUUAUGAAAUACUGUUUUGACAUCCAUCUUAUAUAGCUUCAAAGUAUAAUGAAAUUCAAGAGCCAUGAUUUUCCUGGAAGAGUCAUUUGAAUGUGCCAAAUAGAAGGUCUCUUUGAAGUCAAUCCUUUCUUUUGACUAUAUCAUUUGGCCACUAGCUAGACACACCUUAUACUUACCAUAUUUCCCUUAAUGCCUUUAGGUAACAAGACAAAUUUCAAACCUUAUUGUCUAGUAUAAGAUGCCUCGACACUUAUUACUUUAAUCCACUAUUUUGCAUUGAAACUUUCUAUGGUUUAUUGGGAGUUGAUAGAACAUCUUUUAUUAUACCAUUUACCUUAUGUUCCUAGAAAAAUACUAUAUAAAUAUCCAAAAUAAUAUUUAUCUCUUCCUUGGUGGAUCAACACAAAAAAUUAUUGGUUCCUACAGUACUAGAAAAUAUAGAUUUAAUAUCGUUAGGUUAACAUUGAUCUUCAACAAAAUGGAUGUUAACAUAAACAUGGUGGCAUAAUUGCAAAUAACGUGUAUAUGUUAACAUCGGUUUUUAAUAAAGUUGAUGUUAACGUUAGUUAAUUAACAUCAGUUUUUCAGAAAAUCGAUGUUAAUGUAUGAUAAGUUAACAUUGGUUUUUUUUAUUUAUUGAAAACCGAUGUUAAACUUAGAUUUAAAAAUAUUAGAACGCGAGCCCAAAUUUUCCUCAUGCUCUCUUCUUCUCUGACUCAUGUCUGCUUCUUUGCUCUUUCUCUUUGUGCAACCUUAUCACCACCAUGCAUGCGCCUCUCUCUACAACCUUAUCAUCACUGUGUCAUCGCCACCGUGAGUAGGUGGUUUCUUGGUUAUUUUUCGCAACUCUAUGUCUCUCUGCAUCUUUUUGUGAUAUUGAAUACCAUGGUUGAGUUUUUGCCAAUGACAUUGACUAUGGUGGCCGCAACGUUCUUGGCUACUCUGUAUUUCUCUAUCUCGACUAUGGUGUCCUCGACUAUGGUUGAUUUUCUACUUAUUUUUUGCAAUUUUGUCUCUCUCUGCAAGCUUGUUUUUUGCGGGAUGGUUCACUUUAUCUUUUUUUGCGAGAUGUUUUUUUCCAGAUAGGACCAAUUUAAGUUGUGUCCUAUUAGUUGGUUUCUCCCACUCCAACCCAACUUGACACUAGUUUGUUGCUGCAAUUGUUUGUAAGUGUGAUUCAUUAUGUGUUAAAUUGUUGAAUUUUGUCCAAUGGAGGAGACUCUCUGUUGCAGCUAAGGCCUAUGUUAGUGUUUUGUACUACAAAAUCUAUAUUAUUGGUACUUAUAAUGUGAAAUUUGUUGAAAUAAGUGUUGUUAAGUUAAAUAGUAACUGGUUCACAAAAAUUUUGUAUCUUACUGUUGAUCUCUCCAAUUUCUCUGUGCAGAGUUGAAACUCGUUUUAGUCUAGCAUAAGCAGAAGCCAUCUUGUUUACUGCUUGCUUUUAGGAAGCCCUUGCCACCAUUUAGAAAGCUUAAACCAGGUUUGAAUGUUUAUAAUUUUGACUAUUAAAUAGUAAUUAUGUAAUGUUUUGCUUAUGAAGAUUAUGUAAUUGAGUUAGUGAUAACAAAGUGGCUUACAUUGUUUUAUGUGAUUAAUGACUAUUGCUUUGUAUGUAAUUGAUGUUCAUCUUGAGUGAACCUAAGAACCCCGUUUGAGGUUGAAUACAAUGAUUCUUGCAGACAGUUUGCAUUAAUUGUUGUACUAAAUCUUGAAUUUUCCAUUUGGACAGUUUGGAAAGAGUCAUAUUUUUAUGGUAGAUUCAUGUGUAAAGGUUAAGUUUAUUUUCUUAAAUUUGAUGAAAUUUUGAUACAAUGCAUUUCUAGUUGUUCUCUGAGUGCAUACUUGACUAUUGAGGAAUUAAUUUCACCGCUUUUAUGUCAUGUACUUGGAGAUCAAUGUGUAGAAGCAAGCUUCAUGAUGAUGAAUCAAGUUGAUUCAAGUAGUUUUGAUGAUGACAAAGAUGAUGAAAAAAAGCCCAAGAGAAUGAUUUCAAGAUUCAGUCAACAAGUUCAAGAUCAAGAUUAAUUUCAAAAUUCAUGAGAAGAAAUCAAGAAGAUUCAAGAAUCAAGAGAAGUUUGAUUUCAAGAUUCAAGAGAAGAUGAAUUCAAGAUUCAAGAGAAGAAAUCAAGAAAACUUCACAAGGGAAGUAUUGAAAAGAUUUUUCAAAAAAACAAACAUAGCACAAUUUUGUUUUUCAAAAGAGUUUUUCUCAAAAUUUUCUAAGUUACCAGAGUUUUUAAUCUCUGGUAAUCGAUUACCAGUUUCCUGUAAUCGAUUACCAGUGGCAAAGUUUGAUUUCAAAAGCUUUUAACUGAAUUUGCAACGUUCCAAUUGUUUUUUAAAUGGUGUAAUCGAUUACAAUAUAUUGGUAAUCAAUUACCAGUGUAUCUGAACGUUGAAAUUCAAAUUCAAUUGUGAAGAGUCACAUCUUUUCAUAAAAUGCUUUGUGUAAUCGAUUACAUGGUUUUGGUAAUCGAUUACCACUGACAAGUUUUGAAUAAAAAUCAAGAGAUGUAACUCUUCUAAUGGUUUUUAGGUUUUUCUCAAGGUUAUAACUCUUCCAAUGGUUUUUCUUGACCAUACAUGAAGAGUCUAUAAAAGCAAGACCUUUACUUUCAUUUCAAUAACUUUUUCAUAUAUUCUUUUACAACUUUUGAAUCUCUUUGAACUUCUUCUUCUUCUUCCUUUGCCAAAAGCUUUCUAAGUUUUCUGGUUUCCAAACCUUGCUCUUUCACAGAAAACAAAAGUGUGCUAUAUCUUUUUUAUUCUCUUCUUCCUUUGCCAAAAACAAUUCACCAAGGACUAACCGCUUGAAUUCUUUUUCUGUCUCUCUUCUCCCUUUUCCAAAAGAACAAAGGACUAACCACCUGAAUUCUUUUGUGUCUCCCUUCUCCCUUUUCAUAGAAUUCAAAACGACAUAGUCUGAGAAUUCUUUUGAUUCUUCCUUUUCCCUUAAACAAAAGAUUUCAAAGGACUAACCGCCUGAGAUAUAUUUUGUUUCCCCUUCACAAAGUUUCAAAGGGCUAACCGCCUGAGAACUUUGUCUUAACACAUUGGAGGGUACAUCCUUUGUGGUACAAGUAGAGGGUACAUCUACUUGGGUUGUUGUAACUGAGAACAAGAGAGGGUACAUCUCUUGUGGAUCAGUUCAAGUGGAGGGUACAUCCACUUGGUUGUUCAAAGAGAAAAAAAGAGGGUACAUCCCUUGUGGAUCUUUGCUUGUAAAGGUUUUUACAAGGUUGAAAAAAAUCUCAAGGACCGCAAGUCGCUUGGCGACUGGAUGUAGGCACGGGUUAUUGCCGAACCAAUAUAAAAUUCUUGUGUUUGUCUUCUUCUUCCCUACACUCUUUAAUUUCUGCUAUGCACUUUAAUUUUCGCUUUUACUUUUGGUUAAGUUUCUAGUUUUUUUCUUUACUUUCUUAACAUUAUAGUAAAAGCCUAAUUGAAUCUAGUAACAUUAAGAAGGAUAGAUUUUUAAUUAGUAAAGGUUCACUAAUAAUUAAUUCAACCCUCCUUCUUAAUUAUUCUGAGGCCACUUGAUCCAACACAAUGCAAAAUGCUACCAGAAUUUCUUCAAGUUUUAAAAAAUAGACUUAACCUUGACGUAUGAAUCUACUAUAAAAAUGUAUUCACAAAUGGGAUAGGGCCACACCUUUAAUGAGAAAGUGAGACUUUCAUGCAUCGAAUAACUUUGUGAGUAUCACAGAGUUAUUAAUUAGAUGGAUUGAUAGCUAAUGUUGUCCUUCAACCAGAUGCAGUCCCAAUUUCAAUCGCAGAUGCAAUCACAUGGACUCGCACUGCCUCCUGAGAGUGAGGUUAGUCCUUUGGUUGCUCGUGUCAGCACAAAGGAAAGUUGUGUUGAUGCCUCAGGGAACGACCCAAACACAGGUGAGUCAGAGAAAUAUGAAUUGUACGUUGAAGAAAAUCCUCCCCGUCUGGUUGCCAUUGGAAGACUUUAUGAGGGGUCAACCACCGUUCACAACAUCCCUUUGGCCAAUGAUCAAGUCAAGAUUGGUGUUGAGGAAGUUCGAGAUGCAGAUGCUCGCAUUUUUGUACCAACUCAAGAGGUUCAAUUAGUAGGGCUGACACUUAACACCUUUGUUGCUUAGCCAACACAUCUUGUCAAGCGUUUCUUAGAACAAGUAUUGCACUGUCAUUAAAUGCUUUUUUUUUCCAAUUAAAGUGUUCAUUGUCAUUAAAUUAUGUUAAUUAAUUGGGUUGGAUAAACAAGGAGCUGUGGGACCAGUGAAACCUGCAAAUCGACUGGAUCAUGAUGUCAAUGAUCCCCUAUAUCGGAUGACAUUGACCAUCCCACAACUUUUUCUAAAGUCGUUCCAAGUUAUGUGGGAUACUACUGUAUUUGGAGUGUUUAAUGACAACUUCCCCUUGUACAUAAAGCAUGAAGUCUAUUUGAAAUAGCAUACGAUGGUCAAUGUCUCAGCAUCUCUGUUAUACAAUUAUGGAUUCUGUAAGUCACUUUCAUUAUGGUUUAUUACCUAACUUAUUGUUUUAAAUUCAUACAUAAUUUAUUUUAUUUUCACAACAAUAGGCAUGUGACUAAGACAAGUAUGCGAGUGGGGAAUGCCGAUGUGUAUGAAUUCCUUAAGCCACAGUUCAUACCGAGAUCUAGGCAAUCACAAUUUGAAGCAGAAAGUUAUAUUAAGAAUUGGAUGCAAAAUUCAAAGAGGGAUGUAUACUUAGGAGCCUACUUGAAUGGGUAAGUUAAACUGAACAAAUGAAUUUAAAUAACUUAUAAUAAUAUAAUAACUUAUAUUGUUCUCCACUACAUUGCACAUUGACAAAUGUUUGCCUAAGGAAAAUAUUGUCAUCUGGUUUUGUUUGUUGCACAAUAGGCUAGACAACUACCUGAAAGAAAUUAUUAACAAGUUAGUUGUGUUUUUCAAUACAUUUACAUUAGCAUUAGUUGAGAACAUCAAUAUGUUAAUUGUACAAUACACAUCCAUGUUUGUAUUGAACAAUGCUUUGAAAAGAUUUGACGAUACUCCACAAAGUAAAUCCAAGGCUGCUGCUAGGUGGAUUGUUGUUAAAGUAAGCCAUUUAAACAAUGCUUCUAAUUAUAUUUUAUUAUUGUGUAGACUAAUUUCUACUUAACAUUAAAUGUCUAAUUUUCAUAAUGUAUUUAGUGUAAUAGAAAAAAAAGGAAGCAUUGAGUGCGGGUAUUACGUCAUGCACUGAAUGUCAACUAUAAUCUUAGGAAGUUUCAAGAAUAAUUGGGAAAUGGUAAUUGCUUAAUUCAACCAUAUUUCAUUUUGUUAUAAUUGGUAUUAUAUAUUAUUAACUUAUGUUUUAUUAUAUCAUGCAAUAUUUAAAUGAUGCUAGAUCAUUGGAACCAAAGAGAUUGAAGGCGCUUCGCAUACAGUGGGCAAGCUACUAUUUGAAAGUUAAAAAUGAAACAAUUAGUAUUUAAGUAAUUUUGGAAUUGUAGUUUAUUUAAUUUACAUUUUUUAUAAUUCAUGUAAUGCAUGCACAUUAAAUAUUCUUUUAAUUCAUAGUAAAUAUUCUAUUUUUAUAGAAUUUCUGCUAAAAACUGUCUGAAAACAGACUAAAAAUUAUUUGUUGUGGUUCUAAUUUUAAAUUUGCAGGUUAAUUUGGGGUAAAGAAAAAAUAGACAAUAUAUUAAAAAAAAUCCAAAAAAGAACAUCGGUUUUUAUCAAAAACCGAUGUUGAUGUUUACAAACAACAUCAAUUUUUGCAAAAACUGAUGUUAUGCUUGACUCACAACAUCGAAUUUUAAAGAACCGAUAUUGGUUAACUGUUGUUGUUUUCUGAUAACCAACACCAGUUUUCACAACUACAAAUUAACAUCAGUCUAUUCUAAAAAUGAUAUUGUAUGUAUAUAUUAACAUCAGUUUUAUCAUAUGUAUCGGUUAACAUCGGUUUUGGUAAAAACCAAUGUUGAUUUGUAGAAAUUUGACUUUUUUUAUAUAUAAUUCUUACUAUACAACAUCGGCUUUUUAGAAAACCGAUGUUGUCAUUUUAAUGUUAAUAUCGAUUUUGAAAAACCAAUAUUAACGACAUUACUUUCAACGUUGGUACUUUCAACAUUGGUUAAUAACCGAUAUUGAAAAUCCUUAAUAACCGAUGUUAAAACCCUAUUUUUUAGUAGUGUUGAUGUUGUAGUUCUUGAAGGUGUUGAGUUUAACCUCGAAGAACAAUUUCUUUAUCUUGAAUGGGGGGAAGAAAAACUGUAUCCUUACAAGGAUCCAAAUUUGCUACAUUAAUAACAACUUUAUGGAUUUGUUUAGGAAUUAAAACAAAUUUUUCCUUAAAGAUAGUGCUCUUUAACCUUAUCUCUCCCCCAAACUCAAUAUCCUCAAAGAUUUUAAUUGUUCUUUGUCUCAAAAAAAUUCCUUAACUUGAGAUUAUAAUCCAUACCUCUUUAUCCUUCCAGAGUAACUUAAAAUUUGAUUGCUCACUACUUAAGACUUCAAUUUCCUUGUGCAAGGCUUAUAAAGCCUUGCCUUAGUGGAUAUCCUUACAAUUGAAAGUAAUUAGUCAAUCAAUUUAACCAGUAUUCUGUCAAUAUAAGCUACAAACUUUAGUGUGUCUUUUGUAAUAACUCUAGAGAGGUAGAGUGACUUGUCAUAAUCCUCACCAUAUCCUUAAGAAUCAUCAUUAGGACUUAAUUAUAUUCUGAGAUCUUUCUUAUUGUAUAUGUAACUAAUGCAUUCAACACAUACAAUAAAAACUUUAUGGUCAAUGGAAUUUAAGAUUCCUCUAACACAAACUGAUAUACUCUUAAAAAAAGGUUUUAUAAAUGUUUGUGUCAUAAUGCUUUACAAUUUUGAUGGUCUACUUUAUACUUAGUGACACACAAUUAAAUGUUUCCAUGCACUAAAGCCAAAGAAUCUUUGGAAUAAACAAAAGAAAGAAAUAAAUACUUCUUUAAAUACUUAAUGUGCUAACAAAAGAAACAAUUAUAACUUGAGUUGUUUCUUUUGAUAUAUGUCCUUAGUAGCUUCAUCCUUAGGUUUCAUUUGUUUGCCCUUAUCCUUAGAGAUAUUCACUUUCUUUCUUGCACACCUUAUGAAAUAAUCUAAUUAGAAGAUCAUUUAGUCCCUUACCAGUUGUCAAUUGACUUCAACUGACCAAGUUGUGUGAAAGAAAGUGAGUACAAACUAAAAUAAAAUCUUUAAUGUUUUUAUUUGAAUACCAAAAUAAAAUUUAGAACUUUAUUAAAAAAAGGUUAAAAUCAGCAGAUACAUAAGUAAUAUUAUCUUAAAAAGAGAAUAAAAGCACACACACACACACACACAUAUAGUUUAAAAUACUCAAUGCACCAAUAAUAUAAGUCUUUGGACAUUGACAUUAACUGCUAAUAGUAUUUUGUUGCAUAAAUCAAAACACCAGCAAUUAAUAUAACUAAUACAAAUAAACCCCUCUUUGGAUUGAUUUAUCAUUAACACUAAACCUUAUAAUUGUCACAUGUUUACCAUCAUGUGCAUGAAUAAAACCUGGGCAAGCAUUAACCUUCCUUUGGGUUGACUAAUACUCGCAUGAAUUUGCACUCUCACAACACUCAAUCGAUAUAUUAUGAGUGAUUUUCAUGAGAAAAGUCUCACAAGUAGCUUCAUGGUUUAAUUAGCUCACUCGAAAUCCAAAUUUGCAAAUUUUAAGACCCAAAGAAGAUGCCUAACACACCAUUAAUCUUCAAUCUUUGGAUUGAAAAGAAUUAACUGUAAGUGGUACUUUCAACGCAAUGAUCAAAUAUUGGUAAUCAGUCCUGUCAAAUAGUGGUUGUCUUUGGACAAUCCAUUAUUCAUAUGGAAAAUUAAUUUUGUAAUCACCACACAUUUACCAUCGCAAGAAUGUAAUUGUCCAGCCAAACUGUGUCUUCCUUUGGAUCGAGCACAAUUUGCAUGAAUGAUUCCAUGCAACAUUUAUGUAAAUUCAAUCAAACCAACUUAUACAACAGAGGUUACUUUGACAACAUGUUGUUUUAAUAAAUUUAACCAAAAAUACAAGACAAUAUAAUUAAAAUGGUGGGUCUUAAAUUUACACAAGUUUUACACAUAAGCACAAAACCCAAAAUUGUAGGUCUAUAUCACAACCCAACAAUGACAUAUCACUGCCUAACAAUCUUUAAAUGAGAUAUAUCUCAGAAACUAUUAUUUUUUUAAUUUUUCCCCAAAUUAUUGGUGAAUUCACCCGUAACCUUAUUACAAGUUAAUGCAAUAUAUCCCAAGUCAUUCACGUCAAUUUCUCUACAUUGGAAACACAGGAAAAAAGGAAAUCCAAGUGAUGAAUAAAGUAACUUUAUUUACAUAUUACAAUAAAAAAACCACUAAAUCCAAAAUAAAUUUUCAAGAUUCCAAAAGAUUUAUAAUACAGUAAAUCACCAAUAUAUUAGAUAUAUAUUUAUCUUUAUCAUUACUUACCAUUAACAAUUUCACAUAUAUGUAAAUAUAUAUAAACAAAGUGUAUACUUACCCAUUUUAAAUAAAUGAUUUACUAAUUCUCAGUCCAAAUCAAUAUCCAUUGAUUCCAUUGCCUUUAUUCAAUAAAAAAAUGGAAGCAAUUUCUAUGUAUGGGAAAUCAAUAACUUUUAUGGGAGGUGUAAAAAAAAGAAGAAAAAAAAACUCGUUGGCUAAUUGCUAUACCACCUGAAUAGCGAUAAUACUUACACCAACCAUUCUUUAGUAUGUAAAACAUAUACAAAAACCACCAACCACAAGCCUAUAUUAGUCAUAUAUUGAUAUAUUAAUUAAUCAUGUGAUGAUCUUAAAACAAUAACCUUGUUACCUAAAAAUCCAAAUAUAUUCACAUUUGAUUUAACACGAUAUGUCAUGUAAAGCCAAACAUAUAUAUAUAUAUAUAUAUAUAUAUAUAUAUAUAUAUAUAUAUAUAUAUAUGUAUGUAUAUUUGCAACCCAUUGUAUCAUUCUCUUGAGUAUAUUUCACUUUUCCUUUCGGAUCCAUAAAACAAAAACUAAAUGGUGAAACCAAUACAAUGAACUGGAUCCAAUAUUUGGAAUGAAUGGAAAAUUAAUUCUCUAAUAUCAAUAUUUCAACCAACAAAACACGAUUUGAAAUAAUAAAUCAAGAGAACGCCACAAAUGAAAAAACAUCUUGAUAAAAUAUUUUUGGGUCAAGAAGAAUUUCUAGAUCAAAUAAAUAAUUUCCCCUCCUAAAAAAAGGGUUCAUUUAAAUGGGGGAAAAUAAUCGUUCAACCAAAACUUUAUCCAUGCAUCAAAUAAAUAAGAAAACUUCAAUCCUAAUAAUGAAGCAUUGAGGACCUGCUAUGAUACCGCUUGUUGGAAAUUUUCCUUAGUCCUUAGGUAAUCUUUGUUCUUUAUGCGGAAGUUAAAAGGAACAAGUAGGUCUUAACCUAGAACAAUUACCCAAGGUCCUAGGAUCUACAACAUAUUUGAUUAUUAAAGAUAGAGAAAUACCUGAAUCGAUCAAUAGGUGUUUCCUUAUCUAUGCGUUCUUCUUAGAAUCUGCUAUAGAAUGAUGUAGAGACAACGGAUAACCGGCUAACAGCAUAACCGGUGGCUUCAUGGUUUUUCCUCAAUCGAAUCUUCUUGAGUUCUCAACAGAGAUAUUAACCUUUCUUCGAAUGGGGAGAAGAGAGAAUGAGUUUUUUUUUUCAUUCGGUAUAUUGGGGACCAUAGUCUUCUUAUAAUGUGUUAACCUAAUAGGAUUCCCAUUAACCCUUAAUAGGAUAACACUAACAUCUGCUAAUUUAGGCCCAUAUCAUCUAAUUUGAUAGUCUAACAGGCUCACUUAAUUUGAUCACAUAAAAUAAAACCCACUAAUGACAAAGGAAUGAUAUAAUUGUUUUAUAAUAUUAGCCCAUAUUAAUUAUCGGAAUAUAAAAUUCCAACACUAUCAUGAUCUAGAAAACAAAAUGGGUGAGCAAAAUCACAAACCCCUCUCUUUUCAAGUUUGAGUCAAAAUAUGUUUGGGCUUGGGUGUGAAUUUUGGGCCACCAAAAGCCAUAUGGAAAGCCAUUUGGGUGUAGUACUCAUUAUAAGCUUUGAUUUGACAGGUUAUACACAUUGAUUAGACACCUAUGUCGAGAAUCAUGCCAAUUACAAGUUUGAGGAGAAAAACGCACGAGGAGCUCAAACGGACCUUAAGGGGCAAUCAGUGGAUGCCUUGCCAAUCUAGGUAUGGGGCGUGUGAGAUAGCCUAUAUGAUACAUAGGUGUAUUGUUACUUAGGACCUUGCUCUUAACGACUUAUAGCUCUGCUUUAUAAAAUUGUGCCAUUAGGUUGUUUGCAUGUUAUAAUGGAGAAAUUUGUUAUUUGCCAAUUGUGUGAUUAGGAAUGCUUCAGAGAUUUAAAAUAGAUCUCUAGAUGGCUACCGAGCUACAAGGUAAGGUAGCUCAUAGAACUACUUUACAGGCCAUGAUUGAAGGUCAAGGAACAAGAAUUAUCUUAAGAUAUUAUGGAUGUGUGUGUAUUGUAAAAACUAAUGUUGGAAGUGCAUUAACCCCUAUUAUACAAAUAUGACUUUAGAAUCUAUUCAUGAAUUGAAUGCUUGAAUUUUUGUAUAAUAUGAUUGCUUAGAAGUUAGAUAUACAUCUGACAUGAAAAUGUGAUUCUUUGCCAUGUCUAGUAUCAUUGUCUAUCGCAAUUGUGCUUAAUAAGCUUGACUUUGAAUACUUUGAAUGAUAGGGUUAUAUGCACAUCGUCUCAUUCCUACCACAUUAUAAGUGAGUUAGGAGUCAUUCUCUAAGUAACUUGAAGCUACAUAAUAAGAUUGACAUGUAAGAUAGUUAUAUCUCUUAUUAUUAAAGCAAAAAAGUUAUGCAAUGAAAUUUUCCCACCUUUUUUGAAUUCAAAUCCAGCCCAAAUUCAUGUAACUUCAAUAUCAUAUCAGAACUAUUGAUAUAUUCAUAACAACAACAACAAAGUGUCACCUGUGUAUCGCACGGGUCACCCAACUAGUUAUAUGCUAAUGCUAGAUAUAUGAAUUGUGCUAGUGUUGGUGUGAGAGUGCACUUGCUUGAAUCGCUGAUGUGACUAUUUGUUGGGAAGAUUAAUGAUUUUGUUUCCUUGGGUUAACCAAGACAAUUAUUGUUUGUGAUAGCGUCGACUUCUCUAGUGAUAGCAUCGACGCUUGCUCAUCAAGCCCACUUCAAAUCUCCAUCUAUUGCGAGCAUACCUAUUAUAUAGAAAGGUUUAAAGAAUAAGUCUGAUGUCUUUUAUUCAUAGAAUAGUGUAGUGUGUGUGUGUGUGUGUGUGUGUGUGUGUGUGUGUGUGUGUGUGUGUGUGUGUGUGUGUGUGUAUAUAUAAGGGUCCUAUAAUUCCUCAUAUAUUAAAGGAAUGAUAGCUGCACAAAUUACCUCAGUUGUAAUAAAGCCUAAGUUACAAUUAACAUAAUAUUUGAUUGCCUAAUAUUAGCUAAUAAAAUAUUUGACAUAUCUUAACACUCCUACUCAAGUUGGUGUAUAGAUAUCACACAUUCCCAACUUGAAUAGAGACUCAUUAAACACUCUACGUGACACUUCUUUGGUGAGAACAUAAGCCAACUGCAAUUUAGAUCUUACAAUGGGAAUGAUUAUUCUAGCUUCAAGCUUCUCUUUGAUGAAAUGUCUAUCAAUCUCCAAAUGCUUUGUUCUAUCAUGUUGGACAGGAUUAUGAGCAAUUGCUAUAGCCGUCCUAUUGUCACAGUACAAACUCAUAGUUUCAUUUGGUUUAAAGCCUAAAUCUAAUAGCACAUUUUUACCCCACAAAAGUUCACAUACACCAAGUGCCAUGCCUCUGAAUUCUGCUUCAGCACUAGAUCUUGCUACCACAGGUUGUUUUUUACUCCUCUAAGUUACAAGAUUCCCUCCUACAAAACUAAAGUAUCCAGAGGUAGAUCUUCUAUUAUCUUUUGAACCUACCCAAUUUGCAUCAGUGUACCCUUCUACCUUUAAGUUUCCAUGAUUUGAGAACAAAAUUCCUUUUCCAAGAGUGGACUUCAAAUAUCUCAAAAUCCUCUCGACAACAUCUAUAUGAAGCUUUCAUGGGUCAUGCAUAAAUUGACUAAUGACAUGCACUACAUAGGUAAUAUUUGGACGUAUAUGGGACAAAUAAAUUAGUUUUCCUACCAGCCUUUGGUAUCUCCCUCUGUCUAUGCUUGCUGAAUUUGAGCAUUAAAAGAGUUUAUGAUUUUGUUCAAUUGGUGUAUCAACUAGUUUACUUCCAAGUAGCCCAGUUUCUGAUAGUAAGUCAAGAGUAUAUUUUCUUUGGCAUAGAAAGAUACCAUGUUUUGAUCUAGCUACUUCAAUACCCAAAAAUUAUUUGAGGUUUCCAAGUUGUUUCAUCUCAAAUUUUGAUGCAAGGUAUUGUUGCAAACCAGAAAUCUCAUGUUGGUCAUUUCCUGUAACAAUUAUGUCAUCUACAUAUAUAAUCAAAGCUGUAAUUUUUCCUUCUAAAAUUUCUCCAUGUAGAAAAGCAUUUUUCACAUCAAAUUGUAGAAAAGGCCAAUAUUGGUUUGCUUGCUAGUGACAAAAAUAUUCUCAAAGUGUUGAGCUUGGCUACCGGUGCGAACAUCUCUUGGUAAUCUACACCAUAAGACUGACUGUAAUCUUUAGCCAUAAGUCGUGCUUUAUACCUCUCAAUAGUUCCAUCAGCUUUGUGUUUGAUUGUAAAUACCCAUUUGCAGCCCAUAGUUUUCUUCCCUCUUGGUAAGGACACAAGAUCCCAAGUGUUUUUUUUUUUUUCUAAAGUUGGCAUCUCAUCAACCAUUGCUUCGCUCCAUCUAGGAUCUGCCAAAGCUUCAUGUAUAUUACUAGGAGUAAAAAUUGAAGAUAAUUGAGAUAUAAAUGAUGCAUAUUACUGGGAUAACUUGUGAUAUGACACAUAUUUACUAAUGGGAUAUUUAACUUUGACUUAGAGGUCUGGUUCAUAUUUAGCUGGAGGUUGACCACGAUUAGAGCAGGGUGAAAGAUUAUAUAGGACAGUAAUAGACUCAUUGUUUGGUGUGUUGGUGGUCUCACACAGACAAGGAUCAAUUUCAUGAUCGGUUUCAUCUAAAUUAGUAUUAUCAAGGGUAGGAUCAAGAGAAAUAAUUUCAUGAUUAAUUUCAUCUACAUUAGUAUUAUCAGAGAUAGGAUCAGAAGGUACCUCUGAAGAGUCAAGCCGAACCUGUGGAGAAGAUUGAACCAAUUGGUUAUGAUUAGAAGACACUAUAUUAUCCAAAAAAGAAGUGUCCAUCUUUAGGAUUGGCUCACUUCCUGCAGAAUGAUCCUCACACGAUAAUUUAUCUUCAUAAUAUAAUUUUAUAUCUGAGAUAUCAAACAUACUAACAUCAUGAUUAUGUGUUUCACUUUCAUUUCCUCCAUGAAGUGUAGAAUCAACAUAAAAAAUUUAUGCUCAUUAAAUGUCACAUCCAUAGAGAUAUAAAAUUUCUUUGAUGGUGGAUGGUUAGCACGAUAACCUUUUUGAGUUGAUCCAUACCCAACAAAAACACAUUUGAUAGCACGUUCUUCAAGCUUUGUACAUUGAUAUGCGUGUAAGUGAACAAAUAUAACACAUCCAAAAACAUGAGGUGGUAAAUAAACCAUGGAAGGAAGGAUACAAUGAUCAAACAACACAUCUAGAGGCCUUCUCAAGUUAAGCACCUCUAGAAAGGGUUCGAUUAAUCAAAUAAACUGUAGAGCUCACAGCCUCACCCCAUAAAUGAGAUGGGACAUUACCAUCUAUCAAAAGUAAUCUUGUCACCUCUAAUAUAUGUCUAUUUUUCCUUUUAGCCACUUCAUUUUGUUGUGGUGAAUAAGGGCAUGUAGUUUGAUGCAAGAUACCAUUAAAGUUCAUGAACUCUAUUAAUUCAGUCUUAAAAUAUUCCCCUCAAUUGUCUAAUCUAAUGACCUUAAUAUAUGUGUUAAAUUGUGUAGCUAUCAUCUGAUGAAAGGAACAAAAAAUAUCACACACAUCACUUUUAUGUUUAAGCAAAUACACCCAGGUUACCCGAGUACAAUCAUCAACAAAACUGAUAAACCAUUUUUUUUCCAUUAUGCGUAGAUUGUGGGGCAGGGCCCCAAACAUCUGGGUGAAUUAAUGAAAAAGGAAAAUCAGUUUUUUUAUUGCUUAAAGGAAACACAGAACGAUGGCUUUUUUCCUUUACACAAGUUUCACAAAGAAAAUCAGAAAUAUUGCAUUUAUGAAAUAGUAAUGGAAAUAAAUUUUUUUAGAUAACCAAAAGAGGGAUGUCCCACUCGUCUAUGCCAUAGCCAUAUUUCCUUUUUGUUUUUAUCUUAUAUGUGUUGAUUUGCAAGACAAACCAAUGCUCCUUUAUGGGUUUGUUGUGAGACAUUUUCCAGAUAAUACAGUCUUUCACUCUCUCUACCACUGCCAAUCUUCUCCUUGGAAUGGAUGGUCUGAAAAAGACAAUGGGUUGGAUAAAACGAGGCAACACAAGAAUGUGAUUUGGUUAAUUUUCUAACAGAGAGAAGAUUACAGUUCAAUGUAGGAACAAAUAAAACAUCAAGAAUCGAUAAGGAGUGUGAGAGGCAUACAGUACCUACACCUUCAAUAGGAGAUGAGACCCCAUUGGCAUUAAUAAUAAUAGUUUUAGAACAACCAGGGAAAAAACUAGUAAAUUUAUGAGGAUCACAAGUCUUAUGAUCAGUGGCACCUGAAUCAAUUAUCUAAUCACUACCCCUAGUAACAACAGAAAGAUUAAUAUCAGAGUUAGAUAUACCUGACUUGGUCACAAAUCCGGCAGCAGUAGAAAUAUGGCUCUUGGAAGUAGCGUCUACCUUGGUAUUGGGAGUAGUUUUGCCUUUUGGAUGCCAAUCUAGAUAGCCAUGGAGUUUAAAACAUGUCUCCAUGACAUGAUUAUCCCCAUUGCAGUGGGUGCACUUACGGAUUCCUUUCUUAGAAUACUUCUUAACAACAAAGGCAGUCCCUAUAGUAGACUCACUAUCAAGCAUAGCCUCUUGGUGGUUUGCCUCGGCACAAACAGUUGCAUAAACUGAUUGAAGAUUUGGAAGGGGAGUGGUAGUAAGGAUACGACCAUGAAUUUCUGAUCGAGGCCGUACCCGAAUCAAAUAAACAUUAAAAAUGCAGUAUCUAGGAAGUGAUCUUAGGUCGUCUCCCAACGAGCAAUGGUCAACCAAACGUUCAUAACAGAUAGUAAUAAAACAGUAACGAAUUAGGGGGUUGUUUGUUUUUGUAAAUUAAACAACAAGCAAAUUUGAAUUAGAAAAUAACAGAAUUAAAACAUGUUGUUUUCCCUUGAUUCACAAGCAAGUCUCUUAUCCUAGGUUACGAGAAUUUAUCCUUAAUCAGUUGAAUCACUUAAUCCAACCCUAAAUUAAAUUACUAAGCGAAAAUUAACAUAAGGCUGUCAUUAUGUGAUUAAGCAACACAUACACCAAUUAAUCAUGAACAAAACUAAUCAUUAAGCAUGAACAUAAAUUAAGCGCAGAGACAAUUAAUCAAGCACUAAGCAUGCAUGGAUUAAUAACAACAAAUACAGAGUGAUUGGUGAAGAGGAAAAACUGAUCAGAAUUCAAUAGUAAUAACAAAACCUCAAAGAGAUUUGUGCUUGAUCCUCAAGAGAAAACAACGCUGGAGACUUAGCCUUCCAUUAAUCAGUAGAAAACGAAAUUGUAGAUUCAAGCAGAAAACGAAUUUUAUUCUACGUGAACAGUGUGCAUGAACAAUAAAAACUGGAAUUCUAAAACCCUAGAAUUAUUUUCCUCUUCAAAAAACUCCCUAAACUAAAACUCUGGUGCUGUUAUAUAGGUCAUCAGCCUUAAAGCUUACAAAUCUAUUUUAAGUCCAAGCCCAUAAACGAAAUAAAAUAAAAUCUGGACAAGAUAAGAUUGGAUGAAAUAAAAUCUGGACGAAAUAAAAUCUAGAUGAAAUAAAAUCUGGAUAAGAUAAGAUUUGAUAAAAUAAAAUUGUCUGCUCUCUUCAAGUCCUAGCUCAAUUCCGGAUUCAACCCCAAUUGCUUAUAAUUCUCCUGAAAUUAAAUUAAAAAUACAAAAUUAGUCAAGUAGGCCCAAAUGAUAAAACUGCAUAAUUAAUUUGACAAUUAAGGCUAAUCAGUAAUUAAAAUGGUGACAAAAAGGGUUAAGAAAUAAGAGAAAAUAAUGACACAUCAAAUCCCCCCACACUUAGCCUUUUUCACUCCUGGGCAAAAUCAAAAAGCAAAGCAAGGAACAAAUUCAGAGACAUUAAAGAGAAACAAACAAACACAAAAACAAUUACAUAUUUCUCAAUGAAUCUCAAUGAAUGAAAGGAAUGGACAACAUCCAACAUGUAGAGAGUUAAAGAAUCAAGACAGUCAUGAAAAUCAUCCAAGCAUCUCAAACAUGGAAAGAUAGUCAAACAACUCAAGAAUGAAAAGUGAUAAAGCCUCAUAAGAUAUGCACUCUAUCUCUCAAGUGUCUAGGCUACUGUUUACUCUUAGAGCACCCAUGAAAACAAACACCACAUAGACUUGGCAAGUCUCUAAAAUUGACAACCACACCACAAACACAUGCAUAUGAGGAUCAAAAGGUCUUUUAAGGUUGUAAUGGGGCCAAGGACAAGGUAGAGGAAAGUAUGGGAUAAGUAGCUAAAACCCAAAGGAAUAGAGGAGCAAUGGGGAAUAAGUGAGAACUAAGAAAAAGUAGUAAACCCCAAAACCAAAAUUAAAAAUUAAGCAUAAAAAGUAAACCCAAAACAAAGUCAACCAAGUCCUCAAACCAAUCCAAGUAUUCAAACCAAGACCUCAUGUAUUCAACUUCAUUCUUUUUCUGUUUUUUUAUUUUUUAUUUUUUUUUACCAUGAACAGUAGCAAUUGAAAGCAAUUGAAAAAUAAAGCAAAAAUUAGGAAAUAUAUGUAUAUACAUCAAGCAUGGCCAACAAAAACAUAUCAUCCAAUGAAACAUACCCCCCCCACACUUAUUCCCAAAACAAUUCCAAAUCUCCAAAAUUCCUUAAGGGUAGGGUCAGAUCAUGGUUUUUCACUUAAGGCUUGUAAUGAGCUUCAAAACAAAGAAAAGGGAACAUAGGCUCAAAGGGGCUAUCAAAGGAAUUAAUUCAAGGUAGGCUCAUUUGGCUAGAGGCUUAUAAGAAUAAAAUGCCUAAAUCAUCUCCCAAAAUGCAUGUGAAGCAAGAAGUAUCAACAAGAGUCAAGCCAAGGCUAUUGUGCAAGCAAUCAAUGGGGCAAAAUACACUGAAUAAAAUAAAUCAUGAUGGCUCAAAUUCUCACCAAGGGUAAAUUUAUCACUUCCAAUUCGAACUUUCAAAACUAACUUGACAUGCAGAGAAAAACAAGGAUUUCAAUUCACAAAAUGCCCAGAAACUCCUAUUUAAAAAACAAUUACCCAUUACCUGUACAUAACCUAUAAUUCAAAGAGAAACAUGCAAUGUUGUACAUAAAACAUAAAACCAAAAUAACAAAAUUAACCUAGAAAACCUAAAAAAAUUAAACUAGAAAACCCAACAAAAUUAAUCUAGAAUACCCAACAAAACCAACAAAAUUAAAGAACAAUCUCCCCCUCCCCCACACUUAAACAACACAUUGUCCUCAAUGUAGCACAAUCACAAGAUCAAUAGCAAUCAAAACAAUUAAUAAAAUUGGACAAGUGCAAUAAAAGUAAAGAAAGAGACGGGAAAAAAAACUCCCUAAGUCAUGGCGGAAGAGAAGUAGGGUGAAGUAAGGAGGUCUCCUUCACCACUACAUCCACUAAGGAGGGAUUUUUGAGGAAUGGUUUCAGCCGGUGUCCAUUGACCUUGAAGCUCUUAUCUAUGGAUUCAAUUUUGAUCUCAACUAUACCAUAAGGAAAAACAUUAGUCAUCACAAAACGACCAAUCCACUUUGACCUCAACUUACCACUCAUGAGUCCAAGCCUAGAGUUAUACAAUAAAAUUUUUUGUCCAACCAUGAAGUCCUUCUUAGCUAUCAAACUAUCAUGGAGCUUCUUGGUCUUCUCCUUGUAGAAUUUGGAAUUCUCAUAGGCUUCUAAACGGAUCUCAUCUAACUCACUUAGUUGCAACUUCCUUUCCUCUCCAGCUUGAUCAAUAGAGAAUUUGCAGGUCUUUAUAGCCCAGUAGGCUCUAUGCUUUAUCUCUACGGGAAGAUGACAUGCCUUGCCAAAGACAACCCGAUAAAGAGACAUUCCUAUGGGUGCUUUGUAGGGAGUCCUAUGAGCCUAAAGAGCAUCAUCCAGCCUGGUGCUCCAAUCUUUUCUGUUCGACUGCACAAUCUUCUCCAAGAUCCUUUUUAUCUCCCUGUUUGAAAUCUCAGCCUGCCCAUUAGUUUGGGGGUGGUAAGGUGUGGAAAUUCUGUGCACGAACCCAUACUUUUUGAGCAAGGCAUACAUGGAUUUGUUACAAAAAUGGGUGCCUUGAUCACUAACGAUGGCUCUAGGGACUCCAAACCUGCAAAACAUAUUAGAUCUAACAAAAUCCACAACAACCUUAACAUCGUUAGUUCUGGUGGGUUUGGCUUCCACCCAUUUUGAAACAUAAUCAACAGCAAGGAGAAUAUAAACAAAACCAAAAGAGACAGGGAAAGGUCCCAUAAAAUCUAUACCCCAGACAUCAAUCACCUCACAGAAUAACAUGGGUUGUUGAGGCAUUUGCUGUCUCCAUGAAAGUGAGCCGCUUGCUCUUUGACAAGGCUCACAAGUACUACAGAUUCUCCACGCAUCCUUGAAGAUGGUGGGCCAAUAGAAACCGUAGUCAAGCACCUUGCGAGCUGUCCAUUGUAUGCCAAGAUGGCCACCUGGUGCAGAAGAAUGACAGAAUUGUAGGACUGAGUCAAUCUCAUGGUCUGGAAUGCAUCUCCUAAUAACCUGGUCACUGCAUAACUUCCACAAAUAGGGGUCAUCCCAAAUAUAAUGCUUAGCAUCACUCUUAAUUUUAUCAUUUUGCGCUUUAGAUGCUAAGGGAGGAAAAACAGAACCAACCAAAUAAUUCAUAAUAUUAGCAAACCAUGGAGUGGGGAAGGAAUAAAAAAUACUAUACAAAAUGUACAAAUGGUCAUCUGGAAAAUCAUCCCGAAUGGGUGAGUCCUCAGACACGCGCUCAAUUCUACUCAGAUUGUCAGCCACGAGGUUCUGUGCACCGCUUCGAUCACGGAUCUCCAAAUCAAACUCUUGGAGCCAAAGCAUCAACCUGAUCAAUCUAGGCUUUGAUUCAGGCUUCUCCAACAGGUACUUCAGAGCUGCAUGGUCAGUAUAAACAAUAACACGAGUACCAAGUAAAUAUGAACGAAAUUUCUCAAGAGCAAAAACUAUUGCUAAUAGCUCCUUCUCUAUGGUAGUGUAAUUUGCUUGAGCAACAUCCAAAGUUCUAGAAGCGUAGUAGAUCACCCGAGGCAGCUUAUCAAUCUUUUGAGUAAGGACAGCCCCCAAAGCGUAAUUGGAUGCAUCGCACAUUAGCUCAAAUGGGGCUGCCCAAUCAGGUGCCUGAAUGAUAGGGGUGGUAGUCACCGCAUGCUUGAGGCAAUCAAAAGCCUCUUUGCACCAGUCAUCAAAAUCAAACUCCACCUCCUUUUGUAGCAGAUUGGAUAGUGGAAGGGCCACUUUGCUAAAAUCCUUGAUAAAGCGCCUAUAAAACCCUGCAUGACCAAGAAAAGAAUGAACCUGUCACACGCAAGAGGGUAAGGCAAUUGUGAAAUAACAUCUAUUUUUGCAGGGUCUACCUCUAUGCCCCUACUAGAAAUGAUAUGCCCUAAAACUAUACCUUGUUCUACCAUGAAGUGACAUUUUUCAAAAUUCAGCACAAGGUUAGUUUCAAUGCAUCUACUAAGAACUCUAUCCAGACUAUCGAAACAUGCAUCAAAAGAGGAUCCAUAAACAAUAAAAUCAUCCAUAAACACCUAUAUGCAACACUCUAAAAAAUCACUGAAAAUGCUAAGCAUACACUGCUGGAAGGUACCAGCGGCGUUGCAUAGGCCAAAGGGCAUCCUCCUAUAGGCAAAAGUGCCAAAGGGAUAGGUAAAUGUGGUCUUUUCUUGAUCCUCAGAAGCAAUAUGAAUUUGUAAAUAACCAGAAAAACCAUCAAGAAAACAGUAAUGGGACUUACUUGCCAAGCGCUCAAGCAUUUGAUCAAUGAAAGGCAGGGGAAAGUGAUCUUUUCUGGUUACCUGGUUCAGCCUCCUAUAAUCAAUGUAGACUCGCCAGCUGUUCUGCACUCUUGUGGGGAUAAGCUCAUCCCUUUCAUUCUUAAUCACUGUGAGGCUUGUCUUCUUAGGAACCACUUGGACUAGACUCACCCACUGGCUGUCAGAAAUUGGGUAGAUGAUUCCAGCUUCUAAGAGCUUGGUCACUUCCUUUUUCACCACAUCUAGAAUGACGGGGUUGAGUCGCCGUUGUGGCUACCUCACUAGCUUAGCUCCAUCCUCUAAAAGUAUCCUAUGCAUGCAGGUAGAUGGGCUAAUACUAGGAAUGUCUGCUAAAGUCCAUCCAAUGGCCUUCUUGUGCUUCUUGAGCACUGGCAACAACUGCUCCUCUUGCUCAGCAUCAAGGGAGGCAGAGAUGAUCACUGGAAAUUUUUCCUUGUCCUCCAAGUAAGCAUAUUUGAGGGUUGCUGGUAAGGGCUUCAACUCUGGUGUGGGUGGUGGCUGAACAGUGGGAGGAGCCAGGGUAGGAGAAAAAGAAGGUUCCUCAGCUUGUAUCUCAUAAAGCAAGUCAGAAGUAUAUGUACUUCCUGCAACAUGGUUAGUGCAUUCUGACUCUAAAAAAUCAACAUCAAGAGGUACAACACCCAGAAAAUUAGAACCAGACUCAAAUUCAGAUUCCUUCUCAGCAUAAAAAUCAGAUACAGGAUCAAAUUCAAACUCAGAUUCAGAUUCAAUGCAUAAUGAAUGACAAGUAGCAUAUCAGAUAAAAAUGGAUGUUUCCUACCAUGAAGAAUAGAAUCAAAAUCAAACAUAUAAUCAUCAACAAUCUGAUCAAUUAUCUCAGCACAAAAAACAGAAUGAUCCUUAGAUGGAUGUUUCAUGGCAUCAAGAAUGUUAAAAUGAAUAACAAUAUCACCAAAUUCCAUAGACAAUGUGCCAGCAUAAACAUCUAUCUUGGUUCGGGCUGUUUUCAUAAAUGGCCUGCCUAAAAUAAUUGGAACUGAACCAUGGGAAAAUCCCUCUUCCAUAUCAAGAACAUAAAAAUCAGUAGGAAAAAUAAGUUCACCAACCUGAACCAACAAUCCUCUAUGAAACCUGCGGGGUAAGCAACACUUCUAUUUGCCAAAUGAAUCGCCACAUUUGUAGAUUGCAAGGGUCCAAGAGAUAAAGAAUUGAAAAUGGACAGAGGCAUGACACUAACUGAUGCUCUUAGAUCUAGCAUGGCUCAAAUUUAUUGUUCCCAAUAAAGCAAGGUAUAUAGAAAGUACUUGGGUCCUUACAUUUCUCAGGAAUGUGAGGAAUAGAUUUACCUAUCAAUGAUGACACAUUUCUGCCCAUGCCAAUCCUUUAAUUGCCUUUGAGCUUCCUUUUGUGAGUGCACAACUCCUUUAGAAACUUGGCAUAUCUUGGAAUCUACUUGAUGGCAUCUAGCAGAGGUAUGUUCACCUCUACUUUCCUGAAGGUCUCCAAGAUCUCCUUUUCCACUUCUUCCAUAUUUUUGUUUGGAAUUUCUCUAGGUGGGAAUGAAAGAGGGAUAGGAGGCUGCUGCAAAUCUGAACUACUCGAAGAAGGUCCACCUACAUGAAAAUUUUUGUUAGCUCCCUCAUGAUCAGGAAGUUUUCUCUUUUGUGGAACUAUCUCAUCCUCUUUUUCAAGUGUAGAAUGAAGCUUGACAGGUUCAGGUGCAGGUACUGCUACUGGUGGAGGCACUUGAAUUUGGUUGCUAGACCUCAAGGUGAUGGCACUCAUAUUUUUCGGAUUCUGCACAGUUUGUGAAGGCAGUUUGUCAGAAUUUUGGGACUAAGUUUGGUUCAACUGAGUAGCCAUUUGCCCCAUCUGAUUUGUCAGACUCUGAAUGGAGGCUCUUGUCUCUUGCUGAAAUUGCAUAUUCUGGAUUGUCAUUUGCCUCACUAACUCUUCUAAGUAAGGUUGAGGAGGAGCCUCAGUUGCUUGUUGUCUUUGUUGUGACUGCUGGUGUUGUUGCUGCAUUGGAGGAGGAACAUAUGGCUUGCUUGGACCAGCAGCAUUCUGGAAAGGAGGGACAGGCUGUUGUUGUUGUGGAGGACUUGUCCAUCUCAGAUUUGGAUGAUUCCUCCAACCUGGAUUUUAUCUGUUGCUUGAAAGGUCAUAAUUAUUCUGUUGUUGUUGGUUUUGUUGCUGAGGAGGUCUAUUAUAAAUGUUUGCAGCAUAAGCUUUUGUUGCUCAUUGACUCCAGAUUGCUGCAAAGAAGGACAGAGAUCUGUAUGGUGAUUUGUUGAAGAACAUAAACCACAGACUCUUGCAACAGGUGCAGAUUUCUGAUUCAUGGCAAGCUGAGUUACUAGGUUGACCAAGGCAUCAAGUUUUCCCUCAAGCUUUUUAUUUUCAGCAGAUGAAGAUGAAUCUGUGGCCACCUCAUGGACUCCUCUAAGGACAAUAGCAUCAUUUCUUGCACUGAAUUGUUGGGAGUUGGAAGCCAUCUUCUCAAUCAAAUUCCUGGCCUCAGCAGGGGUCAUAUCACCAAGAGCUCCACCACUGGCAGCAUCAAUCAUACUCCUCUCCAUGUUGCUAAGUCCCUUAUAGAAAUAUUAACCAAGGAGUUUGCCCCACUAACUUAACCUCUUUAGUGGGUAUAGGAAUGGGAGCACCUACAUCUCUAACCUCCUCAACACCAAUCUUGACUUAAUCAUGCAACAAAGUAAUGUUACGAGUGGUUAUGGAUCCCUCAAAAACUCUUCCUAAGGAUCGUUCCCUGAUGGAUCAACACAAGUCUCCUUUGUGCUGACACGAGCAGCUGAAGGACCAACCUCGGGCUCAGGAGGCAGUUCAAGUCCUUGUGAUUGCAUCUGAGACUGAAACUGGGACUGCAUCUGGCUGAAGGAUAACAUUAGCUGUCAAGUCACUUUUUAUGUGAUCGACUCCUCCAGUUGGUCCCUAAUUUGUUGCGUCAACUGCUCCAGGUCUUCGGGAGCCAUGGAGGAAGAUGUGCGGGAGGUCCUUGGAGCCAGUCUAAAGUAUUGCUUGAUCGUGACACCGACUCCAACAGCAUGCACAUGACCAGGGUGUUUUGGUUGCCCAAUGGCAGCAGUCAGUACAUCCUAAUGUCCAAGGGCGACAAAGGAACCCUGUGAGGCCUGGUCCUCCAACGAAUCCUGCAAAGAACACAUUUAUUGGUUUACUUAGUCACAUAGUAAACAUAAAUAAUUGCAAUUAAUAAUUGAAAGUCACUUACAAUCUUGUCAACAAUUUCCUUUGCUGCCUCAGACGUCAUUUGCCCAGUUUUCUUGGUGUGGGCCAUCUUCCAUUUCACGUGUCUUCUGAUGGGAGAUGGAGGAUCAAUCACGGUGUCAGUGCUUCUGGAUUGAGCAACUUCCUCUAGUUUUUUCUUUCUCUUCUCAUUCAUCAACUUGUUUUCUAAAUAUGCAUAACCCCCACGAGACAACACGUGAGGGAAAGUGUUUUGCUUUUGGAUGGCCUAUGGCUUUUUUCGCACAUCCUGCAAAAAUUCAACAUUUAUGAAACUCAUGAUUACAAUGUAUUAUAAUAAGUGAAUUUAAAGUUGAAAACAAUGAAAAUCACAAAUUAGUUACCUCCCACGAAGGGUCUCUGCGGGUCUGACAAAAUUGGGUCCACUUCUCCUUGCUAAUGUCGUACUUUUCACAUACAGUGUCAUCGACACUUUCCUUGUCGGCUGCAAGUACCCAUUUCGACGUCAAAUCAGACUUAAAUUGUCUCCACCACUACCCCACAGUCUGAAGUAUUUUCUUUUUUGUCCUCAGAUCAAAUGCUUCAGGGAUAUCAAAUUCAUCCUGACAAACAAUAAAUUACAUUCUAUUGUUACUAAAUUACAAUUUGAUUAUCAAUGAAUAAAAUGAAAGAUUUAACUAAAAUACCUGAAUAUCCUCUCAUAUCAAAUCCUUCUGAGCAGCAGGGACUUUUUUUUCCAAUUCUUGUAUGUGACAACGACCUUAUCACGAGCGACGAUCCCCAAAUAUGUUCUUAACUUCUUUCUGGGGGGACCGUCGGCCUUCCCGGUCUUUCUGCCCUAAUUAGUCUAGUCGCCAAUGAUCUUAGUUGUGUGGUUUUUCUUGUCUGCUUCAAGGUAGAUGGCAACUGUGAUGCUGCACCAGGAGGAGGAGGAGGAGAGCUGGGUGGUGUAGCCAUUUGCCUGUAAAGAAAAAACCAUUGGUUAGUUAACAUUAUCACAAAAUUGAAUAAGUUAUGUACAUGAAUGGACUAAAAUGAAAUACAUAAUAAGAAAAUUACAUUAGAUGAUGUUAAUUAAUUCUCCAUCAUCAUGAUCAUUACGAUUAGUAUGAACGUCGUCAGCUUCUUCUUCUCCAACGAUGUUAUGCAACAUUUGUGUGGACAAAGGACUAACAUAAGUAUCAAUGUAUGAAUCAUCAUAUUCAACAUUAACAUCAAUUGUUUUCCCAUGUAGAACCACUGACCACCUUUCAUCACAAGGGUCUUGAACAUAAAAUAUUUGUUUGGCUUGUUCUGCCAUGAUGAAAGGGUCAUUCUGGUAAGCGAGUUUCUUUAGAUCUACCAACAUAAAUCCUACAUCAUUGGUCCACACACUGAUGUUGCUGCCAACCCAUUUACAUUUGAAAACACAGACAGUAAAAUUGACAUAGUUAAGCUAUCAAAUUUCUUCAAUGAAACCAAAGUAAGGGAUGGAAGCUACAUGGGGAUUGUCAUCAUGUACACUAGCAAAGUGUUGAGAUUCAGCCCUUAGGGUGAUCCCACUGUUUUGCAUUGUACUUUUGUCGUCUUGUGCUUUUGUAUAAAAGGAAUACUUGUUUAUAUCGGAUCCUUUCCAAGUUAUAACAUUUCUUUUAGGCCCAUCUGCUAGCUUUCUUAACGUUUCAGAAGCAUUAUCAUCAACAAAGAUUGUAUCUUUAAACCAAUCUAGGAAAGUCUUGUUACGCUUUUUCAAGACCCAGUUCUUUGACAUUUUUGGAUUACUUUGUUUCACUAAACCUUCACGGCAAAGUAUGUAUGGCAAAACUUCAUUAUUGUUACUCAACACAUACAAGUGAGCUUGUUGCAAAUCUUCUAUAGUUAGAGUGAUAACAUGCAGUCCUUUUGAACCCUUACCGCCCACUCUUUCGUCAUGCCGAGACUCGGGAAGCCCAACAAGUUUUGCUUUUUCAAUGUACUCUGAACAAAAUUCAAUGACUUCUUCUACAAUGUACCUUUCAGCAAUAGAUGCUUCUGAACGAUGUAGAUUCUUGGUAUACCUUUUUAUGGUCUUCAUGUAUCACUCAAGCGGGUACAUCCACUGCAAAUAAACAGGACCACAACAUUUGAUUUCUCUAACCAGAUGAACAAUUAAGUGAACCAUGAUGUCAAAGAAAGCAGGAGGAAAAUACAUCUCCAAUUGACACAAUAUAAUAGCAGCCUCAUUUUCCAGCUCAUCUAACUUCACAAGAUCAAGGACUUUGCUACAUAUGGCAUUGAAGAAAAAGCACAGCCGAGUUAGGGCUAACCUGACUUUGUUAGGCAAAAUGUCUCGUAUGGCCACGGCGAACAAUUGUUGCAUCAAGAUGUGACAAUCAUGAGACUUUAACCCUACCAACUUAAGAUCCUUCAACUGCACAAGGCUCUUAAUAUUUGAAGAGUAUCCUUGUGGGACUUUGACUCGAUCAGCGUAGACCCUGACAAAAACUGAUCUUCUCCUUUCUAGACAAAGUAUGACAAGCUGGAGGCAAGUAUAUUUUUUUACAAUCAGACCUUGGAUGCAAUUACGAUCGUAUACCCAUCUCAGCUAGAUCUUGACGCAUAUUCAAACCAUCUUUCAUCUUGCCUUGAAUGUUAAGGAUCGUCCCAAUGACACUAUCACAUAUAUUUUUCUCCACAUGCAUAACAUCAAUACAAUGUCUAACAUCUAGAUCAGACCAGUACGGAAGACCAAACAAAAUCGACCUCUUCUUCCAUAUGCAAGUCUUACUUUUUUCCUUCUUUUGGGUUUUUCCAAAUAUAGUAUUUAGGUGUUGAACUCGCUGGAAGACCUAGUCACUAGUUAAUGGUAUCGGUGCAGUUUCAUGCUCUUGACUCCCAUUAAAUGCUUUUUUUCAAUCGCCUGUAAGGGUGAUGAGGUUUUAGAAAACAUCCCUGCCUAGUGUACACUGUUUUUCUACCAUGUUUCAGUUGUAUGUAGCUUGUGUCUUCUUCACUGAUGGGGAAUGCAUGAUGGCCCUUAACACUAUCACCAUUCAAAUUCCCAUAUGUUGGAAAGUCAUUAAUGGUACAAAAAAGCAUUGCACACAUUUGAAAAGUCUCAUUCUGAAACCCAUCAAACACUAAAACCCCCUCAACCCACAACUUUGUCAAGUCUUCAAUCAACGGACUUAGAUAAACAUCAAUGUCAUUUCCUGGCUGUCUUGGCCCGAUAUCAUCAUAGACAACAUCAUGUAUUUUUGCUUCAUGCACAACCAGGGAGGCAAAUUGUAAAUUACUAGCAAAACUGACCAUGAACUAUGUUGAGUGCUUAAACUGCCAUAUGGAUUCAUUCCAUCACUAGCUAGUCCAAGCCUAAGAUUUCUUGCCUCUUUGCUGAAAUCCAGAUACAAAUGAUCAAUCUUUUUCCACUGCGAGGAAUCAGCCGAAUGACGGAGCAUUCCAUCGCAGUUUCUCCCAUUUGCAUGCCAUGUAAGGUCUUUUGCGUCGUCUCCAUUAGCAAACAAAUGCUUAAACCUUGGAAUAAUGGGAAGAUACCAUAACACCUUCGCUGGCGGGCCCUUCUUUGGGUUUUCGUCACUACUACAGUUGUCAUUAUCCUUCACUUUGUACCGUGAUACCCCACACCUAGGGCAUAUAGGUAUUUCUUGAAAUUCAUGUCUGAACAGUAUGCAAUCAUUCAAGCAAGCAUGAAUCUUCUAAUACUCCAUACCCAUCGGACACAAUAUCUUCUUGGCUUGAUAGUAAGUUUUAGACAAAGUUUUUCCUUUGGAAGCAUAGCGUGCACAACUUGAAGCAGUGAAGUAAAGCUUAUGUCACUCCACCCAUAUUUGGCCUUCACAUUAACGAGACUUAACACCACCGAAAAAGCGUCAAGGAAUUCUUGCACCCCGGAUAGAAAGGCUUCUUUGAAUCAGUUUGCAAUGUAUCAUACAUAGGGGCAUGUGGUUGCUGAAAAGACUCUUGUUUAAGGUCACGAAUCAUAUCCUCCAAGCGAUCUCCCAUUUCUACAUCAAAUAGUUUAUAUUGGGUCCUACUCUGCAUGUCUAUUAAUUCACCAUGUCAUAUCCACGUCGUAUAAUUCCUCUUAAUCUCAUUAUACAAUAGAUGCUCCCAUAUGUCAUCAAAUUUUUGUCGUCUCCCAUUCAAACAAUUUAUGCAUGGACAAAAAAACUUCCCGUUUUCAUCCAGUCGACUUCUUUCUGAAGCAAAUUGUAGGAACUGCUCCACGCGUUCCUCAUACGCAGGGCUCAAGCGACUUUCAUUCAUCCAACUUUGAUCCAUCUAAAUAAUAACUCCGUCAUAGUCCGAAACUCAUUCAAUGCAUGAAAUUUCACUUUUUCAUUUAAGGUGUGGCCCUAUCCCAUUCAGGAAGAUACUUUCUUAUGGUAGAUUCAUGCAUUAAGGUUAAUCUUAUUUUUUAAAAUUUGAUUAAAUUUUGCCAGCAUUUCACAAUGGUCUCCAAGUACACGACAUGAAAUCGGUGACAUUAAUUCCCCGAUAAUCAAGUAUGCACUUAGAGAACAACUAGAAAUGGAUUGUACUGUAAUUUCAUCAAAUUAAACAAAAUAAUGUUAACCUUAAUGCAUGAAUCUACCAUAAAAAUAUGAGUCUCCCCAAACUAUCCAAACGGACAAUUCAAGAUUCAAUACAAUAAUUAAUGCAAACUUUCUGCAAGAAUCAUUGUAUUCAAUCUCAAACAUGAAUCUAAGGUUCACUCAUUAUGAACAAAAGUUCAAUCUAAAGCAAAGCACAUUAAUGACAUACAAAUUAAAUACAGUGAGAUAUAACACAAUAGAUCGAGAAGAAUCCUAACCAAACAAGAAAGCAAUGGUUGCAGAGUUAGGGCAAUAGACGGUGGAGCUAUCCAUCCUCGUCACACACGCCGCUAAUGGUAAGUCCUCCGAUUCGUUAGCGCCGCUAACAUAUCAGCGGACUUAUCGUUAGCAGCAUGUGUGACAAGGGUGGAUAGCUCCACCAUCUAUUGCCCUAACACUGCAGCCAUUGCUUUCUUGUUUGGUUAGGGUUCUUCCCGAUCUGUUGUGUUGUGUUAGAGCAACAACAUCGAAACUACCUAACUAAUCGAAACCAGCCAUUGAUUUAAUUGAAGGUUUUUACAAAACUGCCUGGAAUGAAAUUUCAUAGAACAUUUUUCCUAUAAAUAGAUGGAUGUGAUGUUCACCCUGGGUAUUUAUUACCUAGCUAGCUAGCUAGUGUUCUCUUCUAAUUGCAGAUUUUACCAUUAUACCAUAGAAGAUUUUACCAUUAAGCAAAGAGGAAGAACUCAUUCAUUUGGUGCAGGUGAGUUCAUUAUUAAUUUUGGGGUCCAACCAUUUGAAUUGAUGCUUUAGCUACACCAAAUGAGUGUGCGCUUCCUUUUUGUUCUCAACUUAAAAGGCUAGAGAAUGAUAGAAAUGGAAUUUCACCUAAGAAAGCCCAUGAUGUAGAAGCAAGAUAUUUUGAUGUUUUGAUGAUGCCAAAGGAUCAAGUGCUUCUCAAGUUUUAUUCAAGACAAGAAUCCAAGAAUCCAAGAAAAUCAAGAUAUAUGACCAAGUUGAUCUCUAGAAUCUUAGGAAGAAGUUUCCAAAUUGAAAAAGCAAAAGGUUUGGCCAAAGAAUUUUAUCUAAAUCAUUUUAAAUUGAGAUUUACUCUCUGGUAAUCGAUUACCAGAGGAUGUAAUCGAUUACCAGUGGCCACUAUGCUUUCUAAAAAGGUUUUAAAUAUUUUGGAAAGCAUGUAAUCGAUUACUCAUGGAUUGUAAUCGAUUACCAGAGGUUUGGAACAUUUUAAAACAACCAUAAGAAAUUUGAAUUUAAAUUUCAAAGUUGUGUAAUCGAUUAAAGUAAGUUGGUAAUCGAUUACCAGUGUUUAAAUAUUCAAAUUUCAAAUAAGAAGAGUCAUAACUCUUCAUAAGUAACAGUGCAAUCGAUUACCAGUAAGGAUUUUCGAAUAUAGCUCCCAACAGUCAUAUAUUUUCAAAUGUUUUUGAAUGGCCAUCAAAGGCCUAUAUAUAAGUGACUUAGGAUACGAAAAUUCUAGAGAGUUUUUAUUGCCCAAAAAGUCUUAUCCUCUCAAAAGAUUAAGAGAGUUUUUCUGAACUGAAAUGUCUUAUCCUCUCAAAGAGGAUUCUUUGGUCAAACACUUUUAUAUUCAAUAAGGAAUCUUAAUUGAUCUUUAAUUGUAAUAUCUUUCUCUUUCAAGAGAGAUUUCUUCUUCUUUUUUUUUUUUUACUUCUGGAAAGGGAUUAAGAGACCAAGGGUCUCUUGUUCUAAAGGAUUCCUGAACACAAGGGAAGGGUUUUCCUUGUGUGGUUCAGACUUUGUAAAAGGAGUUUUACAAAGAGAGUGGAAAAUCGCAAGUGGGUUGCUUGAGGACUAAACGUAGGCACGGGAAGUGGCUGAACCAGUAUAAAUCAAGUUUGCAUUUCUCUAUUCCCUUAAACUUCUUUUAUUUAUUGCUAUUUAUCUUUUGCUUUAAAGAAGUUUAUUUUGAAUUGUCUUUUGAGUAAUUCAUGUUAAGGGUGCAUUGUAAUUCCAAAAGGAAAGAGUGAAAUUUUAAUUGGGGAAUAGUCUUUGUAUCUUAAUUCAACCCCCCCUUCUUAAGAUAAUUGAGGCCAUUUGUGUAACAAGUGGUAUCAGAGUAGGAUUGUUGUAUAAAGUUUAAAAACUUCAAGAAUAGAUAUGGCCUCAUCCAACUUUCCAUUUCCUGAGGGAAAUUCUAUUAACAGGCCUCUUAUGUUCAAUGGCAAGGGUUAUCACUAUUGGAAAACCUAAAUGUAGAUCCUUAUUGAAGCCAUAGAUUUAAAUAUAUGGGAAGCCAUUGAAGUUGGUGCCUUUAUUCCUACAAAGGUAGUGGGAAAUGCAACUAUAGAAAAACCAAGAGAAGAAUGGAAUGAUGAUGAAAGAAGAAAGGUCCAAUACAAUUUAAAGGCCAAAAAUAUAAUCACUUCUGCAUUAGGCAUGGAUGAAUAUUUUAGAGUCUCAAAUUGUAAGAAUGCAAAAGAAAUGUGGGAUACAUUGCAUGUAACCUAUGAAGGCACAACUGAUGUCAAGAGAUCUAGAAUAAACACUCUCACACAUGAAUAUAAACUGUUUAGAAUGAUUCAAUAUGAGACCAUAGAAGAUAUGCAGAAGAGAUUUACUCGUAUAGUUAAUCAUCUUGCAUCAUUAGGAAAAAUAUUUCCUAAUGAAGAUCUUAUUAACAAAGUGUUGAGAUGUUUAAGCAGGCAAUGGCAACCAAAAGUAACAACAAUUGCAGAAUCAAGAGAUCUCACUAAUAUGUCUCUUGCCACUCUCUUUGGAAAACUUCAAGAACAUGAAAUGGAACUUAUGAGACUCCAUCAACAUGAAGAGAAUGAUAUAAAGAGAAAAGGAAUAGCACUCAGAGCCUCAUAAUCUUUUAUUCAAGAAGAAAGUGACAAAGAGGACUUGACUAAAAUAAAAGAAGAUGAUGAUGAUUUCAGAUUCUUUGUGAAAAUGUUCAAUAAAUUUCUGAGAAACAAAAAAAAUAAAAGCGAAUCAAACAUCAACACAAAGAAGAAAGAAGAAGAUUCCUCCUUUGCCCUAACAUGCUAUGAAAGCAAUCAACCUGGGCACAUGAGAUUCGAUUGUCUUUUCUUUAAAAGAAGAAUGGAAAAUCCGACAAGAAGAAUCUCAAAGAAAAGAAAGAAAAGAAAGCAUAAAUCACUUGGGAAGAUAAUGGCAUAAAUUCUUCAAGUGAUUCAGAAAAAUAAAAUCAUAAAUCUGGGUUUCAUGUUGAAAGACUAUAAAAGCGGAGAAGAGCAAAGUUGAUACAUUGAUAGCAAUUUCUGCAAACACAUGGCGGGAGAUGCAUAAGAGUUUAUUCAUAUUUCUCCCAAAGAUAGUAAAUAUGUGAUCUAUGGAGACAACGAACAAAGGUGACUUGUCUUUGAUUAAUUGCUUUUAAUUUUUUUUUUUUGCCUAUGAUUGUUAACUCUUGAUUGAAUUUUGAUGCUUGUUUUUGCUUAAAUGUUGAUUGUCUUUGAUGAUUGUUUUUGAAUGAGUUUUUGAUUGUGUUUGAGAUUGAUGUUUGAUUGUGUUUAAUUGUAAGUAUUUGAUUGUGUUUUUGAUUGAUGUGUUAUUGUGUUUUCAUUUUGCUUGAUUAAUAUUGUAUGCUUGUUAGUAUAAUUGAUUGAUAGAGUUAGAUGAUGUUCUUAGAUAAUAGAAAUAGGUAAUUUUUAGGAGAAAAGCCUUGUUUGGUGUUCUGAUAAUAAAUUACCAUUACGUGUAAUCGAUUACACAAGAACAUGUAGCUUGUAAUCAAUUACAGAUCCCUGUAAUCGAUUACCAGUAGGCAGUAUGGUCCUGUAAUCGAUUAUGAAGUCCUGUAAUCGAUUAUCAUUCGUCCUCCACUAUAAAUAACAUGUGUUUCAAAUGUUGCAGCCACGGAACUCAUGAUUGUGGCGCCUUUUUUUUUUCUUUUUUUCCCAAACUUCAAAUCUUCAUAUCUUCUUUGUUUCUUAACCAAAUCACGUCCCACAGAGCCCAAACUUCAUCAUUUUCAAUCCUUUUUUGAUUCCAUUGAUUGAAAUCUGCAAAAACUUCCUCAAAUGGCUGAAUCUAUGAAAAAGCGAAAGGGCUCUUCCACCACCACCGCCGCGGCUGGCCAUCGAUGCCAUGGACCAUUUGAAGCACCCACAGCACCAGUUCCUCCUUUCUUGUCAUCUCCAUGAUCAUCUACUUUAUUUUCUUCAGAUGAUCAAUGUCUACGAUACUCUUCUCAAUUUUCUACUAGAAUCGUAUUAGACCCUAAGUACCUAGACAUAGCUUUCUUUGAUGAUGAGACAUUUGACUGCUAUCAAGUAUUUCAAAACUCUGGCUUAGUUGAUUUUAUGUCUUUAAAGUUGCCUCAUUAUCCUGAACUAGUUAGAGUCUUUUACAAUAACUUAAGAAUUCAGGAUCGUACACUUUACUCUAAGGUGCAUGGUAUUCCUCUUGUCAUUGAUCAAUCUUUGUUUUUCUCAUUGACUAAAUUACCCAAUCAAGGUGUUCCUUUUGAAGGCACUAUUAUUGAUGACUGGAAGUUCGAUUAUUUGAGUCAUGAUGCUCGUCGUAUGGUCUGUAAUGACCAGGCUGAUAUGAUCGGCAAAUUUCUUGUCGGGUCAUUAACCUUUGAAGGUAUCUAUGUCUUGAUCCCUUUGUCUUCUUACGGCAUUGUUACGCCGACAGGUAGCUUCGAUUUCUAAGUCUAUGGGAACGAUAGUAGAUUUACCUCGCAUAAAAACACAAGGUUCUACAUGUUUAAUUUAUGGAGAAGGAAAGAAUGGGGAAAGAGGAGUACCGAUAGAAAGAAUGGCCAAGAGAAUGGCCAAGGGAUAGAGGAGGGGUGAUAGAAAGAAUGGCCAAAAGAAUGGCCAAGGGAUAGAAAGAAUGGCCAAGAGAAUGGCCAAGAGGGAAACAAAUUACAAACUGAUAGUAUGGCCCUUAAAUGCGAAAACAAAAUCCCCGGCAACGGCGCCAAAAACUUGUUAGCUCUUUGGCAAGUGUACCAAAUCGCUCGUAGUAAUAAUCUCUCGGUAAGCCGAGUGUUGUACCACAGGGAUUUUGUUGCACUUAUGUGAAGUACUUUUCAGUUUGCAAAUUGUAAAUUUAGUGUAUAAAAUUAAAUGCAGUUUAAAUCUAGCAAGGGAUAAGAAAUUAAAAAUAAAAGAUAAAGAAAGAUAAUAGAUAAGAUAAAGAAAAGAUAAAAGAUUUACAAGUAAAAUUAACGGAUAAAGAAAAAGGUAAUUUAAAUCUAAGCAGCUACUUCUAAAUUAAAGGAAACUAAAGCAAUAAAUAAAGAAUAAAGUCUAUAAAAUAUUACUAAAUCUAAUAAGCCUAAAUACCCACUCCUAAAUAAUGGAUAACUACUCCUAAUAAAACCCAACAGUAAAAUAAGGAAUAACUACUUCUAAGAAACCCAACAAUAAGGAGUAACUACUUCUAAGAAAACCCAACAAUAUAAUAAGAAACUUCAAACAAUAAAAUAGAGAAUAAAAUCUAUAUAAUAAAAUUGCUAAAACCUAACAAGUCUAAUCAGCCUAGAUAUAUGGAUUCGGGAUUUGUCUGUUAUCAAUACCAGUGAACUAAUUCUGCCCCACAUCUAUCCAUCUACUCGCCCCCGAUGCCUCAUGAUGACAAGCCUACCUUAAUUACCUAUCUUCCAAAUGCCCUUUGCGAAGACUCAAUAACUAAGAUGCAUUAAGAAUAACUUCUAGAUGUUUGCUAAAGCAUAGGCAUCGGGUCAAUGCUAACCCUAUGAUUUCUUUCUUUUAUUGUUCUAUUAAGCGUUACCCUCUCCCGAGUGGACUAAUCCUUAAAACAGAUUCACGCAUUCAUUCCUUACCCCUAAUUAGGCUUUACCCUCUACCGAGUGAACUAAAGACUAACAGAAAAUAAAGACUAAGAUGCAGAAUACAUAAGAAAGAAAAGCAGAUAAAAGAACCUGGAAGGAAAACCCUCUAAUGAUAACCCGAUAAUUUCUUCCUUUUAUUGUUCUAUUAAGUGUUACCCUCUCCCGAGUGGACUAAACCCUAACAGAAAAUAAGGUCUGAUAUACAGGAUAAAUAAGAAAUAAGGGUAAAUAAAAGAACCUGGAAGGAAAUCCUCUUUUUAUUGAUAACUCUUGAAAUGCUCCAUACAUCAUUAGCGUUUUAGGCCUUCCAGGCCCUAGCUAGAGGUUUAGCCACUCAUAGUCAUGAGGGUUUUACAAUGAGAAGGGGGGGGGGGGGUGAAAGAAAGGCAAUAAGAAUAUAAGAAAAGGGAAGGAAAAGGAGAGAACCGAGUGCCAGAAGUCUAAAAAUUGAGCUCUGAGGAAGUAUGUUCGUUUUCCUAGGCAGACCCUCUUAUUUACAGGUGCAAAAUUGGGCUUGGGCCUUCAUAGUCUCGCUGAGCACGAGGCUUCGCGCUCAGCGCCACCGCGCGCUUAGCGCAUGUCCUAUGCUUAGCGCCUUGUCUUCUUGCGCGCUGGGCGUGUCUCGCGCUUAGCGCCUUGCUGGACUUGGGCUUCUUCUAAUUUUCUUCUUUUUUUCUUUAUUUCUGCUCCUUUUUGCUUGUUGUACCUCCCUUUUUCACAUCUGCAAUCAAAAUUCAAAUUUAAUUAAAUCUUUCUAAUUUAAAGUAUAAAUAACUGCUAAAUAAUUAAUUCUAAGUUAAUUUCAGACUGAUUUUCCACUAUUAAUUCACUAUUAUUUAGCAGUUAUCAAAAUCCCCCAAAUUAAACUUUGCUUGUCCCCAAGCAAAUAAAAAGAAUAAAAUUAUUCCAUUCUUAAGCAAAAAUUUUCUCAAGCAAGUUCCAAUCAUUCCAACACUCUUCAUGGCUUCAAUUCCUUGAUCCCUUGACUGUUCCCUUUGCAUCUGUCAUGAUCUUAAAAUAAAAGCAUAAACACAAGAGCAGAAACAAGUCAAUUAUCUAGAAUUCUAACAGGUCCGGCUUGCCUUAUUUCCUUACAAAGCUGGUGUUUCUCUCUUCUCACAAGUGUCUGGUCAAGUGUUUACAAUUUCAACAACCUGUAAAUAAAACUCAAGAAUUUUGUACUUCAUCUCGGUUAAGGUUAGCCUGAAUUGCCUUCGGUGGAUCACUAAGGACUUUUAUGGCUUGUAAUGGGGCCUGGCUAACAAAGAAUCAUGGUUUUUUAUUGGAAUUUCAAAAUAUAAGAUUAUAAGAGAGCAUGCAUUCCAAAAAUUUAAGUUCUUGCCAAGACCUAUUUCUCACUUAGCCCCUUUUGCCUUCAGCACUUUCCACUGACACCUCUCUUUUUCAUUUUUGCCCCUUUUUCUUCUUGUUAUUUAUUUCUUCUCUCUCUCUCUUUUUUUCUUCUCUUUAUAUACAUAUAUAUAUAUAUAUAUAUGUAUAUAUAUAUAUAUAUACACAUAUAUAUAUAAGAAGAAUAAUAAUAAUAAUGGGCUCACAUAUUUAGAGGUGUUCUAGUGUGUGCUAUUACCUUGGCUACUUUACCCAUUUGUUCAAAAUCCCCCAAAUUAAGGCCUUAUUAGCAUUUGGAACCCUACUGCUCUCUUAGAAUCCUACACAAGGUCAGGAAUAUCAAUUUCUUGGCUUAGGGUUCUACUCAAAAUAAAUCAUUAUAAUUCUUUGGCUCAAUAUGGGUGCUAGGGAUAAAAUUAUGUUGGGUUGGCUUUUUGGCUGAGUGGGUAAAAUAAAACAAACAUGGCCUUGAUCAUAUCCACCUUAAGUAACUAAUUUUAAUAGUCCAAGAAUGAUGCAAAACUAAGAGCUUAAAAACAGGCGUUUUCUCUCACAAUUAAGGUCACAUUCUCACCGGGAUUAAUUCAGUAUUAACGUAGCAGAUGUGUCUUCAUUCCAUCAAGCUAACCUUUCCUUUUCCGUGAAUCAUGUUUCAUUCCUUGAUCUGACUUUUGCUUCCAAGACCAGUAUGUUCCAAUGACUAGUAGCCUUUCAAGUGUUGGACCUUUCAGAACAAACUCAAAAUUGUCAUUUCUCAAGUUAUCAUGCAAUUUAUUUAUUCACACAUAUGCUCAAAUCUAAUAUUAUUACCACUGCUUUUCAUUUUGAACAUACAGCUACAAAUAUGACAAAAUAACUUAAACUAGAACCUAAUAAAACAUAAGAACAUAAAACAUAAACAUAAACAUAAAACAUAAAAAAAACAUAAAGAAAAAUAAACUAAUGUCCUGGACCGCCGCCCAGAUCUGCCCAUGGGCCCCACUCAGCGCCAGCCAAGUCAGCCAUGAGGUCCUCAUCAACUGCAGUAUCCUCCGUAGCGGCGGCUCCAGAAGGCCCUUCCCCUCUGUCAGUGGAGGGUUGGUCUCCUAGCCAGGUGACCUGCUGACGAUAGGCCUCCGGAGUCAUGAGCGGCGGAUCCAUCUACAAGUGGAGGGAUAAGCGAUGCAGGUCCUGAAUAAUGAUCUGUUGUCCCUGGUACAAGGACCUGAGCAUCUGUCCAUGCAUGUCUGGAGGUGUGGCAGUGGAUGGAAGCGGAGGCUGUGGUCGCUGGGAGAAAGGCUGAGAAGUAGGGGGUGCCUCAGAUGUAGACGCUAGUGCUCUGGUGCGAGUCCGGCGGGCCCCUGGAAAUGUAAUGGAUGGAUCGGCGGGGUUCCAACAGUUCUUCUUCACGUAUGCCAGGUUGAUUGCAAGGCUAAGUGACUCAAAGAUCAGGGUAUCAGAAACCACCCCCUGAAUGUCACACAGCGCUGUGAUCAAUGCCGGGAACCCGAGCCACGAGGUACUGGACUGGGCAAUCUGACUGAUCUGCUGAGAUAUAAAGCUGGCCACGUCCAUAUCCAUUUGGCUCACCAAGCCAUAGAUCAAGGGUGCCCUGUCAAGAUUAACAUCAGAUGUGUGAGAAGUGGGUGCAAGAUCAUAAUAAGAUAGGACACUCCAUGUCUAAGCGAGUGUCGUCAUGUCCUUCCUCAGCAGCUUCUAGGGAAGACCAUCAGCAUUUAGAACGAAAUGCCCCCCUAGAGUACAUAGUGUGGCAGCGAUGGUGUCAGGAUCGGGAUGAGUGCUGAGAUAUCUAGUGUAGGCUGGGUACUCCUCCCCGUCCUCCAAGAUGAUUGGGGUGUCGAGGAAGUCGUUAAUCAUGUUAGCAUCAAAACGAACGACCUGUCCUCACACCAUGCAGAAUCUAGGACUGUGGUCCUCUGGAUCAUAAAGGUUCGAGUAGAACACUUUCACCAGAGCCACAUCGAUCCUCUUCUCCGGUAGUCGUGUAAGCACCUGGUCCCAUCUGCGCCUCCUGAGUUCCUGGACAAACUCAUCGAACAUCCCGGGCCCAAGCUCAACAUUCCUCUCUAGAAAGAUGUUCUGGAGCUGAAUGUUGUUCUGGUACCUGUGCCAGGAAAUCUCUAAAGUGAAGCGGGAAGAGUCCCAGUUGGAUGCUUACCCGGGUGUGGGCACGGCUCAACGUUUGCAGGAGGCCAUCUGAAAAAAAACAACAAAAAAAAACAAAAACAGCAGAAUAGACUGUAGUUAGUAAACAUGGGGGGUGCAAAAAGUAAGGGAAAUAGGGGUGCAGUUAGUAAAGCAGGGGGUGUAGAAAGUAAGCAGAAGGGAGGUGCAGUUAGUAAGGAAGGGGUGCAGAAAGUAAGCAGAAGGGGGUGUGGAGAAUAGAAGUGGGGGUGCAAAGAGUAAAGGGUGAGGGCUAUUGGGCCCUAAGGCCCAGUCACGCGCUUGACACCCCUGUGCACGUUGUUGCUGGCACGCGCUUAGUGCGCUCACUGAGGCUCAUGAGUGCGCUUAGCGCGACAGCUCCCGCUAAGCGCGUGCUUCGUGUCCACUAUACUGCAGCAGCUUGCGAAGUAGCGCUUAGCGCAUUCGCAGGACGUCUUUCUUCUCCCCUUAGGCCCUUGCUAGGGCUCAGCGCGCUAAUACCUGUUCAGAAUUCAACAGAAAAUCCAGACCUCAAGCUUACGUCUGUAUGUAUAAAGGAAUACGUGAAAAAUCGCAGAAAAAUAUGUAAAUGAGAAGGAAAAUGCAGAGCAGAGGAGGAGGUAUAGCAGAAAUGAAAGAAGGAAGGAAAAAGAAUAGUGGUGGAAUUCUGGAUUUUAAAAGGUAAGGGAGGCAGACGAGGGGUUGGGCAGUUUUUGAAAAAUUCCCAGCAAUUAUGGGACACGCGCCCAGCGGGAGGUUGCCGCUAAGCGCUCCAAGGCCUACUGACCCUUGGCAUUCCCUCGUAUUUUAAAAUUCAAAUUUCAAAAACUUACCUGGGCGCUUAGCGCGAGGUCGCGCGCUAAGCGCGUUACUUCAUGCAGCCCACUUCAAUUUGCUAUUGGUACCCCUCCUAUUACUGUCUGCACCUGUUGGGCCUUUGCUUUUUGUACCCCCUGUUUGGGCCCCUGUUUUUUUUUUUAGAAUAGAAAAUAACAAAUGCAAAAUAUAAUAAAGACAAAAUAUAAGAAAGACAUAAUGGCUAUAAAUACCGGAAAUAAAAUGUUGGGUUGCCUCCCAACCAACGCUUAGUUUAAUGUCUUUAGCUAGACAUAGGGCUUCUUUCAAGGAUCUUUUAAAUGCAUGACGGUCGUCAACUUCUCUAGUUGUCCUCCAUUGUAGAUCUUUAAGCGUUGUCCGUUGACGAUCCAUUUCUUCUCAUAAUUGUCUACUCAAGGGUCCACCAAUUCUACCGCUACAUGAGGUCUGAUUUCUUUAGUAAUGAACGGUCCUGACCACUUUGACUUCAGCUUUCUCGGGAAUAGUCUCAACCUGGAGUUGAAGAGUAGUACCUGCUGCCCUGGCUGGAAUUCUUUCUUUUGUAUCUUCUUAUCGUGAUAUGCCUUAGUCUUCUGAUUGUAAAUACUAGAUGAUUCAUAAGCGUUCAACCUCAUUUCUUCCAAUUCCAGCAACUGCAGCUUCCUCUUCUCUCCGCAUGCACUAUUAUCAAAGUUUAGGAAUUUAAGAGCCCAAUAUGCUUUGUGCUCCAACUUUACUGGUAGGUGGCAUGCCUUCCCAUAUACUAGCUGAAAGGGUGAUAAGCCAAUGGGGGUCUAAAAUGCUGUCCCCUAGGCCCAGAGUGUGUCAUCGAGCUUCAAAGCCCAAUCCUUCCUUGAUGAUGCUACUGUCUUUUCGUGGAUUCGCUUUAGCUCUCUAUUACAGAUCUCUGCUUGGCCAUUUGUUUGCGGAUGAUAAGGUGUAGCUACCUUAUGUCGCACAUUGUAUUGCUCCAGGACUUUUCUCAGAUGGUUGUUACAAAAAUGCAUGCUCCCAUCGCUAAUUAGAGCUCUCGGGACUCCAAAACGGGAAAUGAUGUUCUUCUUCAAGAACUUGAUCACUACCUUGGCGUCAUCUUUUGGUGUGGCUAUGGCCUCCACCCAUUUGGAGACGUAAUCCACAGCUACCAAGAUGUAGACAUUCCCGUAUGAAGAAGGAAGAGGCCCCAUGAAGUCUAUGCCCCAGCAGUCGAAAAUCACAACUUCCAUUACAUUUUGUAAUGACAUUUCAUUCCUUCGUGAGAUUCCCCCUGUUCUUUGGCAUCUAUCGCAAUAUCGCACGAACUCAUGGGCAUCUUUAAAAAUGGAGGGCCAGAAAAAACCUGAUUGUAGCACUUUUGCCACUGUUCUGUCCCCAUUGUGAUGACCACCAUAGGGUUAACCGUGGCAGUGCCAAAGAAUAUUUCGCGCUUCUUCCUUCCUAACACAUCUUCUUAACAAAUUAUUAGCCCCUGCCUUGAAUAAAUGAGGAUCAUCCCAGACAUAGAAGCGUGAAUCAUGCAAGAAUUUCUUCUUCUGAUUCCAAUCAAGUUCUUCUGGAAUGAUUCCUUUGGCUUUAUAGUUGGUCAUUUUCGCAAACCAAGGUCGAGUGUAGGCCUGUAAAAGGAAUUCGUCAGAGAAUUUGCCUUUUACCUCUGGUUCCUCCUUGGUAAUCUCCUCAUUCUUCAAUCUGGACAAAUGGUCAGCCACUACGUUUUCGGAUCCUCUCUUAUCCUUGAUGGUGAUAUCAAAUUCUUGUAGCAACAGGACCCAUCUAAUUAACCUCGGCUUCGAAUCCGCCUUAGAUAGAAAAUGCUUGAUGGCGGCAUGGUCAGUGAAGAUGAUGACCCUUGAUCCUAUCAAGUAAGACCGAAACUUUUCUAAGGCAAAAACAAUGGCUAGCAUCUCCUUCUCUGUAGUGGCGUAAUUUAAUUGUGCCUCGUUUAUGACUUUGCUGACAUAAUAUAUGGUGUGAAAAACCUUGUCAUGCCUUUGUCCCAGAACUGCACCUACUGCAUAAUCGCUAGCAUCACACAUCAAUUCAAAAUUCUUGCUCCAAUCUGGGGCAAUCAUUACUGGUGCCGUGGUGAGCCUAUGCUUUAGUGUCUGGAACGCUGCUGAACAUUCUUUAUCAAACUUAAAGGCUACGUCUUUGUUCAGCAGAUUACUUAGGGGCUUGGCGAUUUUUGAGAAGUCCUUAAUGAACCUCCUAUAAAAGCCAGCAUGCCCCAAGAAACUUCUGAUGCCUUUGACAUUCAGUGGUGGUGGCAACCUCUCGAUGACGUCUAUCUUUGCUAGGCCAACUUCUAUUCCUUUACAUGAGAUCUUGUGACCCAAAACAAUACCCUCUCGAACCAUGAACUGGCACUUUUCCCAAUUCAAUACCAAAUUGGUUUCGACACACCUUUGUAAUACCUUUUCUAAAUUAUCCAAACAAGUGUCGAACGAGGGUCCAAAAACCGAGAAGUCGUCCAUGAAAACUUUGAUACUCUUCUCCACCAUAUAUGAGAAUAUGGCCAGCAUGCACCUCUGAAAUGUAGCUGGUGCAUUUCACAAUCUGAAUGGCAUUCGCCUGUAGGCAAAAACACCAUAGGGGCAUGUAAAGGCCGUCUUUUCCUGAUCCUUGGGAUCCACCGCGAUUUGAUUAUAGCCUGAGUAUCCAUCCAAGAAAUAGUAGUAUGAUUUCCCUGCAAGUCUUUCCAACAUCUGAUCCAUGAAGGGCAAUGGAAAAUGGUCCUUUUGGGUGGCUUCAUUUAACUUGCGGUAGUCAAUGCACAUCCGCCAACCAGUGACAGUUCGUGUGGGUAUUAGAUCAUUCUUUUCAUUCGUCACGACUGUCAUUCCACCUUUCUUGGGGACCACUUGUACCGGACUGACCCAACCGCUAUCAGAGAUAGGGUAUAUGAGUCCAUCCUCUAACAGCUUAAGCACUUCCUUCCUUACUUCUUCUUUCAUAGUUGGAUUUAGACGUCUCUGAGGUUUUCGAAUAGGCUUGUAAUCGUCCUCCAUCAUUAUUUUAUGCAUGCAGUACGAAGGACUGAUUCCCUUCAAGUCAGAUAUAUGCCAUCCGAUUGCUUCCUUAUGCUUCCUCAGGAUGCCCACCAACUUGUUCUCUUCUUCCUGUGUUAGUGCAUUACUAAUUACUACAGGUUUGGUGUCACCCUCCAGGAACACAUACUUUAAAUGCUUAGGCAAUACCUUUAAUUCGACCUUCUUUUUCUCGGGCAGAGCCUCAUUCUCUAAUAUCUCAAAACAAGCUUCUUUCUCAGGAAUGACUUCUUGCCGAUCCAAGUCUUCCAAGCAAGCCUUUAGAUCCUCUUCUUCUUCACUGGUGAGACAGUCCAUCUUAUUUACCAUUGCUUUCUCCAGUGAAGUGUAUGGCAGUUCCAAAAUAUUGACAUUAUCUUCCUUGUCAAUCUCUUCUAUCUUGAAGCACUUCCAACCUUCCCGUGGAUAUUUCAUUGCUUUAAAGAGGUCAAAAGUUAUCUUCUGGUUGUCAAUACUCAGUUCCAAGCUUCCGUUCCCUAUAUCUACCACACAGUUGGCAGUCAACAUGAAGGGUCUGCCUAAGAUAAGGGGAAUCUCUGUGUCCUCAUCGAUGUCCAUGAUAACAAAGUCCACCGGAAAAGUGAAGUGGCGAACCUUGACCAGGACAUCUUCUACCACCCCGUAUGGUCUCGUAAUGGAGCGGUCUGCCAAUUGAAGUGUCAUCUUAGUGGGAUCAAUUUUCAGAUUCCCAAUUCACCUACACAUUGAUAAGAGCAUCAAAUUGAUGCUUGCCCCUAGAUCAAUGAGGGCUUUAUCUACCACUUCUUUUCCUAUACUGCAUGGGAUGGUAACGCUUCCGAGGUCCUUGAACUUUUUAGGUAGUUUCCUUUGAAUGAUCGCGCUACAGUUGCCUCCUACUACAAUGUUCUCGCUAUCUAUAUAUUUUUCCUUCUUAGUGAUGAUGUCUUUCAUGAACUUAGAGUAGAGGGGCAUCUGUUGCAACGCUUCCCCGAAUGGCAUCGUGAUCUCCAGUCCUUUAAAUAUUUCUAAGAAACGCAUGAAGCAGUGCUCUUUAUUCUUCUUGGUCGACACCUUUGGAUACAGAAGAUCCUGCGGCAAGACUGGCGAUUCUUCGUUCUUAGCUUUUCUUGCCUUUUGACUCUUGGUAUUAGGUGGUGAGACCACCUUCUCUUCUUCCUCUAGCUUUUCUUCCUCUUUUGUUUCUUCCUCUUUCUUAUCCUCAGUUCCAUCGUCUUCUAUCAUCGUUCCUGCUUCUUGAGUGUUCUUUUGUGCUUGAGUCAUUACUGCUUUACACUCUUCUCUUAGGUUAUUUUCUGAAUUAGCCCCAAAAGUUCUUGUGGGCCUUUCAGCUCUUUCAUGGGCUAGUUGACCCAGUUGUGUCUCCAGGUUUCUGAUAGCUGCAUCUGGGCUCUUUGGGAGUGAUCUCGUCUCCUGGAUGAAUGCCUUUGUCUCCUGAGUGCUUGCCCUUGUUUCUUGGAUGAAUGCCUUUGUCUCCUGAGUGCUUGCCCUUGUUUCUUGGAUGAAUGUCUUUGUCUCCUGAGUGCUUGCCCUUGUUUCUUGGAUUAAACUUAAGAGCAUUUCCUCUAUACUGAGAGACGGAUUCUCUUGCUGACUCGGACCUUGACUAGGGUGCUGGUACGGUGGUUGAGGCCUAGGCUCCUUGUACUGAUUUCCUUGAUUUCUCCAGCCGGAGCCUUGGUUAAAGUUUCUUCCCUAGUUAAAUCCUGGUGGUCCGUUAUUGUAUCCAGAUGGGUUUCAUUGGUUGUAGCCUUGGAAACCGUGGCGAUUAGGAUUGCCCAUGUAAUUUAUUUCUUGAGAGGGCUCAUGUUGGAUUGUGCAUUGUCCAGGCUCAUGUGUCCCUCCACAUGUGGGACAUCCCUCUACUUGCAAAACAGGGGAAUGAGAAAUAUUCACUACUUGCAGUUGUUGGGGCAAUUUGUUGAGCGUCUCCGUAAGAGCUUCUAGUUAUCUGCACAACAACUUAUGUUGUGUCAGAGUUGCGUCUUGUGUACUAAGCUCUAAGAGGCUUCUCUUUGUUGGGACAUAAGAACGGUCACGGAGGAUAGCCUGAUCGCUAGCUACCAUGUUCUCAAUGAGUUCCAUCGCUUCUUCGGGUGUCUUUAACUUGAUCUUUCCUCCCGCGGAUGCGUCCAGUAAUUGCUUCGAUUGAGGUCGUAAUCCAUCAAUGAAGAUGCUUAAUUGUACUGGUUCACUAUAUCCAUGAGUGGGCGUUUUCCUUAACAAUACAUGGAAACGAUCUAAGGCUUCGCUAAGGGAUUCAUCUGGGAAUUGAUGGAAAGAUGAGAUUUCCAGUUUCCCUUCAGCUGUCUUGGAUUCAGGGAAGUACUUUUUCAGAAAUUUCUCUACAACUUCUUCCCAAGUCCUAAAGGUGUUGCCCUUAAAAUAAUGCAACCAUCUUUUUGCCUCUCCCGCUAACGAGAAAGAAAAGAGGUUGAGGCAUACCGCUUGGGCUGGAACUCCCGCUAUCUUAACCGUGUUGCAUAUUUCUGUAAAUGAGGCUAGAAGCGUAUAGGGAUCCUCACUUGGGAGACCAUGGAAGAGGUUUCCCUGAAUCAACUGAAUGAGAGAAUGAGAGUACGAAAUAUUAAGGGCUUGAACCUUUGGCAGUGUGAUACUUGUGAAGAAUUCAGGAGUAGUAGUAUGAGAGAAAUCUUCUAAUGUAACCCUACGUACUGGUUCUCCGUCCAUUUGAACAUAAUUUGGAGAGAGAGGAGGUGAGGUAUCUAUGUCUUGAUCCCUUUGUCUUCUUGCGGCAUUGUUACGCCGACAGGUAGCUUCGAUUUCUAAGUCUAUGGGAACGAUAGUAGAUUUACCUCGCAUAAAAACACAAGGUUCUACCCGUUUAAUUUAUGGAGAAGGAAAGAAUGGGGAAAGAGGAGUAGCGAUAGAAAGAAUGGCCAAGAGAAUGGCCAAGGGAUAGAGGAGGGGUGAUAGAAAGAAUGGCCAAAAGAAUGGCCAAGGGAUGGAAAGAAUGGCCAAGAGAAUGGCCAAGAGGGAAACAAAUUACAAACUGAUAGUAUGGCCCUUAAAUGCGAAAACAAAAUCCCCGGCAACGGUGCCAAAAACUUGUUAGCUCUUUGGCAAGUGUACCAAAUCGCUCGUAGUAAUAAUCUCUCGGUAAGCCGAGUGUCGUACCACAGGGAUUUUGUUGCACUUAUGUGAAGUACUUUUCAGUUUGCAAAUUGUAAAUUUAGUGUAUAAAAUUAAAUGCAGUUUAAAUCUAGCAAGGGAUAAGAAAUUUAAAAUAAAAGAUAAAGAAAGAUAAUAGAUAAGAUAAAGAAAAGAUAAAAGAUUUAAAGAUAAAAUUAACGGAUAAAGAAAAAGGUAAUUUAAAUCUAAGCAGCUACUUCUAAAUUAAAGGAAACUAAAGCAAUAAAUAAAGAAUAAAGUCUAUAAAAUAUUACUAAAUCUAAUAAGCCUAAAUACCUACUCCUAAAUAAUGGAUAACUACUCCUAAUAAAACCCAACAGUAAAAUAAGGAAUAACUACUUCUAAGAAACCCAACAAUAAGGAGUAACUACUUCUAAGAAAACCCAACAAUAUAAUAAGAAACUUCAAACAAUAAAAUAGAGAAUAAAAUCUAUAUAAUAAAAUUGCUAAAACCUAACAAGUCUAAUCAGCCUAGAUAUAUGGAUUCAGGAUUUGUCUGUUAUCAAUACCAGUGAACUGAUUCUGCCCCACAUCUAUCCAUCUACUUACCCCUGAUGCCUCAUGAUGACAAGCCUACCUUAAUUACCUAUCUUCCAAAUGCCCUUUGCGAAGACUCAAUAACUAAGAUGCAUUAAGAUUAAAUUCUAGAUUUUUGCUAAAGCAUCAGCAUCGGGUCAAUGCUAACCCUAUGAUUUCUUUCUUUUAUUGUUCUAUUAAGCGUUACCCUCUCCCGAGUGGACUAAUCCUUAAAACAGAUUCACGCAUUCAUUCCUUACCCCUAAUUAGGUUUUACCCUCUACCGAGUGGACUAAAGGCUAACAGAAAAUAAAGACUGAGAUGCAGAAUAAAUAAGAAAGAAAAGCAGAUAAAAGAACCUGGAAGGAAAACCCUCUAAUGAUAACCCGAUAAUUUCUUCCUUUUAUUGUUCUAUUAAGCGUUACCCUCUCCCAAGUGGACUAACCCUCAAAACAAAUUCAUGUAUUCAUGCCUUACCACAAAUUAGGCUUUACCCUCUCCCGAGUGGACUAAACCCUAACAGAAAAUAAGGUCCGAUAUAUAGGAUAAAUAAGAAAGAACGGUAAAUAAAAGAACCUAGAAGGAAAUCCUCUUUUUAUUGAUAACUCUUGAAAUGCUCCAUACAUCAUUGGCUUUUUAGGCCUGCCAGGCCCUAGCUAGGGGUUUAGCCACUCAUAGUCAUGAGGGCUUUACAAUGAGAAGGGGGGUGAAAGAAAGGUAAUAAGAAUAUAAGAAAAAGGAAGGAAAAGGAGAGAACUGAGUGCCAGAAGUCUGAAAACUGAGCUUUGAGGAAGUAUGUUCAUUUUCCUAGGCUGACCCUUUUAUUUAUAGGUGCAAAAUUGGGCUUGGGCCUUCGUAGUCUCGCUGAGCGCAAAGCCUCGCGCUCAGCGCCACUGCGAGCUUAGCGCCUUGUCUGCUUGCGCGUUGGGCGUGUCUCGCACUUAGCGCUUUGCUGGACUUGGGCUUCUUCUGAUUUUCUUCUUUUUUUUCUUUAUUUCUGCUCCUUUUUGCUUGUUGUACCUCCCUUUUUCACAUCUGCAAUCAGAAUUCGAAUCUAAUUAAAUCUUUCCAAUUUAAAGUAUAAAUAACUGCUAAAUAAUUAACUCUAAGUUAAUUUUAGACUGAUUUUCCACUAUUAAUUCACUAUUAUUUAGCAGUUAUGACGUAUGCAUAAGGCAUUAUGGAUCAAUGCACCUCUUCCGUAUCCUCAGUUAGUCACUCUUUUUCUUCGUCACUUUCAAAUUCCUCUCGAUGAUGAACCUUUUUGUUCAAAGUCAAGAGAUCUUUUGCCAUUGGUGAUGGAGCGGUAACUUCUUUUGGGUACCGUAAAGAUAUUGAUGGACAAUUGAUUAGGAAACAAGAUUUACCACCACCGAUUCCUGAUGAGCGUACUCCGUCUCCUCUGCCACAGAGAGAUGCUUCCUCUACUCUUAUGAAUGAAGUCUUUUCUGAACUACGUGGCCUUCGAGCGUUCGUAAGUGACCGUUUGGAUGCCAUGGAUGCUCAUUUUGAAGGCAUGGAUACACGGAUUACUCAGCUUGAAGAUGACAUGGGUUUCAUUCGCCGUUGCUUCGAUCCACCGGCUGCCCCAUAGUUCUUUCUAGUAGUUCUUUAUUUCAUCCAUGUAUUUGCCUUUUAUUGUUUUGGUUAUGGUUAACUUGCACUUUUAUUACUAUUUCUAGACUUUAAAUUGAUUGGUUAAGACUUUGAGUGGUCUGCUUCAGUUUAUGACUGACUUUGUUUACUAUUGAUUGUUUUCCUUAGUUCUUUUCCUUAUACGUUGUUGGCUUUUUGAUGUUGCCAAAGGGGGAGAGAACAUGGGUUAGAAAUCAUUAACUUAGGCAUAAAUUCCAAAAGAUAGGGGAAGUAAGGGUUUUGUGUACACGCUAUCAACUUGUAUAUAGUUUAUCUUGAUUUUAGGAUAUUGUCAUCAUCAAAAAGGGGGAGAUUGUAGAAGCAAGAUAUUUUGAUGUUUUGAUGAUGCCAAAGGAUCAAGUGCUUCUCAAGUUUUAUUCAAGACAAGAAUCCAAGAAAAUCAAGAUAUAUGAUCAAGUUGAUCUCUAGAAUCUUAGGAAGAAGUUUCCAAAUUGAAAAAGCAAAAGGUUUGGCCAAAGAAUUUUAUCUAAAUCAAUUUAAAUUGAGAUUUACUCUCUGGUAAUCAAUUACCAGUGGCCAAUAUUCUUUCUGAAAAGGUUUUAAAAGGUUUUAAAUAUUUUAGAAAGCAUGUAAUCGAUUACACAUGGCUUGUAAUCGAUUACCAGAGGUUUGGAACGUUUUAAAUUAGCCAUAAGAAAUUUGAAUCUAAAUUUCAAAGUUGUGUAAUCGAUAACAGUAAGUUGGUAAUCGAUUACCAGUGUUUAAAUAUUCAAAUUUCAAAUAAGAAGAGUCAUAACUCUUCAUAAGUAAUAGUGUAAUCGAUUACACCAUUAUUGUAAUCGAUUACCUGUAAGGAUUUUCGAAUAUAACUCCCAAUAGUCACAUAUUUUCAAAUUUUUUUGAAUGUCCAUCAAAGGCCUAUAUAUAAGUGUGUUAACUCGUUGGCAAGUAUACCAAAUUUGUCACAAGUAGUAAAGUACUCGAAAGUCCGGGUGUCGAAUCCAUCGGAACUUUGUUUGUACUUAGAUUGAUGCAAACCCAAUUUAAAAGCAAUAGAUAAAUAAUUUAAAAUGAAGAUAAGAAAAUAUAGUAGAUAAGAUAAAGAUUAAAAGAUGAAAAUAAAAGAUUUAAAUUAAAAGAUGAUAAAGAUUGAAGAUAAAGAAAAUAAGAAAAUAAAAGUAAAAGAUAAGAAAAAUAAAAGAUUAAGAUUAAGAUAAGAAAAGAUAAGAUAAGAAAAAUAAAAGAUAAAAAUAGAAGAUAAAAAUAAAAUAAUAUCAGAAUUUGAUAAGAUUGGGACCUGACCUGCCUUGUCUGCCUAUGAUGUAUGUAUGAGUUUAUGAUUUUUCUUUAUCAAUUUAGGUGAUUCUAUUUUACCCACAUCUGUUCAAUUACUUGCCCCUAAUUCCUCACAAUGACAAGCCUAUUUUAUUUAUCUAUCUUCCAAAUUCUUUUGCAAAGACUCAACAAAUAAAAUGCAUGAAGUAUGAAUUCUAGAUGUUUGCAAGAAUGCAUGGGCAUAAAAUUGUCAUUCUAUUCCUAGCAAUGAUUUUCUUAUGAAAUCCUUUCUUUUUGUUCUAUUAGAAGUUACCCUCUUCCGAGCGUCUAACCCCUAAAACCAAUGCAUGCAUACCUUCUUUAAAUCUUAGUUAGAAGUUAUCCUCUCCCGAGCAUCUAACCCGUAAUAGAAUAUAAAGAUGAAUAAUACAAGAUAAAAGCAGAAAAGAUAAUAGAAUAGAAAACACCUUUGCAUUGAUAAAUAGUGAGUACAUCAUGCAUCGCUUGGCUUUUAGGCCUGCCAGGCCCUAACUAGAGGUUUAGCCACCCAUGGUCAUUGAUGGCUUUACAAUGGAUGGAGUAUAAGAACUUAUGGGAUAAGAGGGGUGAAAGAAAGAAAGGAAGUAUAUGAAACCCAUACUAGAGGGGGGGUUCGUGUUGUGUGUCUCCUCCUUGAUUUGACUCUCUUUUUAUAGUUGUUGGAAUGGACUUGGGCCUAAUGCUAAAAAUCUUCCUCAAUGAUAUUUUUUGGAUUUGUUUUGCUUUUAAUCAUAUCUUCCUGAGACUUCCUGAUAUUUUGGAUAUUUUCUCAAUCUUUUUCUCUUUUAAUCUUUCCUUUUCAUAUCUGCAAGUCAUAAAUAAGAAAAAUAUCAAAUCUUAAUAUUUAAGCCAAAGAUAACUGCUAAAUAAAUAUUUUUAAAGAUAUUUUCAAUAUAUUUUUAUUAUCAAAAUAACUCAUAUUUAGUAGUUAUCAAAGUGACUUGGGAUACGAAAAUUCUAGAGAGUUUUUAUUGCCCAAAAAGUCUUAUCCUCUCUAAAGAUUAAGAGAGUUUUUCUGAACUGAAAUGUCUUAUCCUCUCAAAAAGGAUUCUUUGGUCAAACACUUUUAUAUUCAAUAAGGAAUCUUGAUUGAUCUUCAAUUGUAAUAUCUUUCUCUUUAAAGAGAGAUUUCUUCUUCUCUUCUUUUUACUUUUGGAAAGGGAUUAAGAGACCAAGGGUCUCUUGUUGUAAAGGAUUCCUGAACACAAGGGAAGGGUUGUCCCUGUGUGGUUUAGACUUUGAAAAAGGAGUUUUACAAAGAGAGUGGAAAAUCUCAAGUGGGUUGCUUGAGGACUGGACGUAGGCACGGGAAGUGGCCGAACUAGUAUAAAUCAAGUUUACAUUUCUCUCUUCCCUUAAACUUCUUUUAUUUAUUGCUAUUUAUCUUUUUCUUUAAAUGAUUUUAUUUUGAAUUGUCUUUUGAGUAAUUCAUGUUAAGGGUGCAUUGUUAAUCCAAAAAGAGAGCGUGAAAUUUUAAUUGGGGAAUAGUCUUUGUAUCUUAAUUCAACCCUCCCUUUUUAAGAUAGCUGAUGUCAUUUGUGUAACACAUGAGCUAGUGGCUAACCUCAUGAAUCUGUUAGGCUUGUACCUGGAAUUUAAUUACUAAUAGGAUACUUGAAGGUUUUAAGCUCUUGCAAUGACCUAUUAGUAAAUUAAUCUUUUGGUAAUAUUUUAAUUACACUUUUUGAAUUUUGAUGUAAGGGUUGUGCCUCACUAAUAGGAUAGCUGAAGGUUUUAAGCUAUUGCAGCUUAUUAAGUCCAAAGGGGUUGUGCCCCACAAUCAAUUUCUUAGCUUCACACUUUUAAUACUCUUUCACUUGUUAAAAUGUAUUCAGGGUUUUGAGUAUUUUUUAUUUGGAGGAAAAAGGAAAUUGGUGCAAACUUCAAUCAAUUGGUUUUAAAUCUAACACUAGGGAAUUGCUAUAAUCAGGGUUCAUUAGUCUUCGACACAUAUACAUGUAUCUAUAUAAGUAUGCAACUAGUAUAUGUGUAUAUAAAUACUGAGACAAAAGUCAAAAGAAUAGUAUGUGAUAAUAUGUAUAUACAUACUAGUCCGUACGUACAUACCUAGAGUUGCUAUAAUCAAAGAGCUUCCACAACAACGCCAAUUAGCAGUAGUAAAUGAUAACCUGAAAAAAAAAAAAAGCAUAGGCCAAUUAGCCACAAUGUAUUUAAAGCCUUUUAUCAACUAUGUCCAGAACUUAUUUACUCACAAUUAGUUUAAAACAUUUCAUUAGUAACAACAAAGAACUGUGGACUAUGCAGUAGCAGUAAGUCUUUACUAGAAGAAAAAUUCAUCGACUUGGUAGCAUGACUUCCUCUAACCACAUGAUUAUAAAUAACUAGGCCAAACAGCACUGGGACCAAACUUACAUAUUAUUGAGUUCAAAUAUGUAAAAUGAUUGGGUUAUCAUGAGAGGGUUGUUAUGUUGGGUCUUGAAAAAGAUCAUUUUAUUCAAAAUACUAUCAUUCACAUGUAUGCUAAUAGUGGGUUAUAGACUUAGGCUAGAAGACUGUUUGAUGAACUUGUGGAAAUUGAUGUGGUGGCUUGCAAUUCUAUGAUCGCGGGGCUUGCUAAGUGUGGGGAGGUUGAUAAAUCUAGGAGGUUAUGUCAUAACAUGCCUACAAGAACUAAAGUUACUUGGAUUUCUAUGAUUAAUGAAUAUGUUAGGAAUAAAAGGCUCAUGGAGGCAUUGGAGCUUUUCCGCAAGAUGCAGAGACAAAGGGUUCAGCCAAGUCAAUUUACAAUAGUGAGUCUGUUAGGUGCUUGUGCUCACUUAGGAGCACUUCAACAUGGGGAUUGGGUUCAUGAUUAUGUAGAAAGGGGUCAGAUUUAAAGCCAUGCCAUUUAAGUUUCAUUGUUGUUUUAAAUGCUUCUAAAUAUAUAGGAGUAGUAGAAAAAGUAAGGGAUUAGUCUUUAUUCAUCAAUUGAUUUUUAGUUUUCUCAUUUUCCCACAUUUUUAUUGUUUCUAAUAAUCAAGUUAAUUUCACUUUAAAUUUUCUUGUAGAUAAAACAAACAAGCCCAUAUAAUAAGUUAUAGAUAUACCAACACCUUCAAUAGUUAAAUGUAUCCUAGCUAUAUGGUUGCAUGGAGCCAUGGAACAGAAUGCUAUUAUUCUAAGCCUUCAAAUAAUGAAAAUUUUUUAUAAGAAAAUUUAAACUAUAUCUAUUUGCCCUAUGCAUAUCUCUCUCUAAGACAAAAGAUUAAUAUACAAAUUUACUUAAUUAUGUGCAUCUAAUUAGCCUUAAAUAAAAACCUAAUUUUUGGCUUAAUUGGAGCUCUUGGAUAUUUAAUAGUAGUUGCUAACCAAUGUGCUAGGCAUACAGGCCUCAGGUAGAAUUAAUGUUGAGUUUUGACAUGGUUCUUUCACUCUUUAUUUAGGUUCAAACUUCUAUAAUUUUUUUUCUUCAUGGCCAACUUGAACAAUAAAAACCACAUAUAUCCUCUGAUCAAAGCCUAGCCUAUAACUCACAGGUCCAUAUAAUUCCUUUCCUGCUAUAGGAAACUACUCACUACUACCAAAACACAAAUAUAUACAAAUAGUUUAAUUUAUAUGUCACUAUAAAAAUUAUUAUGUACUCUCAGCUAAUUAGAAAUCACUCUAUGAAUUUUAAAACAACUAUUAAAAAGUCAACAUUUUAUAUGACAUGAUUAGUGUAUUCCAAUUAAAUUCUACAAACAUAUUCAAAAGAUGCAUAUGAUGAAGUCAACUAUUUAUUGGUUUUAAGCUAAAAUCUAUCAUUAGUUAAUUUUGUUCACCCAAAAGUAGUAACUUAAAUUUCUUGCCAUAAUUGAUUAGCUAACAGAUAUCUUAAAUGAAAAAUUAUUUGAAUUAGUCAUAUUAAACAAGUUUUUUCUCACCAAAGAAAAUGAUGUGAAGAGCUUUAUCUGAGAUUGAGACUUAAGCAUAUGCACAAACCAGGGUCAAAACCAUGUUACGGUGUAUCAAAUUCAACAAGAAGAAACAUCAAGUCAAAUGCACGUGAAUUGGAAUAAAAUAGAAUCCACAGACAACCUUGCUAAAAUAUGAAAACUCAUAAAUACACUGAAGAAUUCAUGGCACAAAAAUCCAAGCAUAAGAAGUCAGAAAACAGUUAUAGGGGACCACUCCUAUAGUAAAUGUAUCUCUUACAGAAUCAAUUAAUAGUUGAAAAACAGAAUGCUUCCACACCAAUGUAUUUUGUGGUUUUGAAGAACUUAAAUUCAUGGAUAUGUCAUGUCAUUGAGAUUCAAGAAUGGCAUAAAGCAUGCAAGAAGAGAAACUACUUACAUGAAGGGUUGGCAGCAUGCUUUGUUUCUUUAAGCCAUUACAAAUUUAAUAUUAUAAUAUUAGAUCAUACAAAAGUUUUCAUGAGCAGAACCUACAACAUCUAUAAACAUGGAGUUAAAUUUCUCUUCCUACCCCUACUUUUCAUGCAACGCUGUUGUUUUGCAAAUUGAUCCUGCUACUGGUGCCUCAACAGUGACUAAUAUAAUACCAUAGAUUUUAAUCACCACUAGACAAAAUACAAAAAAGGUGACACAAGGCUUCUUAUCACAUGAUUAGUGUAUUCCAAUUAAAUUCUACAAAUAUAUUCAAAAGAUGCAUAUGAUGAAGUCAAGAAUAGUAGAUGUGUAGAACAUAAACAGUCUGAUACUUGGUUGUUUAGUUAUCUCUCAUAAAGAGGCUUGACAAUUAAUAUACACAACUAAACUACCAUCAUAAUUUGUAAGUGAAUUGAUCAACAAGUUUCUAAACUACCAUCAUCAGCGAUUCAAAAUGAGGUACAUUAUCAAAGGUUGUUUAAAAAGCUUCAAGACUACAAGUUUCUAAAAAUCUUUGGAUGUGCAUUCAUGCUUGGCACGUGCCAUAUCUUCUAAUACUUUUCCUUUGGUCUUGAGAAAUUCUUCCAUAGCUGUGUGAUCAACAACAUCAGAAGAUUUUGCUUUUUCUUUUGUGGACCUUUUUGCUACAUUUGUCCCUAUUGGAUGAUCCAUGGUAGGUGAUGUUGGCUCAUAACUUCAUGACGUAUCCGGAUUAGAAGAGGAUAAGUAUGCUCCAAAAGCAUAAACCUUUGUUCUCUUACUAGAUUAGUCAAAUUGUGCCAACCAUUUAGGAUGAUUUCUCACUAUUUCCCAUACAUUUUGUAAUUUGAAACUUGUCUUCAAAUCUUGCAAAUAAAUCGCAUGUGCAUCUCGCAUGACAUCAAUCUCGAAGCUAUCACUUUUCUUUCUUUGACAGACUUGUUUGUAGCAUGCUGAAAAUUUAUGACAACUGUUGUUGAUCUUUUGCCACUGAUUUUUUAGUUGUUUCCAGUUUUUCUUCUUCAAAUGUUGCUCACGAUGUUCAUUAUAAUUAUCUUCAAUCUUUGUCCAAAAAGAUGCCUUUUUUUGGCUUAUCUUUCAAAUGUUUCUUCUUGUUGUUCUUCUUCAUUAUCCAACCCAGCUUGGGUGGAAAAUGGUGGAAUUUGAGACUUUGACACAAAGUCGGAUGGUAUGCCACGCUCUCUUUCAUUACAUUUGUUCAUUAAAGACCCUUGAUCCAUGGAAUGGUUAAUUGGUGAUGAUUGAUACAUAUGAAAUUGAUAUGCAUGAAAUGUGAGUGUAGAAUAUUGAAAAUUAGCCAUUUAGGAUUGUUUUGUGGGUUGGGUAAAUUUGGAGAAUUUGAAAUUUUGGAUUUUUAGGUUGUUGAUAAGUUGGCAUCAAAGUAAACCUCAGAUUCAUAUUGAAUGAAUUUUGUUGGAUCCAUUGAAUGAAAACAAAUUAAAGAAGUUGGGAAAUUUUGUAGGGUAAAAGUGAGACAAAUUUGAGGUUUAGUUGGGUGAAAUAAAUUGAAGUACCCUUAUAUAUAUACAAUGGUAAAAAUUAAAAAAAUAUAAACUAUCCCAAAUUUUAAUGUUGGUAAAUGGCCAUAAAAAUUUUAAAUGAAGAACAAUGGCUAUAAAUUUGAAUUUCUCUACAUUUUUAUUUUUUAUUAGAAAAAUCUUGAAGCAUCAUUGCUUACCAAAGCAACCCGUGCUUCAUUCUAGUCUUCCAUAUAAUGCUUGUAGUGGAAGGUGUUUUGGAAGCUACGCUGCUUCAGUGAAGAAGUUUCUUCUCAAACAACCAUUGUGGUUGCUCUUAACAAAUCUUCAUCUCUCCACCAUCUUUUCUUGUUUUCUUUCUUUGUUCACAGUUCUUUCCUUCUUAUUUUUGAAAAUUAAACAAAUGUUUUCACGCCUCUUUUUGUGAAGCAACACCAUCCUCAAGCAUGGUGCUAUGGAAGAAUCAUCUCGCAUGUCCACCAACCACCACAGGUCUCCUCCUGACAUCCCUUUUUUAUGCAUGACAUCUUCUCUCAAAACUGCACAACCCACCCAGGCAAACCUAUCAACCACGUCAUCUGAAGCCAACAAAAUUGAAGCUCCACUACUAGAAAACAUGUUUUCUAUGAUGGUUUUGUAGAACAUUCGAUGAUUGUUCACAAACCAUCAUUAAAUUCGUCAUUGUGGAUUUCUCACCCGUCUUAGAAUCCAUAAAAUCUAAGACGGUUUUCAUUGAGAACCGUCUUAGAAUCUUGACAUUAUAAGGCAAUUUUCAAUGAAAAUCGAUGUUGUUUUUUAAUUUUUUUAUAUAUAUUUUUUUUGUUUUUCUUCUAACCAAACAAAAUCAUAACCAAUUAAAGGAUACUAAAGUUUACAACCAUACAAACAUAUUUAUAGAAAAGGAAAUUAAUAAUAUAAUUCAUGUAUUUAUAAUAGAAUUGAAUUGGAAGUUAUACAUACCUCUUGUAUAUGCCAAUUAUGGAUUUAUCCAAUUUUGUAACCGGUCGAUUUUCUACACACAAAAAUAUCACAAACAAAAGACUGAGAUAUGAAACCUCCAACAAUCAAAUAUAAUGAAACCGAGAGGAAAAUAAAAUGCAACCAAAUAUUGCCUAAAGCAACAAAAUAACAAAGAUCACUAUCACACUAAUAAUAAUAAUAAUAAUAAUAAUAAUAAUAAUAAUAAUAAUAGAUAAAAAAAGGAGUCAGGGAUAAAAAAAUGCCUUGCACUCAUUUUAGUUUCACAUUUACAAAUUGUCACCUUACUUUUUUUCUGUUUUCUGUCUAUAAAUCUUUGAAAUCAAGAAGCAAAGUAAAAACAAAAUUGAAAAUUUUUCAUAAUUAUUAUUCCUAUAAAUAAGGAAAAACUUAUUCCUAAACCGACUCUAAAAGUACCAACUUCACAUAUGCAAAGAACCACAAUAAAAGAUUAGUCAUGAAUUAACAUCUAAAGCCAGUUGCAUAAAUUUCCAAUAAUUAUAAGUUACAACCUACCCUUCAGUAGGAGGGCGACGCGAAGGCUCACGGGUGAGUCUUCCAAGAAAGAAAAACGUGCGGAGUCGCCACCAAUGUUUAUUUAAGGAAAACAUUAGAAAAACCAAAAUGUGGGUCUACAAAGUUUAAGUAUGAAAGGUUCGAGAGUUGUUUUUCCGCACGAGGAAGGUAUUAGCAUCCCACGCGUCCGUCAAAAGGGAUGACAGCCUCUAAUCGAGUGUGCAAAUCAUGGCUUCAAAAUUAUGUAUUUUCCCUUUUUAUGUUUUCUUACUUUUUUAUGGUUGACAAGGGUGUUUCCCUCGCUCCUACGUAUCCUCAAUUGCGAUGAGGAAAUCAGACCUACAUAGUUCUUUCAGAACUAAAUGUUGGUUAAACUGUUUUUAUCUUUUUUUCACAAGAUUGAUUUUAACCGAACAAAAGUCAUUUAAGACAUUGGACCUUUAAACGAUCUUUUGAUUUUUGAAAAGGGGAGAAAAUUGUUUAAGGCGUUGGACCUUGAAACGACCUCUUGAUUUUGAAGGGAGAGAACCGUUAAGGCAUUGGACCUUUUAACGAUCUCUUUUGGGUAAGAAAUCUUGAGAUGUUGGACCUUGAACGAUCUCUUUUGGGUGAGAAAUGUUAAGGCAUUGGACCUUUAAUGAUCUUAUGGGGUCGACAAAAGCGGGGCUUUUGCUCCUACGUAUCCUCAAUUGCGAUGAGGAAAUAAGACCUACGUAGUUCUUCGAAGGAGUAAGAAAGUUAUGCGAGGUGUUGAUUUUUAGACUUUUAAACAGUUCAUUUUCACUGAUAAAAGUAAAAAAGACCGUUAUGGCGUUGGACCUUGAAAUGGUUUCAAAUGACCUUUAGCGGGCAAAUGUUUGAUUUGUGAGUUGAUUUUAGCCUUAGUUUCACUAAGUUAUUUCUCAACUCAUUUAAAGGAACUUUCAAAAUAAAAUGUAAGAUCGACACUUAUUUUAUUAUUUUUUCAGAUAUUUUUAUUAUUUUAUUAUUUUUUUCAGAUAUUUUUAUUAUUUUAUUACUUUUUAAUAUAUUUUUAUUAUUUUAUUAUUUUUUUGGUUUUUAACCGAGUUAUGGCGUGAACAAUCGACUGGAUUUUAUUUUAAGGGGGAUUAAACGAGAUUACGACACAAACGAUCGGUUGAAAUUCCUUUAAACAUCGAUUAAGUGAAAUUACGGCUUAAACGAUCGGUCGGAACUCGCUUAAAAUGAAGAAAAGAAAUACCGAAAGUAGAAGAAUGAAGAUGAAAACAUACAAAGCAAGAAUGGACCCCUUAGGGUGCAUAGAAUGAAUUCAAAAGCUUCAAAAUCAAAAACUAACCGGUUGAAGAUCGAAGAAUGACGAAGAACAAACGAAGAACGGUGAAGAACGUCCACAGAAUCGAUCACGGAAACGUCUCGGAAGCAUUACGGAAGCACCUCGUCUUGGAUUUUCUCCUUCUUUCUUCUUCUCCUCACUAAUUUCAAGUGAAAACUUAGUGCACAAAAUGCUAAACCCCUUAAACUCAGCCACCCUCUCCUAUUUAUAGCAAAAAAAAUAGGGUUGCUUAGUGAUGAAGUUUUCUUGAGCGCACCCCCCAAUUGAUCAGUUCACCCCCCCCUCUAGAGUGUUCUAGACGAAGUUUCCUGAGUGCACCCCCAAUUGAUCAGUUCAGCCCCAUUUUUGUGUUUCUGGCUAAUUUCUUUCCGAAACAUUGCGGAACUUUACGGAUUACGCGACGAUGGGUGUUAAGCAACUCAACUCAGUUGGCGAGAAUCUAAAUGUUUGCAAAUGAUUAUCCCCGGACGAGAUUUGGGUAUGACAAUAAGUACUUGUAGGAACAGAAAAUAAUAAGAUAAAAAAAUAAAUUGAUUUUUGUUUCAUAAGCUAAAAUCAAUUUAUGUACUAAACUUUUUCUUUCAUGUAACUUCUCCAAUAAAAGCUAAAAUCAAUUUUAUGUACUAGCCUUUUUGAUCCAAGAGAAAAGGGUUGUGGCUCUUGUACCCUCCUUGCAACGGAUGCAACCUCUUCCAGAUCUUGUUGGGGUAGUACAACACAUUGUUUCUAGGCCUGAUUGACAAAAAAGCAAAGACAAUCAUAAAUAGAGAUAAAUUUGUUAGCACUAUACUGUUUUAUUGUGAAAAAUAAAAUCCUAACUACUACAUCAUCAAGGCGGAGACUCAGCCGAGGUAGGCAUGGCUGCUAGGGCCAAGAGCGAUGGGGGUGUCGACAAGUCCAUCGCUGACUACGGCAGGGCCAGAGGGAGACAUGGGGAUGAGAGGAGAGUCGGUGGGGGAGUUAGAAGGAGAGAAAGCGAUGGGGCCGGAGGAGGAGGAGGAAGGGAUGGGGGUGGUGGGUAGAGGAGAUGCUUUGGGUGCAACAGCCUGUGGCAACGACGACGAGGCUUUGGGAGUUGCGACGGGGGAACCUAAUGGAGAUUGAGCAAGAAAUUUUUAUUGAAAGAAGAUUAAAGAAUAUGAAGGGUUGAAGGUGAUAUAUGAGUGUGGUUUGUUUGUAUCUCGAUGGGUCCUACCGAGUCAACCACGACGUUUUUCCAAAAACUGUCAUUGACCAACAAGUCUCAAUGACAUUUUUCCAAAAUUUGUCAUACACUAACUAAUAUUAACGAGUCCCAAUGAUGGUUUUCCUAAAACUGUCAUAGUUUCGCUAAUCUUAAUGACGAUUUUUCCAAAAACCGUCAUUAACGACUCCGAUUAAUUACAAAAAUGCCACAUUGCUAUUUUUAAUGACGGAUUUCCAAUAAUUGUCGUAGAUCCAUCGUCGUGGAAUGAGUUGUUUUAGUAGUGCUCCAAACUAUCAGAUGUGGUUCAACAUUUUUAAGUAGUAAAUGACUCGGAAGUCCGAGUGUUAAAUCCACAGGGACUUUGGUUGUACUUAAAAUGAUGCAAACACAAUUAUUAAGCAAUUAGAAGAAGUAUAAGAGAUAGGGAAUUGUAAGUGUGAAAAUUGGAGUAGACGAAAACAAAAAGAGAUAACAAUAAAAGAUAAACAAUAAUUUAAAUGUAGAAAGAUGAAUUCAGAAUGUGAUAAUAUUGGGACCUAACAUGCCAAAACUACUUGUAAUGUAAUGUUAAUGAUUUUCUCUAUCUAAUGAAAUCCUUUUUUCCACCUACAUCUACUAAGACACUCUAUCUUUGGUUUCGUGCACAAAGAGCCUAAUUUAUUUAUUCUUUUCUCCCAAAUUUCUUUGCAAAGAUAAAAAUAAUAAACCGCAUUAAGAUUAGAGAUGCAUAAAUUGGGCAAAACAAAUAUCAAUCUAUUUCUAGCAAUGAAUUUAUUUAGACAACUUUCCCCAGUUCUUUAGAAAAUGACCAUUUUUCAAUGCAUUACCCUCUAAACAUUAUAUGGAUGAUUAGGCCAUAAUAAACAAAAAAGCACAGAGAAGAAUAAUAGAAACAAGAUUGCAUUAAAUAGAUAAUGGAAAAGAGUUACAUUACAAGAGUUUGGCAUGCCAAGCUCCAAACAAAGGGGGUUUAGCUUUUCAUAGCCAUGAGAGACUUUACACUUCAGGAGCUAAUGUGGAAGGAAGAAAGGGCUAGAUGACUAGAAGAAAGAAGGGGAUGAAUGGUUAUAGCAGGAGGGUUUCCCCUAUUAGAGAUGCUCAGGCUUUGGAUUUCUUCACUAGAGAGCUUUGAGACUCAGUGUGUCUUUCCCUUCUGCUUCCUACUCCUUUUAUAGGCCUAAGGUAGCUUACUUUUCACGUUAACUUUGUGUUGAGCACGCAUUCUUGGGCUUAGUGAGUAUGGUGGUUUAAUCAGGCGCUUAGCAUGGUGCUCGUGCUAAGUGUGACCUUGGGCUUUCUUGUGGGCCUUCUUUGCACUCAGUGUGAGUUGGUCGCUAAGUGAGCACGCGCACUAGGCCGGUAUCGCGCACUAAGCGAGCUGUCCAAUUCUUCCAACUUUUCUUCAAGACUUUUUCUUCCAAUUUUUGCUUCAAUUUUCCUCUAAAGCACUUGAAAUCUUCUUCUUUUGAAUUCUGCUGAUCAAAAACUGCAAAGAUAUUAAUUUGUUUAUUAUUUCAUUAAAAAAAGUAAAUUAAAGAAAUUACAAUCAUUCUUAGCCCAAAUUGACUAUCCAAUUUUGCAUUUAUCAAACGGUACAAGUAUUUUUGGCCUGAAUUCAACCAUAAUCGACCACUACUCACCCUUACCAUGAAGUAUCCGAAAAAUGAACCACCCGUGGAGCAUUAAAAAUUUACUUGUAAUAUUGGGUCACUAAUUGGAAGAAAAUAUAAUAAAAAAUCAAAACAACAUUUUUUACUUAAAAAAUGAAAUUUCCCAAAAAAAAUAAAAAUCCUUUUUGUCAAACUCUUUAACCAUUUUCAGUUGAGGCUUGUCUUCCUCCACCUCUCUUUCUCUUUUCCCAUUUUCAAAUUGAUCGGUAGUGUCGCUGCUCACACCAUCGCUACUUUCCCCAUGGAUAUAUAUACACAGGUAAAAAUUAAAAAAUAUAAACUAUCCCAAAUUUUAACGUUGCUAAAUGGUCAUAAAAUUAUUAAAUGAAGCACAACAGCUAUUAAUUUGAAUUUCUCUUCAUUUUUUUUCUUUUUCUAUUAGAGAAAUCUUGAAGCAUCGUUGCUUACUGAAGCAAUCGAUGCUUCAUUCUAGUCAUUCUUACAGUGCUUGGAAUGGAAGGUGUUUCAGAAGCUACACUGCUUCAGUGAAGGAGUUGCUUCUCAAGCAAUCGUUGCAGCUGCUCUCAACAAUUCUUUAUCUCUCCACCAUCCUUUCUUCUUCUCAACACUUUCUUUCUUUUCUUUCUUUGUUCAUAGUUCUUUCCUUCUUAUUUCUGAAAUUUAAAUGAAUGUUUUCAUGCCUCUUUGUGAAGCAUUACCAUCCUCAAGCAUGGUGCUAUAGAAGAAUCAUCUUGUGCGUCCACCAACCACCACAGGUCUCCUCCUAACAUCCUUUUUUCUGUGCGUGACGUCUUCUCUCAAAAAUGACACAGCCCACCCGAGCAAACCCAUCAACCGCGUCAUCUGAACCUGACAAAAUUGAAGCUCUAAAAUAUCGAUUGCGGUUCAACAUUUGUUGUGGUCAAUUUUCAACGGUUCAAGUAUUUUCGGCUCGAAUCCAACUAUAAUCGACCGAUGCUCACUCAAAUCAUGAAGUAUCAAAAAACUAAAAAGUGAAUCACCUGUGGAGCAUUAAAGAUUUACUUGUAAUAUUAGGUCACUGAUAGAAAGAAAAUAUAAUAAAAAAUUAAUACAACAUUAAUGUAAUCCUACCCCCCAACGACAUUGAAUAGAAGACUCCAAGAAGAUUGGGCCAGAGAUGCAAGAGAAGGCCCUAGGGUUCUCAUGAGCCUUAGGGUAGAUUUUGGGCCCAUAGGCUAAGUAUGAGCCCACUUAUCUUUAUACAUAUUAGAUUAAUGUUUCAUUAUUUUUGGGCCUUGUAUUUAGGGCUCCAUAAUGUAGGUAGGGUAUCCUAGAAAUAUAGGAAUUUUUAGCCCUUGUAUUUUAGGGCACCAAGACUAGUUUUUUGUAUUAGGAGUAGUUUUAUAAUUUCACAUGCAUUAAGUGAAUAUUUGAUGUGAGUGUUGGGAAAUAAAUUUAAUUGAAUUGUGAGAAGCCCAAUCUAAUUAAAUUUUAGAGGGGGAGGUGAGCAUUUGCUUGCUACACCCCAAUGCCACAUCAUAUAGUCACACUUUGUGCAUGUCCUUCAUGCUUUACAUGCCUCAUGACACCUAAGCACAAUUAGUGGAGAAUCUUGGACUUGAUCUUGUUGGACAAGUGGCCUCAGAAAUUUUAAGAAGGGGGGAGGGUUGAAUUAAGAUUUCGUUGACUAUUCCUAAUUGAAAAUUUCCCUUUCUUAGAUAUUCCCUAGAUUCAAUUAUUUCUUUAAUUGUAAAUUACUCAAAUAACAAAUAAGGAGAAGUAAACUUAAAGAAAUAUAAACACAACAGAAAGUAAAAGAGAUUAAGGAAAGAGAGAAUGCAAAACCAGAUUUAUACUGGUUUGAACACAGCUCGUGCCUACGUCCAAUCCCCAAGCAACCCACUUGAGAUUUCCACUAUCCUUGUAAAAUCCUGUCGCAACGUGCCCUUUUGCGGGCGAGCGAAGGCGAGGCUCACGGGUGCGCUUUCCAAAGGAGGAAAGAUGCGCGGAGUCACCACCAACAUUUAUUUGUGGGAAACGUCAGAAAAACCGAAGGAAACCGGUCGAAAUGAAAAUUCUAAGUUCGGGAGUUGUAUUUACGUUUGAGGAAGGUAUUAGCACCUCUCACGUUUGUCUCAAAGGACAACAGCCUAUUUUUUAGAAUUGUGGAAUUGUGUUAUCUUAACUUUUAUUUCUUUUUAUUUUUUGAGGUCGACAAAAGCGAGGCUUUUGCUCCUACGUACCCUCCUUUGGAAAGGAAAUCAGACCUACGUAGUUCUUUCUUAUGCGUGAAUCAAGUGAUUCUUUUUACUUGAAGGGUGAUCAUUUUAAGGCGUCGGACCUUAAAAAUGAUCCAUUUUACUUGGUAAGAAACUGAAAUGAUAAACUUUCAAAACCCUAUUUUUGUGGACGAGCUUAACUAGGCGAAUUGAUUUUAGCCUUAGUUUCACUUUAGUUAUUAGUCAAUUCAAUUAAGAAUGAGAAAUCCCAAAGAGAAAACGUCCGAUUGAUUUUUUUGCUUUAUUUUACUAAAAGACAUUUUUUGAUUAUUAUAUUAUUAUUUUACCACUUUUUUUGAUUUCCAACGUGGUUACGGCACGACCGAACGGUCGGAAUUCAUUUUAACCGAAAUUAAUGGAUGAUACAAUUCAAACGAUCGGUGGAAAUUUAUUUUAUUUUUAGAUUAGGCGAGAAAUGAUUUAAAUAAAUGGCUUAAGCACGUCAAAAGGGGGUAUAAAAAGCAAAUGAAAACGAGAAUAAAAAUACAUGAAACAAAAUGUGGACCACCACGGGUACAUAGAAUGAAUUGAAAAGCUCGGUUUGAGGUACUUACCCGUUGAAGACUGAAGAAAACGAAGAACGAACGAUGAAUCUUGAAGAACGGUCGAGAAUCUUCGCGUAAUUACUCACGGAAACGUUACGGAAGCGCCUCGGCUUGGAUUUUCUCCAAGGAAACAAUUUUCCUCAGCAAUUUCGAGAGAGGGAGAAGUGCUAAGAAGGUUGAACCCUUUUCUUCUUCACUCCUCCCCCUAUUUAUAGCAAAAUAGGGGAGGAGCUUGCCAUCCAGCUCGCCCAGGCGGGCAAGGUUGCUUCCUCCAGAAGCAACAGCCUUCUGGAGGAAGGAUCUGGAAGGCCCAAGUGGGCCAAAUUGCUAUUCGUACCCCGCUUUUUACUAAAUGCACCCCCCUUUUACUUUUUUUUUGGUAAUUCUUUUUCCGUAACGUUACGAAACUUCACGAAUUUCGUAAUGAUACUUAUUUUCCUUCCGCAAGGUUACGAAUCCUUACGGAUUAUGUAUAUACUCUUUUUUAGCUUUCGAAGAAGUUACGGAAACUCACGGAUUACGCAAAAACACCUCUUUUCGAUUUCCGCCACAUUACGGAAUUUCACGAAUCGCGUAAGCCUGCUUCCUUUUGAUUUCUGACACGUCUCGGGACUUCAUUUAUUGUGCAACAAAGGACGUCAAGUAUCUCAAAGCGGCUAACCAAAGGUUGCAUGUCAUCAAGUAAUAAUCCCCGGACGAAAUUAGGGUUUGACAGUUGCCCCUCUUUACUUACCUUUUAUCGGAGAUAAGAGGAAAGCAAAGAUAAGACACUGAUUUCGUCCGUCCUGCCCUUUCCGUGAUGACGACUCUCGUCUCUACUCCUUCUUCUUUUCUGCACAACACAAAACAAAAUACAAACAACAACAAGAAUAACAAACUAUACAUAUACACAUUUGGGAAAGGAAACAAUCGGGAACAUAACAAAGAUCACAUUUUCCAGUCAAGAGGAUCCGCCCUUGACGAUGAAAAACUCUGGAGAAUGGAGGAUUGCACUAGAGGGUCCUCACUAGUCAAUCAUGAAGCAUAGCUCCAAACUCUUGGGUGCAGGACGCAUGAAUGAAAAUGCAAUUCAUGGGGCUCCGAAAAAAGGGGUUGAGAAUGGAGAAUUGCACUAAGCAAUCACUACGCACAACUCCAAACUCGAAGGUGGAGGACACAUGAACGAAAAUGCAAUUCAUGGGGCUCCGAAAAAGGGGUUGAGAAUGGAGAAUUGCACUAAGCAAUCACUACGCAUAGCUCCAAACUCGAAGGUGGAGGACACAUGAACGAAAACGCAAUUCAUGGGGCUCCGAAAAAGGUAGAGAAUGGAGAAUUGCACUAAGCAAUCACUACGCAUAGCUCCAAACUCGAAGGUGGAGGACACAUGAACGAAAAUGCAAUUCAUGGGGCUCCGAAAAAGGGGUUGAGAAUGGAGAAUUGCACUAAGCAAUCACUACGCAUAGCUCCAAACUCGAAGGUGGAGGACACAUGAACGAAAACGCAAUUCAUGGGGAUCCGAAAAAGGUUGAGAAUGGAGAAUUGCACUAAGCAAUCACUACGCAUAGCUCCAAACUCGAAGGUGGAGGACACAUGAACGAAAACGCAAUUCAUGGGGCUCCGAAAAAGGUUGAGAAUGGAGAAAUGCACUAAGCAAUCACUACGCAUAGCUCCAAACUCGAAGGUGGAGGACACAUGAACGAAAAUGCAAUUCAUGGGGCUCCGAAAAAGGGUUGAGAAUGGAGAAUUGCACUAAGCAAUCACUACGCAUGGCUCCAAACUCAAAGGUGGAGGACGUAUGAACGAAAACGCAAUUCAUAGGCUCCGAAAAAGGUUAAGAAUGGAGAAUUGCACUAAGCAAUCACUACGCAUAGCUCCAAACUCAAAGGUAGAGGACACAUGAACGAAAACACAAUUCAUGGGGCUCCGAAAAAGGUUGAGAAUGGAGAAUUGCACUAAGCAAUCACUACGCAUUGCUCCAAACUCGAAGGUGGAGGACACAUGAACGAAAACGCAAUUCAUGGGGCUCCGAAAAAGGGUUGAGAAUGGAGAAUUGCACUAAGCAAUCACUACGCAUGGCUCCAAACUCGAAGGUGGAGGACGCAUGAACGAAAACACAAUUCAUGGGCUCCGAAAAAAGUUGAGAAUGGAGAAUUGCACUAAGCAAUCACAACGCAUAGCUCCAAACUCGAAGGUGGAGGACAGAUGAACGAAAACGCAAUUCAUCGGGCUCCGAAAAAAGGUUGAGAAUGGAGAAUUGCACUAAGCAAUCACUACGCAUGGCUCCAAACUCGAAGGUGGAGGACACAUGAACGAAAACGCAAUUCAUGGGGCUCCGAAAAAGGUUGAGAAUGGAGAAUUACACUAAGCAAUCACUACGCAUAGCUCCAAACUUGAAGGUGGAGGACACAUGAACGAAAACGCAAUUCAUGAGGCUCCGAAAAAGGGUUGAGAAUGGAAAAUUGCACUAAGCAAUCACUACGCAUGGCUCCAAACUCGAAGGUGGAAGACGCAUGAACGAAAACACAAUUCAUGGGCUCCGAAAAAGGUUGAGAAUGGAGAAUUGCACUAAGCAAUCACAAUGCAUAGCUCCAAACUCGAAGGUGGAGGACACAUGAACGAAAACGCAAUUCAUGGAGCUUCGAAAAAAGGUUGAGAAUGGAGAAUUGCACUAAGCAAUCACUACGCAUGGCUCCAAACUCGAAGGUGGAGGACACAUGAACGAAAACGCAAUUCAUGGGGCUCCGAAAAAGGUUGCGAAUGGAGAAUUACACUAAGCAAUCACUACGCAUAGCUCCAAACUUGAAGGUGGAGGACACAUGAACGAAAACGCAAUUCAUGAGGCUCCGAAAAAGGGUUGAGAAUGGAGAAUUGCACUAAGCAAUCACUACGCAUGGCUCCAAACUCGAAGGUGGAAGACGCAUGAACGAAAACACAAUUCAUGGGCUCCGAAAAAGGUUGAGAAUGGAGAAUUGCACUAAGCAAUCACUACGCGUAGCUCCAAACUCAAAGGUAGAGGACACAUGAACGAAAACGCAAUUCAUAGGGCUCCGAAAAACGUUUAGAAUGGAGAAUUGCACUAAGCAAUCACUACGCAUUGCUCCAAACUCGAAGGUGGAGGACACAUGAACGAAAACGCAAUUCAUGGGGCUCCGAAAAAGGGUUGAGAAUGGAGAAUUGCACUAAGCAAUCACUACGCAUGGCUCCAAACUCGAAGGUGGAGGACGCAUGAAAGAAAACGCAUUUCAUGGGCUCCGAAAAAGGUUAAGAAUGGAGAAUUGCACUAAGCAAUCACUACGCAUAGCUCCAAACUUGAAGGUGGAGGACACAUGAACGAAAACACAAUUCAUGGGGCUCCGAAAAAGGUUGAGAAUGGAGAAUUGCACUAAGCAAUCACUACGCAUUUCUCCAAACUCGAAGGUGGGGGACACAUGAACGAAAACGCAAUUCAUGGGGCUCCGAAAAAGGGUUGAGAAUGGAGAAUUGCACUAAGCAAUCACUACGCAUGGCUCCAAACUCGAAGGUGGAGGACGCAUGAACGAAAACACAAUUCAUGGGCUCCGAAAAAGGUUGAGAAUGGAGAAUUGCACUAAGCAAUCACAACGCACAGCUCUCAACUCGAAGGUGGAGGACAGAUGAACGAAAACGCAAUUCAUGGGGCUGCGAAAAAAGGUUGAGAAUGGAGAAUUGCACUAAGCAAUCACUACGCAUGGCUCCAAACUCGAAGGUGGAGGACACAUGAACGAAAACGCAAUUCAUGGGGCUCCGAAAAAGGGUUGAGAAUGGAGAAUUGCACUAAGCAAUCACUACGCAUGGCUCCAAACUCGAAGGUGGAGGACGCAUGAACGAAAACGCAAUUCAUGGGGCUCCGAAAAAGGGUUGAGAAUGGAGAAUUGCACUAAGCAAUCACUACGCAUAGCUCCAAACUCGAAAGCGGAGGACACAUGAACGAAAUCGCAAUUCAUGGGGCUCCGAAAAGAUUGGCGAGGAUGGAGAAUUGCACUAAGCAAUCACUACGCAUGGCUUUAAACUCGUGGGUGGAGGAUGCAUGAACGAAAACGCAAUUCAUGGGGCUCCGAUAAAAAGGCGAGGAUGGAGAAUUGCACUAAGCAAUCACUACGCAUGGCUCCAAACUCGUGGGUGGAGGAUGCAUGAACGAAAACGCAAUUCAUAGGGCUCUGAAAAAAAGGCGAGGAUGGAGAAUUGAACUAAGCAAUCACUACACAUGGCUCCAAACUCGUGGGUGGAGGAUGCAUGAACAAAAACGCAAUUCAUGGGGCUCCGAAAAAAAGGUGAGGAGAGAGAAUUGCACUAAGCAAUCACUACGCAUGGCUCCAAACUCGUGGGUGGAGGAUGCAUGAACGAAAACGCAAUUCAUGGGGCGCCGAAAAAAAGGCGACAGGACCAAACGGUCCACCGGUUUUUUUCUCUUUCACCUAGAAAGGGCAAACAUGCUUUUUGCAAAGAAAAAUAAAUCAUUCGCGAGAGCACCAUAUCUUAGAGAAACAAUAUACUCAUGCCAAGGGUAAUCUUCCUUGUAACCGAAAAUGAAGGGCAAGAUGUCAACAUUUAGCUUUUAAAUGAACAUUCAGGGGAAAUAUCGGGCUAAGCUGAAAAUAAAUCACUCAUAGUGUAUAAAACUCACACAGGCAAGUGUUUCAUCCUAUUCCCAAACCAUAACUGCACCAUGACUCUAUUUUGCACACGACCUCCUAUCGAAUCAAAGAUCAAACGUACGAUCAUGAACCAAUAGGAUUUUCUCGAGGGUAGUGUUUUUGGAGAGGAAGCUGGGUGUUUCGGUCUUUUCCUCUUUGUUCAGGUGGGGUGGGAUAUUGCCAGUCGAGAACGACCUUGAAUGGCAAUCUGAAGGGAAGAGACACCAAAAAUGGGUUUUCCUUUGCCGGCAGUCCCUUACCUUGCUGAAAAUUUAUCUGGUCUAAAGAUCUUCCAUUCUCUUUCUUUCAUUGAUCGAGAAUUGCCUCUUUUCCCUUUUUAUUUCCUUUCGAUCUUUGAUCGGGAAUCCUUCCUUUUCUUUCUUUUGUUCUUUUCUUUAUUUUCAUCUUUUUCUUUUUCUUUCUUUCCAUUUCUUCCUUCUUCUUUUUUUUCACUUCUCCUUCCCCCAUCCCUUUCUUUGGGAAAUCGGGUUUUAGCAUUCUAUUCGCUUUCCCUUGAGGAGAUUCCACUGCCUUUGAUUCGGGGAAGGAAUGAGGAUUCUUUUUUAUAUGCCAAUGUUCAAAAAGGUCUAAGGUUGUGUUUAAAUGGGGUCUUUUAUCGUGGGAACCCAAUCUUGAUAUCUGGGGCGAAUCAAAUUUGGGUGUCAAGGUGUAAAUUUCGGGCUGAACUUCCAUAUUGUUCCAUAAGGCACGCGUGACAAUGAUGAUUUGAAAACAACGUGCAAAAUUAGUCAUGGCUACAGCCAUGUGGGCACUCAAGCAUCCUGUUUAUGGCAUUGUGAUACUACGGUUGGGAAUUUACACAAACAAACCCAACGUUUCCCAAUUAUGUUCUUUUAUCAGUUCAAUGAAUUCAUCCAUUCUUAUCUCGGUUUAUUCCGGAAAAUAAACUCUUAGCAUCAGUCCCUUGUUUCCAGAAGAUACGUUUGCUCUUUACGAAUGAUUUAUACUUCUUAACUAUAACAUGUCGACCUUCGCGGUCUUUCUUUCUUUUUCCUUUUUGUUUCAUUUUUAUAUAUUCACAAAAUUAUACACCUAUGGUCCUCUAUGAGGAAAACUUUUCUUUGUACACCUACAUUCUUAUACAUGACAAACUUUUUCUGUACACGCAUUGGAACUCUUUCUCUUUACGUCACACGGUCUAUAUACAAACCCUAUUUACGUUCAAAGAUUUUUUUUUCCAACACAUACUUAUGGUUCAUACAAAAGUUUCUUCAUAUACACUCGUUGCUCACACACACAAGAAUUCCUUUCCACGCAUCAUUUACACACAAAAAAUCCUUUUAUACACACUUUCCUUUUACACAUAUAUAUAAAUAAAAACCUUUUUCUUUUCUUUAUGAACAUGACUUUUAUUCACAACGCUUCUUUCUUUUUAUUAGGAUUUUUUGUUCAUUUUAUUUUUAGGACGACGUUCCUAAAUGAAAAACUCUACACGGUUCCGGAAUUUCAACAAACACUAUUGACAACAACGAAGUAAGCAUUAACGCAAUAGUCCAAACAAAAUAUAUGCACAAAACAAAUGACAAUCGCGACAUCAAAAAACAAACGUUAGUCCCUCAAGUCAUGUAAAUGAUAAAGGAUGAAACAUAAAAGAACAUGAAUUUGGGGAUCCCACGGUCAUGUGGCUCCACAUGCCCCCGGACUCUCGGGUCAUGGUAACAAAAGGUGGGGUGGUCGACAAAAACAGGGUUUUUGCUCCUACGUAUCCUCAAUUUGUGAUGAGGAACUCAGACCUACGUAGUUCUUGAGAACUGUGAGACUAAAAAUAGUCUCGGUGUUUUCCUCACUAAAAUGCAAACAUGCUUUAGUAAAGAGACAAAAAUUCCAACUGAUCAGAGCAACAUAUGCUCCCUUUUUUUUUAUGAAAAAUGAUGUGUCUAUCGGGGAAAGAGAGUAUGCUGAUGAAAUUUUCUCAUAACCGUAAAUGAGAUUCUGGAUGUUAGCAUUUCGUUUCUAAAUGACCAUUUAGAGGAAGCACUGGGCCCAACAAAGAUAGGAGAAAAUCACUCAAAGUGUAUCAAUCUCACACAGGUAAGUGUUUUAUCCUAAUUCCGAACCAUAGAUAUGUCAUGACUUGAUUUUGCAAAUCAUUUCCUAUCAAAUCAAAGAUUACAUGCGUGAUCAUGGAUCAAUAAGACUUAUUUUGAGAAUGGUUUUUAGGUGGGGAAUUUGGCUUUGAGUGUUUUUGCCUUUUCCUUUUCUGUUUUUGUUUAGUGCGUGGCAAGAAAGUCGCUAGCGCACAGGAUUUUGGUUGGCAAUCAAAGGGAGAGGGCCACUUUAGGUCGUGGUUUCCUUUUUCUUGUUUACUUGGUGACAAUUCUGUACUGUUCAGAUACUGUUUGGUCCAAAGACCUUUCUGGAUGUUUCUUUUUCUUCCAAUCCUUGAUCGGGAAUUUUCUUUCCUUUUUUGCUUUCUCCCACUCUUUGAUUGGGAAUUUUUCUUUUUUUUUCUCUUUUUUUUUUUUGUUUUCCGAGGGCAAGGAUUUAUGAUAAGUUGGGAUUUUGGCUCAAGGCUUGUAGAACGGCUGGUCAUGAUAUAUGUCAGGGUUUGGCCAGUGGUUUGGGGAUAAAGGGGAUGUCCUAGAUUAUUUCCAUGAUACACAUGCAACAAUGAUGAUUAGGAAAUUUUAUGCAAAACUGGUCAUGCAUGCACCCAUGUGGACACUCAAGUUUUUAUGGUCAUGUGACACUAGGGCUCAGGAUUCAUUUUCCCUAUUUUAAGUCAACCCAGUGUUUCCAAAAUAUGUUCUUUUAUCAAAUCAUGCAUUCAUCCGAGCCCAUUUUGGGCGUUCGGAAAAUUUUCACAGCAUUCACUCUUAAGGUGUAUACACAUUUUUUCAGAAACCGGUUAAGAUCUGUAAAAUCUUUCAAAGAAAAGUCGGAAAUUAUCUUUUUUCACAAGCAUGUUGUUUUUUAGCUAGACAACUUUUAUUUUUUAUAUCCUUUUUUAUUUUCUAUUUUUUUCUUCCUUCUUAUUCUUUUCUUGCUCGCUCUCUUUUUGCUCUCUUUUCUUCCAUGAGAUAUUUUGCUACCUAAACGUACAUAUAUUUUUGUGAAGUAUUUUGCUAUAUCAUGCGUGUCCCAGGUAUCUUGCUACCUAAACAUACAUAUAUUUGUUUUGUGAGAUAUUUUUGCUAUAUACAUGCAUAUCCAAGGUAUCUUUCUACCUAAACAUACAUAUAUAUAUUUUUUGUGAGGUAUGACUACCUUCCGAGCUUGUGCUUGUUUUAUUUAAAUUCCUAGGAUCAUGAGCAACUAGGUGUGUCCUGAUGGCUUGUCGGUCACGAACCUAGUACUUUGCUUACUUUUGGCUUUGGACUUGGUCGCCUAUUGGUCGGCCAUGGGUCGUAAGCAACGCUCUAAACUUUUUGUGGAUGAGCUGAGGUGAACUCUAGAGGUGAUGGCGGUGCGUCUGUUGCCCGCUGCCGGCCAUCCCCAGGCUGCUGUGGUGUUUCGCCCUGCGCCUGCCUGGAGACGCAGUACUUCUUGAUGAAAGCUCGAUUAGUAGGGGGCCUGAUGCCUUUGCUGGAGGUGACAGGCACUCUGUAGAACUGACAGAGACCCGUAAUUAGAGCUUGACAACUCCAAGACCCCGUUGGACUUCUUCGGGUCCACUGGAUGUCUUGCAGGCGCGGUCCCUGCAAACAAUAGAUGAAAUCAGAAAUCAGUUGAGCGAUGUGCAUACUUACCUAUGAUGACGUGACCUUGUCGGGGGGAACGGGCACCCUGUAGGACUACAGAGGCCCGUAACCAGAGCUGGAAACCCCAGGGCCCUAUUGGACUUCUCCGGGUCCACUGGGUGUCUUUGUGGGUGCGAUUCCUGCAAACUAGAUUGUAUCAGAAAUCAGUUGAACCAUUUGUAUACUUACCUAUGUCACGAUGGCAUGACCUCGCUGGGGGAACGGGCACCCUGUAGGACUGACAGAGGCCCGUAACCAGAGCUGGAAACCCCAGGGCCCUGUUGGACUUCUUUGGGCCCACUGGGCGUCUUGUGGGCGCGAUCCCUGCAAACAACAUAUGACAUCAGAAAUCAAUUGAACCAUGUGCAUACUUACCUAUGUCAUGACGGCACAGACCAACCGAUACAUCUGCAGGGGGAGAUUGGCAUUGUGGUCACCGGGCAGAAUGUUACUAAAUAGCAACAUCAUCCAUAUCCAUGUAAAAGUGGUCUUGUUGGUGCGCAUGAUCCACACUCGUCUUUUUGCAGCGGCACGGGUGAAAUCUUGCCCCGGUAUGCAUAGUAGAUGCGUGAUAGCCUCCCUCUCUGGAUGUGCUCGCACAGUUGGUCGCCCUCUAAUAUCAGGGGGUGGCCCAGGAACUUAUAAAAGGAAACUACUGGCCCCUUAACCGAGAGCGCAAGUCUCGGUUAAGCAUCUAAGGGCAAAGGACCUUAUAUUCUCCUAAGGUGUGGAUAUGGAGCACACUGAAAAUGAGGACGCGUAGCCCUCUAAAGGCGAGGGCGUGCAGCCCUCUGCAGGCGAGGACAUAUAGUCCUCUAAAGGUGAUAGGUACUAGUACCCAAGGGUCCACCUUUAUGAGAAAGCAAGAGAUCGACUCAUCGAGAGGGCAGGUCAUCCAAAAAGAUUGGACACGAGAUGUAGGAAAUCUAUGCAGUUAACAUGAUUUUUAGGGAUGCAGACGCAUGCAACCUUUGUUGUGAAAUUUGGUAAUGCUGACCGCACAUGAAACAAUGCAAUGCAAUGAAAAGUUGUACAAUGUUCAUGACAUUCUUUCCCUAUUUCGUGAUUUUUAUUUUGAUUUAAUUUUUUUUUUUGGAAAACACAGAUUGACUGUCUUUUUGAAAAAGGUGAUAAUUCAUGCAACCUUAUCCUAUCUUUUGCAAAUCUCUCCGGGAACUCCCUCAGAGUGUAUAUUCUGUUUGAUUUAGUCACUUGACCAUUUUGGAGUGACGACAAUGGAGCCGUUUGACGUUUAAUCAAUCUAUUUAAAAUUCCAGGGUUUGUCCCCCCCCCCCCCCUUUUUUCUUGUUUAAAAACAUCGAUGGGUGAGAACUUUUGAUCUGCCCCUAUGUUCACUUGAGGCUCAUGCACGAUGCCCCUCAUUGCCCCAGUGUAAGGCUUUGAGGUACCAAUUGUUAUCUUUUGUCAUGACCUUGUAGCUGGGAACCCAUCGGGUGAGAACUUCUAAUCUGCCCCCAGGCUCACUUGAGGUUUUUGCAUGGUACCUUUCAUUGCCCCAGUGUAAGGCUUUGAGGUACCAAUUGUUGUCUUGUCUUCACAACCUCAUAGUGAGGAAGAAUGAAAGAAGCAAUUGAUUCUUGCAAAAAGAAUUUUCCAAGGACGAGAAAUAGUUGAAGGAUUUUUCAGUUGAUGGAUUUAAGUCAAAUGACUCCUAUGUAGAAGCAAGAUGUUUUGAUGUCUUGAUAAUGCUAAAGGAUCAAGUGCCUUUUAUUCAAGACAAGAAUCCAAGAAAAAUCAAGAUACAUGAUCAAGUUGAUCUCUAGAAUCUUUAGGAAGAAGUUUCCAAACAAAAGGUUUGACCAAAGAAUUCUAUCAUUUCAAAUUGAGAUUUGCUCUCUGGUGAUCGAUUACCAGCAGUUGAAAAUGUUUAUAACAGUCACUAGAAAUUUGAAUUCAAAAUUUAUAACGUGUAAUCGAUUACACAAGUCUUGUAAUUGAUUACCAGAGGGGAUUUUCAGAAUAUAAUUCCCAGGAGUCACAUCUAUUCAAAUGGUUUAUGAAUGGCCAUCGAAGGUGACUUGGAAACACGAACUUAAAGGGAGUUUUCAUUGCCCAAAAAUUUUAUCCUCUCAAAAGAUUAAGAGUUUUUCUGAACUGAAAUGUUUUAUCCUCUCAAAAAGAUUCCUUGGUCAACCACUUGCAUAUUUAAUAAGGAAUUUUGAUUGAUCUUCAUUUUACAAUCCAUCUCUUUUAAGAGAAAUUUCUUCUUCUCUUCUUCUUAUUUCUGAAAAGGGAUUAAGAGACCGUGGGUCUCUUGUUGUAGGGGAUUCUUGAACACAAGGGAAGGGUUGUCCCUGUGUGCAUUGUUAAUCCGAAAAGAGAGAGUGAAAGUUUAAUUGGGGAAUAGUUUUGUAUCUUAAUUUAACCCCCUUUUUCUUAAGGUAACUGAGGCCAUUUGUCCCACAUCCGAUUCUUGAUAACUCGCUUCUCUCUAAAAGACAGACUUUCCGGAAUAAUAAAAUGAGGUCACAUGAACGUCUUGAAAAACACAGUCAAUCAAAUGUUUAUUUUCUUUUUCUUUUUGAACCCUCUUUUUUUAUUUUGGAACUUAUUUGUUUUGAACUUUACUCGUUGUUUUACGGCACCCCCACCAACGUGCAAGACGAGUAAUCUAUGAUUGAACGGUCUUGGAAGUCCAAACUCAGGAGCACAGGUCGCUUGAGCAAACUGACCAAUGGCUUGCACUUGAAAAUCCUUAUGAGUCAUUAGAGACAUCUAACAACAGCUUUCAAAAUUGCCCCAUGUGUGACAUCUCUUAUCAAUGUCAGGAUUUACACGUGAUUCUCCUCAAAUUUCAGCCAGCCCGCAUCAAUUAGACCUUGCACCUUACGCUUCAGGCCCCUACAAUGCUCAAUGGAAUGCCACGGGGCUUCUCCAUGACAAACACACGUUGCGUUCGAGUCGUAUUCUCAGAGAAAAGGAGGUUGACGAACCUUGGUUGGGGUUAUGGCUACCAUUGAAUUAUCAAGUAGAUAUGGGAGCAAGUCAGCAUAGGAUACCGGAAUUGGGGUGAAUUCUACAGGUUUCUCGCUGCAAAAUUCAUUUCUUGGUUGAUGUUUCUGGUUUGUGCUAAAGGUGGUGUUUGUCAUUGGAAGUGCGAUAGGUAGGCUUUGUGGUUGAUUUAGGGAUAGCCUUUGUGGAUAACUGGGCGGUGGGUAAGGAGAAGGUUUGUUAUUGGCUGAGUAAUGACAUUGUUGGGUUGGUGGGAAACUUGGCUGUAUAGGAAUGGCAGUCACAGCAUGGGCUUGUCCCUCAUUCUCACCCUCUUCAUUUGCCCCAGUUUUCUCAUUCGUCCAAGCAGGAUGACUAAAUUUGCCUUUUUUCAGACUCACUUUGAUCCUUUCGUCGGUGAAGACCAUAUCAUCAAAGCUUGAAGGUGUGUAGUCCACCAUCUUUUCAUAGUAGAAUACUGGUAAUGUGUCUACUAUCAUUAUCAUUUUUUCUCCGUCAUUGAGGUGCCACUUGAGCUGCCAGGUCUCUCCACCUUUGGGCGUAUUCUUUGAAAGAUUCGUGCCCCUUUUUGCACAUGUUCUGUUGUUGCAUCCUAUCCGGAACCAUAUCAAAAUUGUACUGAUACUGCCUAAUGAAGGCAACCAUUAGGUCCUUCCAAGAGUGGACUCGAGAAGGUUCCAGGUUAGUGUACCAGGUAACAGCUACCCCAGUAAGAUUUUCUUGGAAGGAAUGUAUCAGCAAUUCCUCAUCUUUUGCGCAUGCCCCCAUAUUCCGAUAAUACAUCUUUAGAUGGUUCUCGGGGCAAGUAGUCCCCUUGUACUUGUCAAAGUCCAGCACCUUGAACUUGGGAGGGGUGAUGAUAUUGGGUUCUAGGAACAACUCCUUUAGGUUAGCAAAGGCAUAAUCUUCACCUCCUUCAAUGGUCCUGAGCCUUUCCUCUAAAUGAUCCAACUCUUCCAUUUCUGCCAUAGCACGAGGGUUUUUACUUGUUGUGGAAUGCAAGAGGUGUAGCUGGGGGUGAUACUGAGGGCCUUCCGAAGUGUUUUCAAGGGGUAUACCACCAACUGCUUGCCCUUCAAUGGCAUAUCCGAGCCAAGGCUCGAAGUCGGCUAGAUUGUGAUGGGGAAUUUCAUGUGUCUCCCCCACAGUUUAAGAGACAUGUGCAUGAUCAGUUUGGGGUUGUUGGCUCUCAAUGGGUAUAGGAGUGGAGUUAUUGACAUUCUUAUUGGGAGCGUACGCCAUAUUGGGUGGCUUAUAGUUGAGAGGCAAGCCAUAUGGCGGGAAGGCGUGCUCAUUUUGAAUUUGCACAUCAUGGGGGCCGCCCGUACUUCCCAAAUCUUUGCCUACCAUAUCUAAGGUUGGAUGAUUCAUCUGGUUGAUGUCGGAUGGGGACAUCAGGUUCACCUUAGCAACAACACUGGUAGCGGCAAUUGCAACCGCAUUGGCUUCCAUUAUCUUCUUCACGCUCAUCAUGGCCUCCAUCAUUGUGGCCAUUUGCUCUUUCAUGGCCUCCAUGUCGGCCUCCAUCUACUCUUGUACCUCCUCCGCUUUACCCAUUACUCUAGCUCUAGCACAGGUUCGGUAAGGGCACCAUAAAGCAUGCUUUUUUCUUUUUUAUAACAAUGAUUAAAUUCUUUUUCAAGGAAAGAAUUCAAUGAACAACAUGAAUGCAUGCGAAUGAUGCACAGUUGAAGUAUUGCAAAUCUUUACGCAGGAUAUGGGGUCUGUCAUACCCUAAUUUCGUCCGGGGACCUUUGCUUGAUGACAUGUGACCUUCGUUUGGUCCUUGUAAGGUGCUUAGCACCCAUCAUUAGGCAAUUUUUGAAAUUUCGGGACAUGCCGAAAAACAAAAGAAAAUAUUGAUGCACAAUCCGUAAAGGUUCCGUGACACACCGGAAAUCAAAUGGAAGCAUCGUUGCAUAAUUAGUGAGGUUCCGUAACAUUCCGUAAGUCAAAAGGGGAUGAUUAUGUAAUCCGCAAGGUUCUGUAACAUUACGGAAAGAAAACAAGUAUCGUUACGAAAUUCGUAAGUUUCCGUAACUUUACGAAAAAAGAAUCACCAAAAAAAAGCAGAGGGGGGUGUACUUAGUAAAAAUGGGGGUGCAAAUAGCAACCAAGCCCACUUGGGCCCUCCAGAAGGCUGUUGCUUCUGGAGGAAGCAACCUGGCUCGCCUGGGCGAGCUGGGCGGCAACCAUCUCCCCUAUUUUGCUAUAAAUAGGGGAGGAAGUGAAGAAGAAAAGGGUUCAGCCCCUUAGGCACUUCUCUCUCUUUCGAAUUUGCUUGGAAAAAUUGUUUCCGUGAAGAAAAUCUAAGUUGAGGCGCUUCCGAAACGUUUCCGUAACGUUUUCCGUGAGGAAUUUCGCAAAGGUUUUGACCAUUCUUCGACAUUCUUCAUUCGUUCUUCAUCGUUCUUCGAUCUUCAACGGGUAAGUACCUCGAACCAAGCUUUUCGAUUCAUUCUAUGUACCCGUGGUGGUCCACAUUGUGUUUCGUGUAUUUUUAUUCUCAUUUCAUUUACUUUUUAUACCCCCUUUUGACGUGCUUAAGCCAUUUUAUUCAAGUCAUUUCUCGCUUAAACUAAAAAUAAAAUAAAUUUCCACCGAUCGUUUGAAUUGUAUUAUCCGUUAACUUCGGUUAAAAUAAAUUCCGACCGUUCGGUCGUGCCGUAACCACGUUGGAAAUAAAAAAAAAAGAGGUAAAAAUAAUAUAAUAAUCAAAAAAACAUCUUUUAGUAAAAUAAAGCGGAAAAUCAAUCGGACGUUUUCUCUUUGGGAUUUCUCAUUCUUAAUCAAAUUGACUAAUAACUAAAGUGAAACUAAGGCUAAAAUCAACUCGCCUAGUCAAGCUCGUCCAUAAAAAAUAGGUUUUUGAAGUUUGUCAUUUCAAUUUCUUAUUAAGUAAAAUGGGUCAUUUUUAAGGUCCAACGCCUUAAAAUGAUCACCUCUUAAGUAAAAAAGAAUCACUUGAUAAGAAAGAACUACGUAGGUCUGAUUUCCUCAUCGCAAUUGAGGAAUACGUAGGAGCAAAGGGAAACACCCUUGUCGACCACAAAAAGAGAAAAAUAUAAAAAGGGUAUAAAGGAUAUGAGGACAUAAAAGGGAAACGUAAAAAAUCAAAGUCAUGUUUGCACAUUCGAUUAAAGGCUGCCGUCCCUUGUGACGAACGUGUGGGGUGCUAAUACCUUCCCCGUGCGUAAAUACAACUCCCGAGCCUUUCACUUAAAAGUUCGUAGAUCGCGUCUUUUCCGGUUUUUCCGACGUUUUCCUCAAAUAAACGUUGGUGGCGACUCCGCGCGUAUUCCUUUCGUGGAACACGCAUCCCGCGAGUCACGCGUCGCCCUCCCGCCGAAGGGUGGGUUGCGACAGGGUCGAAUCAAUUUAGAUUUUCAACAUGGUCCAUGACAUCUUCGUCAAGGUGAAACUGGAAGUAACAAGGACAUUAACAGUCCUAAAUGUGUUUGGCAGUAGACGAAGCAGCAAUGUAACCCGAUCCAUCUUUUGCCCCAAUUUUUGCAAGAUGGUUACUUCCAUACUUCAACUUGACUCGAUGAACCUUUUCGUAAAAGCACGAGCUUGGUUCAACCCCAUAACCCGGGGAAUGGAAAUUUUGAUCGCCAAUACUUCAACAACAUUUCAUAGGGAUGAAAGACUCGAGAAUACGCAUGCUAUGCAUGGAAAAUGUAAUUAUGAGAUUGAGAUGCCAGAAGAGACAUCCUUUCUUAAUUAACCACGCAUUAGGUAUCAUGCUCAAUUUUUUAGAAAUGGGUUUAUGAUCCCAACAUGGUUGGCUCAGGGUACCUAACACAUGCAACUAAGAAUGCAUCAUGAAUUUUCAUGCUUCCCUUUUUUGUUUUUGUUUUGUAGAGGAAGGCACAAGGAUCAUGUAUGAGCAAACAUGUAGAACAAAAGGUAUGCAAUUUGUAGAUCAAAAAGACAGUGAACGCAUAUGCAUGAUGAUGCAAUGACUCAUGCAAAAUGUGAGGCUGGAAUAUGAUAACGGACAAAUGCAGGAACGAUAUGUUCAUUAUGAUGCCAUGAAGAGAUGCUUAUGCGAUGCAUGAUAUGAAUGCAUUUACGGACACGAGAGCUCGGAAAAUCAUCUCUCCUUACUACGCAUUUGGGGGGCGCAGUGCCCCAUGUGUGCAGUUAAGGAGACGAUAUGGAUCUUCCGGCCUCCCAUGACAAAAGACGAGACCCACAUACAACGCAUGUGUGACGGUAUGAUGCAGAUGCGCAUGCAUGAAACGGAAAGAAAACAACACAAAGGGGUAAUUCACACAUACGAGACUGCAGAGAUCCAACUUUAAUGCUACGUUUUAGGCAUGAUGGCGCCACAGCGUAGUAUUAAAAAGGUUACGUAUUACUCUAAAGAAACCAAACAUCACUAGCAAAACUAUAAACUAGUGCUAUUUACCAAAAAAAUGCAUGAGAACGAAUGGCACGGAGCGUGUUUGCUCUUUGCCCCUAUUUGGGAACCUAUAGGACAAUAUCUAGGGGUCUCUAAUAACUACUCCCCAACAAUUCAUAACUCACACGGCUGUUUUCUAGAGGUAUCAUCACUCAAGAUAAUAAUAUUGUGGCGGUAUGGAAUACCAGCGACAACACAUUAUAAAGAGAGAAAGCUCUAGACGAGGUUUCACUAUUAUCAAGCAAGUCAGAGACCUAGCAUGAUGAUAGAUUCACCUCCACUCCUUAAAUUCCCAUGAACCCAGGUAUAGGGCCCUUUUCUUUAAAAAAUUCUUUUGGACAAAUUGUGAUAUUCAAUCUUUUCUUUGAAAAAUUCUUUUUAUACUUAUCUUGAUGCUUUUCUUGAAGUUCUUGCAUAUCUUGAGUCUUCUCUUGAAUCUUCUUGAUUUCUUUAAUCUUGUUUGAAUGUAUCUUUUUAAAAAUCUUUGGCAUCAUCAAAAUAAUCUUGGAAGCUUUGCUUCUACAAUCUCCCCCUUUUUUAUGAUGACAAAUCCUGAAAUCAAGAGAAUAUAUGCAAUAUUUGAUCUAUCGUUCACUCAUCUCUUUCUCCCCCUUUCUUUUUGAAUUUAUGCUUAAUUUAAAAACUUAGUAAAUAUAAUAUCUUGAUUUCUAAAAUACCCAUUUUUCUCUCCCCCUUUGGCAACAUAAAAAAGAAAAAACAAAGUUCAUGGAUGUAAUAAUAAACAUAUAUCAUAUGCUAACAAACAUAGCAACAAGACAAAAAUAGAAUGAACACCUAUUUAUCUAAGUCACUAGCAACUAAAAGACCAAGUUCUCUUCUAAUGGCAAAGAAUGUUUCCUUUGGGAGAGGUUUGGUGAAGAUGUCAGCAAGUUGAUUUUUAGUAUCUACAAAUUCUAAAACACAAUCGCCUUUAAGAACAUGAUCCCUUAAAAAGUGAUGCCUAAUAUCUAUAUGCUUUGUUCUAGAAUUUAGUACUGUGUUUUUGGAUAGAUUAAUGGCAUUGGUAUUGUCACACUUAAUGGGUAUGUGAUCAAGAAUAAUUCCAUAAUCAGACAAUUGUUGCUUCAUCCAUAAGAUUUGUGCACAACAACUGCCUGCAGAAAUAUAUUCUUCUUCGGAAGUGGAUAAAGAAACACUAUUUUGCUUCUUGUUGUGCCAUGAGACAAGAAUAGAUCCUAUAAAUUGGCAAGUUCUGCUAGUGCUUUUCCUAUUGGUUUUGGAUCCAGCAAAAUCUGAAUCAGAAUAACCUAUUAAGUUGCAUGUAGAGUUUUUAGGAUACCAUAAUCCUAGGUUAAUAGUUCUUAAGAGAUAUCUAAUAAUCCUUUUUAAUGCACUCAAGUGUGAUUAUUUGGGAUUGGAUUGGAAUCUGGCACACAUGCAUACACUAAACAUGAUGUCUGGUCUACUGGCAGAUAAAUAGAGAAGAGAUCUAAUCAUACCUCGAUAUUGUUUCAAGUCUAUAGACUGACCACAUUCAUCUUUAUCUAAGUAACGACCAGUGCUCAUGGGUAUGGCCAAGUGCUUGGAAUUUUCCAUCCCAAAUCUUUUGAUCAGUUCUUUGCAGUACUUGGCUUGGUUGACAAAUAUGCCUUCGUUGGUUUGCUUAAUUUGUAGCCCAAGGAAGUAGUUUAGAUCUCCCAUCAUUGACAUCUCAAAUUCGCUUUGCAUAUCAAGAGAAAAUUCCUUGCACAGAGAAUCAUUAGUGGAUCCAAAAAUAAUAUCAUCAACAUAUAUUUGAACUAAAAGAAUAUCAUCAUCCUUUUUCUUUAUGAAUAGAAUGGUAUCCACUUUUCCUCUAGAAAAGUUUUUCUCUUUGAGAAAUUUGCUUAGUCUUUCAUACCAUGCUCUAGGGGCUUGUUUUAAACCAUAUAGUGCCUUUUUCAAUCUAUAAACAUGAUUUGGCUUGUCUGAAUUUUCAAAACCUGGGGGUUGUUCUACAUAUACUUUUUCUUGAAUUAGGCCAAUUAAAAAGGCACUUUUAACAUCCAUUUGAUAAAGCUUAAAAUUCAUAAUAGAUGCAUAAGCUAAGAGCAUUCUAAUGGCUUAUAGUCUUGCAACAGGAGCAUAAGUUUCUUCAUAAUCUAUUCCUUCUUCUUGAUUAUAUCCUUUUGCAAUUAACCUAGCCUUAUUUCUAAUGACUAUGUCAUGUUCAUCUAACUUAUUCCUAAAUACCCAUUUUGUUCCUAUAAUGGGGUAAUUAUGUGGUUUCUCAAUUAGUUCCCAAACAUUAUUUCUCUCAAAUUGAUUUAACUCUUCUUGGAUAGCAACUAUCCAUUGAUCAUCUAUUAUGGCUUCUUUUAAGUUUUUAGGUUCUAUCAUAGAAACAAAUGCCAUGUUAUUGCAUAAAUCUUUGAGAGAGUGUCUAGUUGUUACCCCUUUAGAGAUAUCACCAAUAAUGUUGUCUAAAGGAUAAUUUCUGGAAGCUUUCCACUCUUUUGGAAGAUCAUCGUUUGCUUGAGUUUCGUAGUCUUGAGAAUCCUCAUUGCUUUCAUCUCUUUUCCUUUAGAAUCCCUUUCAUGAGUAUGUAUCUCUUCUAAGAAAUCUGAAACAUCAUCUAACACAUCCUUUCUUGGAGAAAUAACAUUAGACUCAUCAAAGGAAACAUGAAUGGAUUCUUCAAUAUUCAUAGUUCUCUUAUUGUAUAUUCUAUAUGUUUUACUAUGCAAGGAAUAACCAAGGAAGAUUCCUUCAUCUGUCUUGGCAUCAAACUUUCCUAAUUUUUAUUUUCCAUUAUUUAAUACAAAACAUUUGCAACCAAAGACAUGUAAAUGUGAAAUGUUUGGUUUUCUACCAUUGAAUAAUUCAUAAGGAGUUUUCUUUAAGAUGGGUCUUAUUAAAGCCCUAUUUAGGAUGUAACAUGCAGUGUUAACGGCUUCCGCCCAAAAGUAUUUUGGAAGAGGAGUAUCAUUUAAUAGGGUUCUUGCUAUUUCUUCUAAGGAUCUAUUUUUCCUUUCAACAACACCAUUUUGUUGAGGAGUCCUAGGUGCAGAGAAAUUAUGUUCAAUGCCAUAUUCAUCACAAAACAUUUCAAAUUCUUUAUUUUCAAAUUCUCCCCUAUGAUCACUCCUUAUAUAAAUAAUUUUGAGAUUUUUCUUAUUUUGAAUAACUUUUGCAAGUUUCCUAAAUGCUUGAAAUAAAUAUGUUCAAUGUCCAAGUAUAUCUACAAUAAUCAUCAACUAUGACAAAUGCAUAAUAACUUCCACCAAAACUCAUGACUCUAGAUGGACCAAACAAAUCCAUAUGUAAUAAUUGUAAAGGCUGAGUAGUUGAAACAAUGUUUUUGGAUUUAAAUGAUGCUCUAGUUUGUUUUCCCUUUCGACAUGCAUCACAUAGUUUAUCUUUUUCAAAUUUUAGUCUUGGCAAGCCAACAACCAAAUCUUUUGAAAUUAAUUUGUUUAAAUGUUCCAUAUUUAUGUGAGCGGUCCUUUUAUGCCAUAGCCAAGGAUCAUUGUCUUUGCUAAGAAAACAUUGAUUAUCGUCUGAUUUUUGUUUUAAAUCUAGCAUGUAAACAUUAUUUUCUCUAAAUCCUACAUGCUCUAUAUCCUUAUCAUGUUCAUGUUUAAUGACACAAUUUUGAGAAUCAAAUGAUACCUUAUAACCUCUAUCACAUAAUUGACUAACACUAAGCAAACUAUGCUUAAGCCCUUCAACAAGUAAAACAUUUUCAAUAGAGGUUGAAGAGAUCAUGUUGGAUCGAGUGGCCUCAGAAUAAUUAAGAAGGGGGGGGUUGAAUUAAUUAUUCCUAAACCUUUACUAAUUAAAAAAUUACUCUUCUAAGGCUUUUACUAAAUUGUUAAGAGAAUGAGGAGUAGAAGAGACACUUAACAGAAAGUAAAAGCGGAAAUUAAAUGCACAGUGAAAAGUAAAAGAGAAUGGAAGAAGGAAACAAACACACAAGAGUUUUUAUACUGGUUCGGCAACAACCCGUGCCUACAUCCAGUCCCCAAGCAACCUGCGGUCCUUCAGAUUUCUUUCAACCUUGUAAAAAUCCUUUUACAAGCAAAGAUCCACAAGGGAUGUACCCUCCCUUGUUCUCUUUGAAACCCUAGUGGAUGUACCCUCCACUAGAACUGAUCCACAAGAGAUGUACCCUCUCUUGUUCUCAGUCAAACCCAAGUAGAUGUACCCUCAACUUGUACCACAAAGGAUGUACCCUCCAAUGUGUUAAGACAAAGAUCUUAGGCUGUUAAACCUUUGAUACUUUGUGAAUGGGGAUACAAAAGAAUUCUCAGGCGGUUAGUCCUUUGAACACUUUUGUAUUAGGGAAUGGGAAGAAUCAAAAGAAUUCUCAGACUGUGUCGUUUUGAAUUCUUUGACAAGGGAGAAGGGAGACACAAAAGAAUUCAGGCGGUUAGUCAUUUGUUCUUUUGGAAAAGGGAGAAGAGAGACACAAAAAGAAUUCAGGCGGUUACUCCUUGGCGAAUUCUUUUUGGCAAAGGGAGAAGGGAAUGAAAAAGAUGAAUAGCACAAGUUUUCAAGGUUUGGAAAACCAGAAAACUUCAUAAAGCUUUUGGUACAAAGAAGAAGAAGACGUUCAAAAAGAUUCAAGGCUUGUAAAGGAUUGUAUGAAUAAGUGUUCAAGAUUGAAAUGAAUGAUAUUUUUAAAAGCAAAUCAAAGCCUUGCUUUUAUAAACUCUUCAUGUCUAGCCAAGAGGACCAUUUAGAAGAGUUACAACUUUUAGAAAAACUUAAAACCAAUUUGAAAAAGUCAAAACCUUUUUGAAGAGUUACAUCUUUUGAUUUAUUCAGAAACAGUCACUGGUAAUCGAUUACCAAAUCAGUGUAAUCGAUUACACAAGGCUUUUAUGUGAAAGGAUGUGACUCUUCACAUUUGAAUUUGAAUUUCAACGUUCAAAGGGACUGGUAAUUGAUUACCAAAACAUUGUAAUUGAUUACAACAUUUUGAAAUUAAUUGGAACGUUGUAAAUUCAAUUUGAAAACUUUUUCAAAACAAUUUUGCUACUGGUAAUCGAUUACAACAAUCUGGUAAUCGAUUACCAGAGAGUAAAAACUCUUUGGUAAACAUGCUUUGAGAAAAAUCAUAUGCUACUCAAUUUUUGAGAAAAACUUUUUAUACUUAUCUUGAUUAAGCCUUCUCUUGAUUCUUAAAUCUUGAUCUUGAUUUUUGAGAUCUUGAACCUUGAAUCUUGAUUCUUGACUCUUAACUUUCUUCUUGAGUCUUGAAUUCUUCUUGAUUCUUAUCUUGAACUCUUGAAUUGUUGUUGAUUCACUUGAGUUGUUCUUUGAUUGAUCUUUGAGUCACUUGAGUUGUUCUUUGAUUGAUCUUUGAGCUUUUUGUCAUCACCUUUGUCAUCAUCUUUUGUUAUCAUCAUUUUUAUCAUCAAAACACCUUUGAAUCACCUUUGAUUCACCAUGAAGCUUUGCUUCUAUAGUUCAUACCUAUUUUUCCGACUCCAAGAAUUUUACCUUUGUUGUUGUCACCAUAGGUUACAUGUCCGUUUUUCUUAGGAGAGAUAGUUGUGAACUUUGAGGCAUCUCUCGUCAUAUGUUUAAAGCAUCUGCUGUCUAUGUACCACUUUUUAUUUGAGGGCUCCUCUUGGUCACUUUCAUGAUUCUUGGUCAGUGAGCAUACGUUUUCUUGCUCUUUCUCAUUUUGAUUAAGUCUUUGCAAUUCUAUCUCAUGUUUUUGCAAUUUUUCAAAAUAAUGUGGCAAAAAACAUACUAGAUAGAUGUUUAGAUUCAGUAAUGGCAGUUACCUUUGGUUGCCAUUCUCUAUUUAGACAUCUCAGAACUUUAUUUAUUAAAUCCUCAUUUGGAAAUGUUUUUCCUAGUGAAGCAAGAUGAUUAACUAUGUGAGUGAAUCUUUUCUGCAUAUCUUGUAUGUUUUCAUUUGUUUUCAUCCUAAAUAGUUCAUAUUCAUGGGUUAUAGUAUUAAUCCUAUAUCUCUUAACAUCAGUUGUGCCCUCAUGUGUGAGUUGAAGUGUGUCUCACAUCUCCUUCGCAUUUGUACAAUUUGAGACUCUAAAAUAUUCAUGUAUUCCUAGGGCUGAAGUAAUGAUAUUUUUGGCUUUAAGAUUAUAUUGAACUCUUCUUCUAUCUUCUUCAGACCAUUUAUCUCUAGGUUUUUCAAUUGUUGUACUUCCACUUGUUGAACUUCCAUCUACUAUGGUGGGUACAUAAGGUCCUAUUUCUAUGGCUUCCCAAAUGUUUAAAUCUAUUGCUUCAAUGAAGAUUUGCAUACAAGUUUUCCAAUAGUGGUAACCCUCUCCAUUAAAGAUAGGAGGCCUAUUGAUGGAAUUUCCUUUUGGGAAUAAGAAAUUUCCUGAGGCCAUAUUUCUUGAAGUUUUUAAACUUUCUACAAGAAACCUGCUAUGAUACCACUUGUUGGACAAGUGGCCUCAGAAAUUUUAAGAAGGAGGGGUUGAAUUAAGAUUUCGUUGACUAUUACUAAUUGAAAAUUUUCCUUUCUUAGAUAUUCCCUUGAUUCAAUUAUUUCUUUAAUUAUAAGUUACUCGAAUAACAAAUAAGGAGAAGUAAACUUAAAGAAAUAUAAACACAACAGAAAGUAAAAGAGAUUAAGGGAAAAAAGAAUGCAAAACCGGAUUUAUACUGGUUCGGCCACAACCUAUGCCUACGUCCAGUCCCCAAGCAUCCCGCUUGAGAUUUUCAUUAUCCUUGUAAAAUCCUUUUACAAGAAAUGAACCACAAAGGACUUCCCUCCUUUGUGUUCAGUGAUUACAACCAAGAAGUUAUUCCCACUUCUUGCAAUGAACUCCAAGGAACGUUGGUCCCUUGUGUCUAGUGAUAACAACCAAGAAGUUAUACCCACUUCUUGCAAUGAACCCAAAAGACAUUGGUCUUUUCUGUCCAGUGAUCAACCAAGAAACAAAUCAUGCUUCUUGCAAUGAACCCAAGGAAUGUUGGUCCCUUGUGUCCAAUGUUUGUAACCAAGAAGACCUUCUCUUGAAAACAAUCACCAAGAGUAGGUCUCUUGAAAAGCUUUUUGUAAGAAUGGAGGAGAGGAAGAAAAAAGAAUAGCACAAGUUUUUGCCCAAUGAACUUUUCUUGACAAAGCAAGUGUUGAACAAAGACUCUGAAAAAGAUGUUAAGAAUGAUCAUGUUGAAAUUCGUGCCAUGGUCACAUAUUUAUAGCCAUUUGAUGGCUCUUGAAGAAACCAUGUUAAAAGUUGUGACUCUUGGCAAUUUCUUCAAAACCAGUCACUUUAAAAAAGUUGUGACUCUUGGAAAUUUCUUCAAAAACCAGUCACUUUAAAAGUUGUGACUCUUGGCAAUUUUUCAAAACCAGUCACUGGUAAUCGAUUACCAUUAUAGUGUAAUCGAUUACACAUCAACAGUUGUGACUUUUCAUGUUUAGAUUUGAAAACCAACGUUUAGAAAUACUGGUAAUCAAUUACAAAUGUUGUGUAAUUGAUUACAUAAGUUUGAAAAUGUUUUAUCACAAGUUGUGACUCUUGAAAUUUGAAAUUCAAUGUUCAAAAACAUUGGUAAUCGAUUACAUGCCCAUGGUAAUCGAUUACUACUUUGUAAAAUAGUUAUAAAACUAUUUUGGGCUUCUUGUAAUCGAUUACUGCCUUAUGGUAAUCGAUUACCAGAGAGUAAAAACUCUGGUAAAAGAUUUUUCUUUGAAAAAUUCUUUUGGACAAAUUGUGAUAUUCAAUCUUUUCUUUGAAAAAUUCUUUUUAUACUUAUCUUGAUGUUUUUCUUGAAGUUCUUGCAUAUCUUGAGUCUUCUCUUGAAUCUUCACUUGAAUCUUCUUGAUUUCUUUAAUCUUGUUUGAAUGUAUCUUUUUAAAAAUCUUUGGCAUCAUCAAAAUAAUCUUGGAAGUUUUACUUCUACAGAUCUUGGAUUAGUGGGCUGAACCAUAGCUAAAAUUUACUAAUCAUAAUUAGUGAAAUUUUGGCUCCACAAAUUCAUCUUCAAAUUCAAGUGAAAUUUGAAUAGAAAUUCAAAUUUCCCUCCAAUUUUGUAUGACACUUAGGCUAUAAAUAGAGGCCAUGUGUGUGCAUUUUUUCAACUUUGAUCAUUUGAGAAUUACACUUCAAAUUUCAGGCCUCAUUUGAGGCACAAAAUUCCGUGCCCCUUCUCUCCCUCUCCCUUCACUCAUCUUUUCGUACCUUCAAGCUCUUAUCCAUGGCUUCCUAUGGUAGUGAGCUUCUUCUUGACUCAUCUUCUCCUUGAAAUGGCAUCUCCAAUCAUCUUUCUUCCUUCUCCAUUCUACUGUCAUUAAACUUCAAGAAGCAAAGGACUCCAUUAAUGAAGAAGAUCCAAGGCCUACAAACUCUAUAUGGAGCUACAUCAUGUGGUAUCAAGAGCAUCUUCGUCUAGGUGAUGUUCUUUUGCUUCCUCUAUCUUUUUGUUUGGUCAACUCACUUUAAUUCCUUGUUCUUCAUCUUAUUCUCCAUGUAUAUCCUCCAUUGUCCUGUGGUUUGGUACUGUUUAUAUUAGAUUCAAAAAAAUAAAUCGAUUAAAUCUUAGAUCUACAAUUGUUCUUGCAUUCCUAUGGUUCAAAUUUUAUAGAUCUACUCUUGAAUCAUGUUUUUGUGUUGAUUUUAGGUUCUAUCAUUUUGCAAUCAUAAUUUUCUUGUAUUGAACCUUUAGAUCUAAAUUUUCUUCCAAAAUAUUGAUUAGAAAAAAAACACAAAAAUCUAAGUGUAAAUCACUUAAUCCAUGUUGUCUUAGAGUCAUGUUUAGUCAUAAUAAUUGUCACCUUAUGUUCUGAGUUUGUGUUGAAUUUUUAUUUUGUUGAUUGAAUUCUAGAUACAUUUGUUCAUGUAUUCUUGUCAUACUUAGCCUAUCUUUUGAAUUUUGAGUCUAAUUCAUGCGUGUUAUUUAGUUCAUAACAUGUUCUAAAUCAAUUCCUAGUCUUGUUGUUGGACUUUGUUUUGUUUUCUAAGUUUCCUAUAUGAUGCCUAUGAAGAAAUUGAGUUGUGGUGCUGAGUUGUUGCUGGAUUUGUGAAUCAAAAUAAGUCUUAAACUCUAUUGAAUUGUGUUAUUCAAGACAUUUGAGCAUAAGCAAACACAAAUUGUAAUUAUCCAAGCCUUAAGCAACAUAAACACUACUCUUGAUUUCUAGGUUGACAUCGCUAGUACUUGCAGCUUGAACAUAAGUAUUUAUAAAAAUUAUUGGGAAUUUGUCACUAUGAAUUUUGAGGUGAAAUGUUUACUGAAUUUUCAAGACAUCUGGAAAAAAAAUAUAAAAAAAGAACCAAGUGAUUUGGAUAAAAGGAAAAAAUAUGAAAAAUCACACAAGUCGGCAGGAAAAUCAGUGUUAAAAAAAAAGUGAAAAGGAAGGGUGCUUGUUGUUUUGGCUCGAAAUUUGUUCUAUAAUUUGUGUCUAUUUUAUACCAAUCAUAGUUCUGAAAUUUCAAUUAAAAAUUAGUGUGAAAACAAGUUCCAAAAUUAGAGGUUUCUUGAGUCUUAUUUUUUUAGUUUUUUUUACUAUACUCUAGAGCCAUUCUAGGUUUCUCUUUGAGUCCUAGCUUGAUUUUAUGUGCUUGUCAUUGCUUUAAUUGCUGAAUAAUCCUUGAAAAUUUGUCUUGAUAAAACUAUAUUGGUUUAGCUUUCAUUUCAUUUUUUUUUUUGUCUUUGGUUAUUGCUUGUCUCUUUGUUUCCUUGUUUGUGAGUUGCCAUAUAGGAAAUUGCAAAGGAGGAUUGGUGUCAUGCCUUUAAGAAUUUGAGUCAAGAAGCAAGGGGCCAACCACCUUAAGAGCUAUUGGACUAAGAAGCACUCCAAAUUUAGUUAAUCACCAAAGAGAGAACAACCACCAAAAUUGAGGACCUUUUUGUAAUUUUUUAAUUGACAAUUUACUUACCUUCAUUGCUUUUGAAUUUUGUAACAAAAAGGCCUUUCAUUGGAAGUAAAUUGGGAGCCUCUAAUAGGUCACGCUACUUCCAUUUGUGUGUAAUAAUUUUAGGCAAUUUUUCCUUAGGAUAGUGAGUGUUUUGUUGGGAACCUUAAAUGAGGUCAUCCAAACACUCUUAAGAAUUGUCUAGUUUACAUUUCUUUCACUUUAAUUUGUUGCUUACUUUCAUAGCUUAUUUUCUUUACUAGUUACACCUAGCUUAUCUUGUUAUUGCAUAAUACUUUCUUCUUGCUUAUCACGCUUAUCUUGAGUUCUUUUGGAACCCUAGCUUUUACCUUUUUUUCAAACCCCCAACAAGAAAGAACCACAACUUAGGAACCAACAUGAGUCAUCAUUCAUCUAGUGUUAAUGGUGAGGGUACUAGUCAUAAGGACCCUUUAUCUAGAAUCUUAGAUGAGUUGAGUUCCCUCAAGUUAUGGAAAGAAAAACUAGAAAGAAAAGAAAAAGGAAAAGAGAGGGUAAAAAUAAAUCAAGAUGAGAGGGAACAAAUAAGGGAAGAAGAAAGAAGGAAAAUACUAAAAGAGUUAAGAAAAGAAAACAUGCCUCCUAUAGUAGUCAUAACUCUUGCAAGAGCCUAAGUGAAGAACUUCGUGACUAUUAUAAAAGAAGGCAUAGGUCACAUCUUAGACCUCACUCCCAUAGGAGAGAAAAUGAAAGAAAGCCUCAAGAAGCUAACAUUAACCUCCCAUACUUCUAUGGGAAGGACAAUGUAGAGGCUUACUUAGAUUGGGAAAUAAGGGUAAAGCAAAAACUUAAAAGAAAGUCUACUUUAAAAUCUUAUGGCUCUCACUCUUAUCCAAAGAAAAACCAAGGUCUAGGCAUCUUAGGGGCAGCACCUUCUAAGCCCAAAGAUGAUAAGGGGAAGAUAAUAGAAAAGCAACCCCCUAAGGCUAGUAUGCAAGAGAAGACUAGCUCUAUAAAGUGCUUUAAAUGUCUUGAAAUAGGACACAUUACAUCUUAAUGCCCCACCAAGAAAACCAUGAUUAUGAGGAGCCAAGACAUUUAUAGUAGCCAAGAUGAGGCUACUACUUCACCUUCCUCUAGUGAAAGUGAAGAAGCAAAAGGAGAAGAAUCUAGUGAAGAAAUCUACCCCCAAGAAGAAGGACAACCAUUAAUGGUUAGUGUAAGGAGGUAAGUGUCUCCUCCAAGAGGUUAGCUAAGAAGGAAAGUCAUUUUACAAUAAAGACAAACAUUAAAGAAACUUCCCCUCUUAGACAACCUCCACAUUUUCUCCUUUGUAAAAAGACACUUGUUAGCAUUGUCACAUCUCUUGGGCUUGAGUUUAUUCCUUAAGUAAAUGAGUUGUUGGAUGAGGGUUUAGUUCGCAAGAGUUUAAAUCCUUGUACUUUGUUGGUGCCCAAAAUAGGUAUUAUUAGGCACCAAAUCCCUAAAAUAGGUGGUAUGAUGAAUGUUUUGAGUGGUGCAAUCCUCUUUUAUAAAAUCACUCAUGCACCCAACAUCUUCAAGAUUUAUGUACAUAGGGACUCAUUAGGUAGGUUUGUUCUUAUUUUUAGUUUCAAUACAAACUUAGGUACUUAUAUGGGACACCUUAGGUUUGUUGUACUUUUUGGUAGGAAUAAUCAACAUGAAAAUACAGAAAAAAGUAUAUUUUAUUUCAUUACUUUCAUCAAUUUUUUAAAUAGUGAUCAAGGGGACGCCCCUACUAUUUCACCAAUCCAUGAACAAGAUUGUCCAAAAUGCUGGAUUAAAUUUGAUUCAACAUAAAUUCAAAAUUUCACUACAAGCUUAUAGCCUAAAACAACAUCGUCUCAUGCAAGUCUUUGAAGCAACGAUAGAGCAUAGGAAAGGCGAAAUUAAAAAGAUAAAUUUCACAAUAAAAUAAAUAAAUAAAUUUCAGUAUUUCAUUUAAUAGUAAACAAAAGAGACUUCUACAUGAAUAAAACUAGAGUACAACAAUCAUAUGCUCCAAUAGUGAGGGAAUGCAGGACAAAUAAGUCAUUUUACUUUGAUGAAUAUGAUAGUAUUUCUUGGAGGUGCACAUUUGUAUAUAGCAUAGCUAGAUAGUGUAGACUACAGAAAAUACUCAAAAAGAACGUCUCUAACAACAGCCAAGUUAAUAUCAGAAUCAUCCCCCAGCAUAGAGUAGAGGAACUACUCUGCCUCCUCCAUUUCAAAAACUCCAUUAGAACUAAACUCCUUGUUCCUUAUAUUGUUCCUCCUCACAUAUUCCUUCCCCAAAACCGUUGAAGCAACCACCUUCUUCUUUUGCUACCUCUCUAAAACACUCAAAGAGAUAUGCAUAUUCUGAUUCAUUUUCAUUGUAUCAUGUUUCUCCACUAGUCCUUCAAAUCAACUUGAAAAAAAAUUCAUCAGAAUUAAAGGCGUAAGUUCAAAAUGAAAAUAAAUAUCAACAAAUUUUUAGAAACUUACUUCAGUUCUCUCAUCAAAUAUAUCUUUGUGAGAAUCUAGGAUUAACUUCCAAUUUCUCUGGCCAUACAUGUACAUAUAAAACAAAAUUUAACAAGAAUAGGAAAUGUAGUGAGAAGCGGAUUUGCAGAGUGAACUGGGCACUGAGCGCACUCCUGGUUUAGGGAAUAGAUCUACUGCAUGAAGGGGGUUUAGGGUACAGAUCUGGCAUCACUUCAGUGGUGGCGCCCAGUUGUGAUAGUGUUUGGGUGGUUGUGGUGUCGACGGUGGCAACAUGCAGAAGCGGUGGUGUUUGGAUGGUGGUGGUAGUGCGAAUUUGGUGGUGUUGCGAUGGUUGGAAGGUCGAAGAUGAAUGGAGGCGCCGACUGUUGAUUAUGGUGGUUGUGGUUCAACAAAAAAGAAGAUGAAUAAAAGCAACAGGAAAAUACCUUCUUCGACUUUGUGAUUUGAGAGUUAUGAACAUUUUUGUUGUGGAGUUCUCUCGACCUGGUUUUUCCCUAAAUGAGUUUGGGACUUUUGGUUGAUUUGGGGUGUGAUGAUCCUUCUCAUUGUUCUUGGAGUUUUCGGGAAGAGGACACAAGAAGCAAUAGAUCGAGGGCACGAGAAGCACAACGGACGGAGGUUAGAAGCAAUAAAGGAUUUAAUUUCAAAGACGGGUUUUAUAUAACCGUCUUAAAAAAGUUGGAUUUAAUUUCAAAAAUGCCACCCCUUAUUUUCUACAUCGAUUUUUAAAAAACCCCGACUUAGAUUUAACAAUGUUAAAACAUCUUUUUUUAGUAGUGUAGCAUCGACGCUUGCUCUACAAGCCCACUUCAAAUCUCCAUCCACUGCGAGCAUACCUACACCGUCAUGGUGGUGUGCUUCUCCCCAGUGCAGUUGGAUCUCCUCUGUCGACGUCUCCAACACUAUCCACAUAUGGAGGACCUGCACGAAGAUCUAAGCUCUUCUAGAUCUACAAAACAAAACCUUCUAGAUCUGAGUUCAUCUAGAUCUACAAAGCCCAAAACUUGAAGACCCAAAUCUUCAAAACUCAAUACUACAAAUUUUCUUAGUGCUAUGAGAUCUGACAACGCGUAAUCUGAUCCACAUAUGUUUGCUAUAUAAUUUGUUGUACUGGGAAUUAAUGGGUUUCAUCUUGGAGUAAAUAGGAAAGGAUGCGCUUGAAUUAGAUGGUGAUUGUUGUUUUUUUAAUUCUCCCCCUUAUUUUGUGGAGAGGUGCUUUGAGGUUUAAUACCAUGUCGGUAGGAAACCAGUUUUAAUUCUCCCCCUUAUUUUGUGGAGAGUGCUUUGAAUUUUUGUUAAAAUUAGAGGGGGAAAAGGAAUAUUUUUAUUAUAAAAAAAUAUAUUCAAAUAUAUUUAAAAAAUUACCGGUUUAACAAGUUUUCCUUUUUAGUGAACAAACUGGAUACCUGAUAAACUUGUCCACUUUACUAUGCUUUAUCUUUUUAUUUUAUUUUAUUUUUUAUGUAAAAAACGUUUUAAUUCUUUAUUAUGUUUUCUUCCAGUUAGUGACCUGAUAUUACAGGUAAAUUAUAAUGCUCCAUGGGUGUUUCACUUUCCUGUUACUUCACGGUAGCCAUCACCUUAGAGUUUGGACCAAAAAAGUGUCAUCCUAAUGAAUUAAUUUCUUUUGCAUUCAAGCAAACGCACAUUCACGUUAAAAUAACUAAGCGUCGCAUAUAAUUUUUUAGGAUUUUAAAAAAGUGUCAUCCUAUUGAAUUAAUUUCUUUUGCAUUCAAGCAAACGCACAUUAACGUUAAAAUAACUGAGCGUGUACCUUGCAUAUAAUUUUUUAAGAUUUUACUAAACAAAUGUAUUUAAGAUAUUAGUUAAGGAACUAAAAGAAAAAAUAUUUAUUAUAAAAAUUAUAAAAUAGUAAAAGAAAAAUUAUAGAGGGUACAAUUUUGCAUACUUAAUAAAUUUGUUUCUCUAAUUUUUAACUAAUGUUCUAAGAAUAAUGGUUAUAAUUUGUUAAAUAUUUUAUAUUAAAAAUAGAAUAGGUCACCCACAUGGCACCUCCAGAUUCUCCCACUCACGCCCACUUGUCACACACAAUCAUUUAUUUUUGCAACUUAAUUUAUCCCCAAAAUUCAAAUCCACACAAAUAGUAACCAUUGUGGCCUCACUAAGGGAUGAAGCAUAUAAGCAGCCUCAAGCACAUUCAAGUCUUCAAGGUUCAAGCACAAAAAUGGUAACCAUUGUGGGUUCUUACAAUGUCACUCCUAAUCAACCAACUCCAAAGGAUCCUUCAUGGCUAUCCGAUAGUGACCAAAUCGGUGUCCUAGGUCAUGUAGCCAUUGUCUACAUAUACGAAGCAAAUCCCAACAGCAACACCAUUGAGAGAUUGAGGAACUCUCUUAGCAAGCUUUUGGUGUACUACUAUCCAUUCGCUGGCAGAUUCAGCUUGACAAAAAGUGGUCGCAUAGAAGUGGAUUGUAACGCAAAGGGAGUGACAUUGAUUGAAGCUAAAACCUCACACACACUUGAUGAUUAUGGAGACUUUUCACCUUCAAAGUUGACCGAGGAACUUGUUCCAGAUAUUGAUUAUACUCCACCCAUAGAGGAGAUUCCCCUAUUACUACUUCAAUUCACAAGGUUCCAUUGUGGUAAAGGCCUUGCCAUUGGAGUUGUUAUCUCUCACCCUAUGACUGAUGCAACCGGCCUCACUCAGUUCAUGAAUAGAUGGGCAAAGCUGGCUCGAGGAGAAGAACUAAACCCUAAUGAAAUUCCUUUUCUCGAUCGAACACUACUCAAAUUUCCACACCAGCCAUCAUCACAACGCGUUGAUCAACCAGAGUUGAAGCCUGUACUACAAUUAGAGCAAAAGAAGAAUGCAAGAUGGAGCGGUGCAUUGUUAAAACUCAAGUCAAGCCAAGUGGAGAGGCUAAAGAAGAAGGCUAAUGAUGAACCUUCAAGAGAAGGGGCAAGACCUUAUAGCAGAUUUGAAUCUAUUGCUGCUCAUAUAUGGAGAUGUGCAUCUAAGGCUCGUGCUGAAUCUGGUGAGAAUUCCAAUUCAAACCACCCAACUAUAGUUCGGUUUAGUGUUAAUUUUCGCAAUAGGUUACUGACUCCACCAAUCCCUGAGAAUUAUCUUGGGAAUGCUUUGGCAAGAACAAUGACACCUAAAUGUUAUGAGGGAGAUAUCAUAUCAAAGCCAUUAGGUUAUGCUGCUCAAAAGAUAAGGGAAGCAGUUAACGCGGUUACGGGUGAGUAUGUAAAGUCACAAUUAAGUGUUGGUUUAGGGCAAGAGCAAGUGGAUCACAUUAGGGCUUUUUUCAUGGGACAAGGACACGGUACAAAACCGGCGUAUGCUAGGGAUCAUAACAUUCUCCUCACAAGCUGGAUGAACAUGCCAGUGUAUGAAGCUGAUUUUGGUUGGGGAAAGCCUAUGCAAUUCACUUUAGCACAUGUGUUUCAACAAGUUGAUAGGGUAGGGAUUUUUCCAAGCCCAGAUGGAGACGGUGUUGUUGUCUACCUUAAUUUCGAGACAGCACAAUUGCAACUUUUGAAGAAGUUGUUCUACGCGGAUAUGUAUGUAUCCUCAUUAUAGCACAUAUAUGGAGCUAUGAAAUAUCCUGUUAGCUGUGUUGUGUUUGGGAUUGCUACUACUUUUUGCAGAUUGUUUACUUUUUAUGUUUCUGGGCAUGUUAAAGUCAGUUUACUUGUUUUUAAUUAGUUACUGUUUAAGAGUUGCAACGUUCAGUUUUUUCUUUCUUUAUUAACUAUUAAGUAUAUGUUUGAUGGUGGCGUCACCUGAAAAAUGAGACGAUCCUAACAAGGGCUAGUAGAAAAUGCUUUUUUAUUUUUCUUUUGAGACGAUCCUAACAAGUUGCAACGUUCAGUUUUUUUCUUUCAUUAUAUAUGGGUCAGGAAGAAAGUGCUUCUCAGAGGUGUUGCUAGUGGAAGUGUGCUAGGUGUGCAGAGCUUCUUUUUGAGAGAAUUUCUAAAUGUAAUUAUUUUAAACAAGAUUCAUGUUUAGACAGUAUGGUAAUGUCUUGACUGGUAUUUUAAAUAGAGAUGGAAUACAAUGCAACAAAUGAAAAGGAAUAAAAAAGGAAAUGGGAAAUGUUGUUAUUUAGUAUAAUCUAAUUAAAAAAGAGUAACUUUUUUCUUAUCAGUAAACAAAUGAAAUUGGAUGUAAGUAAAUAAAAGUUCAUAUAAAUAUUAUAGUACUUGAAACUCGCAAAAGUUUUGUUCUACUCAGGAUAAAAAAUUAGUUUGGACGACAAAAGUGCAUGCUAUCUUAUUUAAAUUAAUUUCCUUUGCUUGCAAAUGUACAUUCACAUUAAGAAGGGAGUAUUCACAAAAAAAAUAAAAAAAUUAAGAAGGGAGCUCUUACUAAUGACAGCUUUAAUUCUCCUCCUUCCCAGUAUAAUUUGUGUCUUCUUGCAGAUAUGCAAGGUGUUGCCUUUCGAAGGCUGUAACUUGUCUCUUUUUUUUUUCUUACUUCCUCUAACAAAAAAAAAAACAUUAAAAUAAGUUGUGUUCCUUGUGCUUAAUAGUACUGUAUAUCAAAAAUAACCUAGUCGUGUUACUGCAUUAGAGCUUAAAUAAGUCAAAUUUGACAGAAAAUACACAGGACAAAAAUAAAUUUAACUUUUCCUAUAUCUUUAUGUAUAACUUUUAAUUUAUUUGAGAAAUACACAAAUUAUGAUACUUUUAAUUUUAAUCCACCUGAUAUAUUAAACUUUUUGAGCCCUUAAAUACUUGAAUGUUUACUGUCUUGAAAGGUCUAAUUUAAUAAUUAGACUACUCGGAUUAUAAUACUUGUAAUUUUAAUCCACCUGAUAUAUUAAACUUUUUGAGCCCAUAAAUACUUGAAUGCUUACUGUCAUGAAAGGUCUAAAUUAAUAAUUAUACUACUCGCAUUCAACACGCUGGCAGCGGCCAACCGUGUAUAUCACUCACUCGGUACACGUUAGACUCGACCAAGAUAAAAUAGGAAAGGGGAAACUAUAUCUUUACCUCGUGUUUGGCCAACCGGAUUCUUUUGUAGGACUAAUAUGGCAAUGUACAAAAGUUUUGAAGAAAAAGAAUAAUUCUUAACCCAAAAACUAUUAUUUUAUAAGAAACUAUUAUUUAGUAGGUGAAAAUUUAGAAAGAAAAAAAUUAACAUGAAAAAAUUCAAAAUAUUUAAUAAUAUGAAAUUUUUAAAAUAUUUCUAAAUUACAUUGUAGUCUCAUAUUUUAUAAGAAGAAAAUAUUUUAUUCUCAAAAGAAAUGGUUGUAUUUUAUUAUAUAUAGAUAAAUACUGUAAUAAAAAUAUCAUUAAAUUGUUUACAUUUGAAUUUGUUUAUUUUAUAUUUAAAACUAUUAAUUUAAGCAUUUUGAAAGAAUUUUGAGUGGUAUUUUUUAUUAGGGCAUAGCAUCAUAUAAGGAAAUAGAGAUGGAAUGCAAUAAAAGAAAAAGAAUAAAUAAAAGGGAAGUGGGAGAUGAUUUAUUAUAUAGCAUAAUCUAAUCGAAAGAGUAGGAAUUAAUUUUUACCAAUAAACGAAUGAAGUUGAAUGUAAAUAAAUAAAACCUCAUAUAAGAACACUACGCGAAACUUGCACAAGUUUUAUCCUACACUCAGAGGAUAAAAUAAAAUAGUUUGGACAACAAAAGCGUCCUUAUUUAUUUAUUUAUUUAUUUGAUAGAGUUGCAUCUUAAUAAAUUGAUUUGUUUUGCGUGCAAACUUACAUCCACGUUAAAAUAAGCGAUUGUGCUUCUCGCGUUUAAUAUUUUACAUUAAAAAUGCUAAAUUAUUAUUAUUAUUAUUAUAUAUGGGAUUUGUUGAUAGCAUGACUGGUGUUUAAUAUUUUAUAUUAAAAAUACUAUAUUAUUAUUCAGGACCGUGUCCAGAUAUUUUGGGACCUAAAGCAAAAAUGUUAAAGGGAUUUUUUUUUUUACAAAAAUUUUAAAGAGAUUUAGUAUAUUAUAUAAAAUAUCAAUUUUUAUAUUAAUCUUCUAGUUUUUUUAACUACAAAAUCAUUUAUCAGAGUUUUAUAAUCAAGCAAUUCUAACACUUCACUUUCAAUAAAUAAAAUAGUUAAUUCAUUUAAUUUAUCUUGUAACAUUGUUGAUUUUAGAUAUGAUUUAAACAAUCUAUCUUGUAACAUUCUAAAUUAUUUUAUUUUGAUCAAUUAAAAUUUAUUAAUAGUUUGUAAUAAAAAAAAUUUAGGAAUCUAAAAAUUUUUUUUUUUGGGGCCUUGCCUAAUUUGCCUACCAUUAUACACGGUCGUGUUAUUAUUAUUAUUAUUAUUAUUAUUAUUAUUAUUAUUAUUAUUAUUAUUAUUAUUAUUAUUAUUAUUAUUAUUAUUAUUAUUUGGAAUUUAUUAAUAUACACAAAUCUUUUUUAGUUGGUGUGCAUUAGGCGUGUACAUCAAAAUAAUUAGACAAACACUUAUAUCUACAUUAAAAUAUGUGAUUGUUUUCCUGGUGCUUAAUAUUUUAUAUUAAAAAUAUUAAAUUAUUAUUAUUAUUAUUAUUAUUAUUAUUAUUAUUAUUAUUAUUAUUAUAUACAUGGGAUUUGUUAAUAUGCAUAAAUUUUUUUUAGUUGGUGUGCAUUAACUAUUUUUCAAGUAUGAAAAACUUAUUUAAAUUAAUUUAAAAAAUAUUUUUUUAGUUAACAAAUAAUAAGGAUGAAUUUUAUCAAAAUAAUUAAUUUAAUUUCACAUAUGAUAAGUGAUAAAUUUUAUAAUUUUGUUGAAAAUAAAAAUGAUAAUCAUAAAUUUAAGUUAUAUUUAAAAGAAAAUCUUAUAAGUCAAUAAUAUUUGAUCAAAUAUUUGUAAAUUUGUUAAAAAAACUAAAAAUUAAUUAAAAUAACUUGAUGAAGUUAUAUGUAAUUUACUUUUAUAUAGACUUAAUAAUCUUUAUUCUAUUUUUUUAAGACAAUUUCACACAAAAUAAAGAAAAACAUUAAAUUAAUAUGAUAUUUUUUUAUUGAUAGGAAUAAAAAAAUACUAUUUGAAAUUUACAAUAAAUCACCUAUCAAUUUACAUUAAAUUAAUAAUUAAUAAGAUAAUAUUAAAGUAAAAUUAAAGAGUUAAGAUGCGUAUGUUUAAUAUUGGACAAAACUAAAAGAGAAUCUAACAAGAUCUAAUUGUGAGAUAUAUAUUUUGGUCCAUAAAAUAGUAAAAGAAGAGUGAGGGAAAAAUAACAUGUUGUAUGUGUAUAUUGACUGUAGAUCACACAACACCAAUUAUAUAUGGUUUAAAUAAAUUUUUCACAUAUGAAAAAUAGGUUGUUUUUAUAUUACAACCUAAAAAUUUAUUUUUUGUCAAAUAAUUACCCGAAAAAAAAUUGUUUCAACUUACUACUUAUUGUUAAUCUCAGUUCGUUAAAUGAUGUGAUAUACGGAGUGUCACACGUUUAAGCACUAAUACACCAUUAUCAUGUUGAAGGUAUCAAUAAUAAGACGUGAUGACGUAAUAUUAUAUAUGUCAUGUCAUCACCUAAUGGAAUAAAUUUUUUUAAAUACUUAAUUGAAAAAAUAAAUAUUAAAUAAUAAUUUAAAAAUAAUUUAUUUUUCUGGUAUGAUUAAUUAAACAAUUUUAUACUAAUAAAUUCCUGUCUUUGGCCUCCAAACGUGUAUUCACAUUAAAAAUACGUGAGCGUGCUCCUCGCGUUUAAUAUUUUGUAUUAAUAAAUUCCUUUCUUUUUUCAUCCUAAUGUGUAUUCACAUUAAAAAAUAAGUGAGCGUGCUCCUCGCGUUUAAUAUUUUGUAUUAAUAAAUUCCUUUCUUUUUCAUCCAAAUGUGUAUGCACAUUAAAAAAUAAGUGAGCGUCCUCCUCGCGAUUAAUAUUUUUUAUCAAAGAUUAAAAAAAAAAAGCUCAAGAUAGUAGUUAAUUAUAGAUUACUCAGUUUCAUGUGAUGACUAAAGUUCCUAUUUUCAUUAAUAUGAUUUAUUUUCUGUAUUUUUAUUUUUCAGCUUUAGUCUCUCUAAAUAAAAGCUUUAGUCCCUAACUUUUAUGAAUGUUUUAAUUUCUCCAUACUAUCCAGUUCUGUUACAAAAAAUUUAGAAAAGAUAUAUUACAUCAUCAUGAAUUAAAAUAAAUCUAAAUUAUAUUUUAAAUGUGAAAAAAUUAAAAUAAAACUAAAUUUAUUUAACCCUUUAAAAGAAAACUAGCUAUAUUUUUAUUCAUUUAUUACUUUAUGAAUAAAGAUAUAUUUUUUUAUUGAACAAAUUCUCUUAUUUUCAUUUUUUAGGUAAAAGGCUAAGGAGGUUUAUUAUUAUUUUUUUAUCUUUUUGAAUCAACAAGGGUUGGUUCUUGUUCCUACACAUCUCUGGAUACAAUGCUGAAUCAGACUUACAUAAUUAUUUUGUAGAAAAGCAUUUUAUGUGUUGAAAGGCCACAUAAGUAUAAACCUUUUUUUAAAAUGGUUUUUUAUAAUUUUAAAAUCAAUAGUAAAAAAAUAAUUAAACAAUAGCUGUCUGAUACUGACCAAAUCGGGGACCUACUUCAUAUACCAAUUAUCUACCUUUAGAAAGCAAAACACAACAGCCACACAACAGCCACAAAAUAUAAAGUUAACAACAGCUGUGGAAAUUAAAGUGACAAACAUCAAUGGCCUGAGAUGACGUACCCAAUGUCGGAGUCUAGCAUUCCUACGUGAAACAUCUUUUGCAUUAGACGAAAGGAAUUAGGACCGUUGGAUUGAAAGCUAGUGAUGCAAUGAGUAGGUGGGAGUUGUGUUUGUUGUUUCAUAAUUAAUUGAACCUAAUGAAUUUCUUGAUUUCUUUGUUGAAAAUUUAUUCACAACAAUAUUUUUUAAUGUUUAUUUUAUGUUAAAUUGUUUCAUAUUUUUUAAUUGUUUGAUGGAAAAUAUAAAAAAUUAGUUUUUUCUCUUUAAAUUUUUAAGGAUGACAUGGACAAUUAUUAUUUAAAAACUAUUAUAUUUAAAAGUUUAUGAGGCUUAUGGAUUACUAAUUCGUAAAUCUCAUACGAACCUGUAAAAGGGUUAUGGAUUACGAAUCCAUUAACCUCAUACGGAUUGACAAUCCGUAAUAUGUAAGCCCAAUAUGAGUUGUCGUAGGCCCAUUACGAGUUGGUAAUUUGUAUGGCCUUGUCUUACGGAUUCAUAAUCGAAAAUCCAUAAGCCUCGUACGAUUUGUCAAUCCAUAACGCUCUGACAUUACAAAAUCCAAUGCUAUAUAUGAUUGAUGUUAAUUAAAAGCAGUAAUCUCAAUGGCCAAUUAUGUGAGUUGGUUAGAGCAUGGUUCUAAUAACGAUUUUGUGUCACAUUCGAGAGUUUCAUGGCCCAUUAAUAUAAAAAAAUUUCGUAGACCAUUUUUUAACAACCAGUAUUGGGUUUUUUAUUAUGAAUUCGUAAGCCCGAUACAUAUUGACUCUCCGUAAUCCGUAAGCGUGUUACGAAUGUGUAUGAGGGUUUCCAAUUGAAAAUCCAUAAGGGACAUAUGAUUUGGUGAAAAACACAUAUAUUUAAGUUAAAUUAUUUUCAUCUUAUACAUAUUUUGAUAUAAAAAAAUAAUAAUAGCUCAUGAUGUCCCACAACUAUUUGUGGUACAUAUGGUCAUAGGUUUGUCAUGUUGUUGCAGUGCAUUAGUUGUUGUUGGUUGUCAUCUUCUCGAAUGAGUUUUUACUUCUCUUGGUCUAGGAUGAUCACAACUUAUUGAUUGUUGUUGUUGACCAACAUGUUGAGCACCUUCACCAUCGAUAACAUCAUUGUCAUUGUUGUUAUCAUUAAGGGACUCAAGAGAUUCGUUGGGUCCAACAUGGAAUUCAUGGUGGUGUGGCCCAACACAACACUGUCAAUUGGAAAGUCCAGUUAUGAUAAGGAAUGAAUAAAAAAAAUUAGCGACCAGCAGCAUAUAAAAAAAUUAGUCCAGUUAUGAUCAACCCCUAGCACGACCAUACUUAUGCAUUGGUUAUGAUAUAUAUCUUGUUAGGGAACCAUGGGCCAUGUAAGCAUAGAGUAUAUAGUUAUAGCUUUGAAUCAUUUCUGUCUUUGUUGAGUUCCUUUGAAAUCUAAAUUUUCCUUGUUUACUCAUAUAUAAGAGAAUAUUAGGAUAAGAGGCUACCAGUAGCAUUCUAAUUCUCUUUCUUUUUGAAUGCCAUGUAAAUGUGAAGGGAAUUCCUUUCUUCUUGAUUCAUAGAAUAGGAGAAAUCCUUCAAUUCUUGAUUCAUCAUUACGCUAUUUUCAGGGUUUUGUUACCUGAGGAAGCCCUGCAUAAGUGUCAUACUUAAGUUGUUGAGACUAUUUAUUAGUGAGUUUUGCAUAUUUAGUAGUAUGCUAAUUGUUAGAACUACUUUCUGAUAUUACUUGCGUUCUGAUUGGUUCCUUAUAUUAAAUGUUCUUAUGUGAUACAUGAGAUACUAGUAGCAUAAUUUAAAUAAAAUCAUGCUGCUAGUAUAAUUUGUUUUAAAUUAUGUGAUAAUAAUAUAAUAAUAAUAAUAAAUGUAUGCUCAAAAAGUGUGUCAAAUAAUAUAUUACUAUUUCCUUUCAAAAACAUUAGUAAAUUACACCAAAUUCCAGGUCUUAGACAUAUGAGUAAAGACUAUGAAGAUAUAUAGUUAUAAUAAUGGGGUCCUUGGGUCAUUCUUUGUGACUUUAAUGCUAUUCUUUAUGAUUAUGAAAAGAAAGGUGAAUCUAAAAAUGUAACUCAUACAAAAACUGAAGCUUUUCAUGGGCAGUAAAAAAUAAGUAACUUGAUCUUGUACAGAUCUUCAUUGUUUUGAGCUUAAUAAUGUCAGGUAAGUAGACUAUUCUCAAUAUUACUCUCUUUGAUGUUAAAUCUACUAUACCUCGAACAUGAUCCCCACACUGGUUCCAGGUUUCUUUAGACAUCAGUUCAAAAUGUAGAUGAUCUUGAGAAGUAUUCAAAGGCAAAAGAUAAACUUGAAUUCAUGGAACAAACAUUAAGAUGGAGGCAUGUGGCACCCACACUGGUUUUAGGUUUUUGGCUAGAAUUUCAAUGCUAUCUUUCUUACUGCUUUUCUCCCUUCUAUUAUAUAAUGAUGCAAUUUUUAAAAGUUCAAUUAAAAGAAAGCACAUCCAAAAAUUGUGUUUUUAAUUCUUUUGUUUAAGUAUGUUAUAUAUAAAGGGUUCUCUUUGGAGAAAAUCAUGGAAUUAAGGUUCUGGUUGGUUCAUUGUAAAAACAAAUAAAAUAUUAUUUUUUUUUGCAAAAAAACAUCGGUUAGUCUAAAACUGAUGUAGAAAGUGUCUUAAAAAUAACAUCAUUGGUCUAAAACCGAUGUAGAAAGUACGAUUUAAAGACACUUUCUACAUCGGUUUUGGCAUAAAACCGAUGUUGUAAAGUUACUUUCUACACUGGUUCUAAAAAAACCAAUGUUGUUGUGUACCUUACAACAUCAGUUUUAACCAGAAUCGAUGUUAUUUUUGCAAUUUUUGUUUUUUUGUAUAUUUUUUUAUUAUAUGACAUCGGUUUUUGUAAAUAACUAAUGUCGUGUUGUGUAUGUUAACAUCGAUUUUCAAAAAAUCGAUGUUGAAAGUCUAUUUUCUAGUAGUGGAUUUUUCUACAUUGAGCAUAGCACCGAUGAAGAAAGUGAUUUUCUACAUUGAUUAGUGUCAUAACUGAUAUAGAAACUAAUGUUGUUUGUGUGCUAUUUGUUUAAAGACAAUCCAACAUGUAAUUUCCAUAAAAAAAAAAAAAAAUCAAUCCUCUCUCUCUAUAUAUAUUAAAAUUAAGGUAUAAAUAAUAAUAAAUGGCUAAACACAUAUAACUACAUGGUAAAGUCCCUCCAAAACAAUUCUAAUUAAACUACUUCGAACAAUGGUAAACUACAUAAAUCCAAUCUAAACAUUACUAAAUUUGAUCUAUAACUAAUAUUAAAAAACAACUUAUGCUAAACUCAGUUAAAUACAAUAUUAAGCUACCGAAAAGAACUUAUGAUCUAUUUCUAAAUUUUUCUAAAAUGAAAUUUGUCCGCUCAACCCAAAUUUCUUCCAAGUGGCCGUCAAACAAUGGUGCAAGAUCUCCAAAUAUCUGCAACAUACAAUAACAUAAAUUAUACACAGUAAAAACAAUAAAUAAUCUAACUUGUUAAAAUAAUAUAUAUAUUACCUGAUCUCUAGUAAUUAUGAAAAUCUAAAAUUGUCGCAACCUAACAUCACGAUGGGACAGCGAAAGAAAAUAAAAGAGAUUUGUUUUCUAAGAAGAAAAUGAGAGGGAGUUGCCACCAACGUUUAUUUAAGGGAAAUAUUAGAAAAACCAAAAAGAAGGUAUGCGAACACUACUAAAAAAAAAGCUUUCUAUAUCGCCCAAUUAACAUCGGUUAUAGCUAAAACCGAUGUUAACAAAAGCGCGGUGGUAUUUUUGUAAUUAAAUGGAGUUACUUAACAUCGGUUUUAGCAAAACCGAUGUUAACUACUUCAUGUUAACAUCGGUUAUUUAAAAAACCGAUGUUAACAUGAUGUUAAGAUGAAUAUGGUAACAUCGGUUUGGGCAAAACCGAUGUUAACUACUUCAUGUUAACAUCGGUUAUUUAAAAAACCGAUGUUAACAUGAUGUUAAGAUGAAUAUGGUAACAUCGGUUUGGGCAAAAUCGAUGUUAACUUCAUAGAGUUAAAAUCGGUUUUGAGGGAGCCGAUGUUAAGGAGUUGAUUUUAACAUCGGUUUGUUAAAAAACCGAUGUUAAGUAUAUUUAGUUAACAUCGGUUAUCCAUAAAAAACCGAUGUUAUUGUGUUUAUAAGUUAAAAAAAAUAGAGAUUUCAGAAGCCGCGCGCGUUCGAAAACCUUGCCCUACCUCUUCUCUUUGUCAUCCUCCUGCCUGAAAUUGCUGUUCUCUUUCUCCUCCCGCCCGAAAUCUGCCGAAAACCGCUCCGUCGACACCCACAGAACCCCCUACACUGUCGGAAAACCCACAUUGUCGUCGCUGGAACCCACAGAACCCCCUACGCUGUCGGAAAACCCAUAUUGUCGUCGCUCGAACCCCACAGAACCCACAUUGUCCUGGGUCAAAGAAAACCCUAGAUACAGAGUUGCUACUAGGGUGUUGAAACAGUCGUCGGUGCUCAAAGGUCAAAGCUUUCUCCACGAGGUACGUAGGUCAAAUUCGUGUAUGCUAAGUUUCGUUGUGAGUGGUUUGACCCGAAUUGGGAGUGCAUCGGAUAACAUUUUGUUUGCGAUUGUACAGGCUCCGCUAACGUGCGUGUGUUGUUGGGUUCUCUUUAUCAAGGUAACACUAACUUCUAUACUUCAUUUGACCUAUUUUAUUUUUUUUGGGUAGUAAUAAGUAAUGUUGCAUGAUUUUUAGUAAGGUGUUAUUCUGUUUGCACUAUAACAGAGAAUCAACCAUGAUUUCUGUAGAUGGAUCCACAGGGUUUUUGAAAUUGCCUGCAAUUGCUUUAACAUUUUACUGUCCAAUAGAGUGGGCUUCACUAUUGUUGUUUUAACAUAUUUUUUGUUUCUUGAGCAAGUAAUGCUUAAGUAUAGAUAAUGUUUUUACCCAAGUGGAUUUAAGGAACUGGGUUGCUUGCUCUGUUUUCUAUUUUAUUCGCUUAAUUGUUGAAUGCUUCCAGAAUGUUCAUAAACUAUUCACAUGCCUCGUAUUGGCAGUUUCUAAAAGUUCUCAUAUCCUGUUAUUGCAAAUUAUGCUUGUAACUGUUUUAAAUAGUUAACUGUUGAUAUUAAAAUAGGUUAUUGCAUUUAGUUAUGUUAUGAUGUGGGAUUAAAAUAGGUAACUGUUGAUAACUGUUUUGGACUAUAAAAAUAGGUAACUGUUGAUAUUAAAAACAGUUACCUAUUCAAAGUAACUGGGUUUGUCAGUUCUCAUAUUCUUGUAUUGCAUUUAGUUAUUAUGCUUGUAAGUGUUUUACAAUAACAUAUCCUGAAGUGAAGUGCUUAUCUGAAAAUGAUGAAGGGUUUCAGCCUUUAUAUUAGGAGAACAUAUCUUUUGUUCUAAAUGUAACAUCCAUUACAUGAUAAAACCCUGACUAAUAUUGCUUGCCCAUUGAUUAAGAUGAGUUGAGAAAUGUUUCUCAAAAUGUCUUAGCCAAGUCCAAGUCCAAAAAACAACUUCAUCAAACAAUCUGUUAGCAUCAAAUUCUGCAUUUGAAAACAGAACUCUGUUUCUGGUUUUCCAAAUAGCCCAAGUUACCGCCAUCCACCAAUAUCGCCAUCUGUUACUCCUUAAUCCUGCUGCCUGGAUAGAUAUAUGCUGUAGAAAAUUCUGUUUCGGCCCAAGAGGAAAGGCAGUUUGUAAGUUCAGCCAUGACAUCGAUUCCCACCAAAUUGGUUGGAUAAAGACGCAGUGGAAGAACAAGUGAGAUGCCUCCUCUACAGCUUCUCUGCAGAAAGGACAUCGCAGAUCCUGCAAUUGCACUUGUCUCCUGUGUAGAUUCAUCCUUGUUGGUAGUCUGUCUUCUAUUAGCCUCCAAGCAAAAACAGAAAUUUUGCUAGGAAUUUUAAUCCUCCAUAGUUCCUUACACCAGUCCUGAUGCUGACCCCCUUUAGAAGCUUCCAAAAUCAGAUUGUAUGCACUACGAGUGGAAUAUUUCCUUGUUUGAUCACCUAACCAUUCCCAUUCAUCCGAUCCUUGUUGCUGAAUGUGUAUACCUUCAAUAUCCUUUAAAAAAUUGACUGUUGACUCAAUUUCAUUUUCAAACAGCGAUCUUCUCCAUAGAAAUUGCCAUUCCCAGCCUGACUGCAUGUGCUGUCCCAUGUGUCUGAUGAUUUGGUUUUGCUGUGUAGAUAUUUGGUACAAUCUAGGAUACCUCUCAGCUAGAGGUUGCUGUUGCUGAUUCCAUUUAUCUUCCCAAAGCCUGACCUUAUCACCUCCUACAAUUUUCCACCUCAUGUUGCUGUGAACUAUGUCUCCAUGUUGUGUUGAAUUAACAGUUUGUUUUAAAUCUUUCCACCAUAUAGAUUGAUGCCUUUCCCUUCCUUCUUCAUACAAGCUCCUCCAACCCCCAUACUUUGACUCCAACACCCUAGACCAGAUUUCUCCCUUCUCUUGCAUAUAAUUCCAUUUCCAUUUGGCUAGCAAAGCAAGAUUAAAGCUAUCAAUAUCUUUAAUCCCCAGCCCACCUUUGUCCUUUGGCAUACAAACUUGGUCCCAUUUAAUCCAUGCUAUUCUUUUUUGCUCUAGUCCUCCACCCCACAAAAAUUUGCGUUGUAUCCUUUUGAGCCUUUCCUCCACUGUUUUUGGGAUCCUUCAAUGAAAGCAAAUUGAGUUUCCUCAAUUAUUGUUGGCAGCACUUUUCUAAUUCUGUUUGCAAGCACCUUGGCCAUUAUCUUGUACAUGCACCCAAUUAAGGAUAUAGGUCUAUAUUCUCCCAAAUGUUGUGGGUUUGAAAUCUUGGGAAUGAGAGCUAUAAAAGAAGCAUUACAGCCUCGGGGAAUAGCACCAUUAGCAUGGAACUCAUGAAUAUAUCGAAAUAUAUCAUGCUUUAAAGUAUCCCAAAACUGCUUUAUGAAUCUGAAAUUAAUACCAUCAGGACCUGGGCUCUUGUCAUUGCCACAAUCCCAGACAGCAUUCUGAAUUUCAGAUUCCUGAAAUGGUGCCACAAGCAUGGAAUUCUGCUGAUGGUCUAAGGAUUUGAAGCUGAUGCCAUCAAUUCGAGGUCUCUGAAAAUCUGCUUUAUGAAAUCUGUUGGAGAAGAAGGUUCUGAUUUCUUCCUUCACCUUAUUAGGUUCAUCUGUCCAAACACCUUCAAUGAGAAGUCCUUUGAUGCUAUUUCUAUUUCUAUUUGCAUUCACCAUGACAUGGAAAAAUCUUGUGUUGCAGUCUCCUUCCUUUAGCCAUCUUGUUCUUGAUUUCUGCCUUAGUAAUGUUUCAUGGGCUUGGGCAGCCACCCACAAAUCUUCCUGCAGCUUCUUCCUUCUUGAAAUUUCCAGAUCAGUCAUUUGUCUAUGCAAGGUGUCCUCCUCUAGUUUAUUAAGCUCUACUUCCAGUUGCUGAACUUUUUAAAAAGUAUCCCCAUAUUCUUCCUUGUUCCAUAUCUUUAAUCUGCCCUUCAGCCUUUUGAUUUUUUCUUUUAAUACAUAAGCUCCCCAUCCUACAACUUGGACAGAAUUCCAGCAAUAAUUGACUACAUCUUUGAAAGACUUAUCUGUUAGCCAGCAAUUUAGAAUCCUAAAAGGUUUAGGACCCCAAUCCACAUUAUUAGCUUUAAUAAGAAUAGGGCAAUGAUCUGAAAAAUUUCUUGCUAAAGUGAACUACACACUUUCUGGCCACGUGUCCCUCCAUUCAGGGGAUAUUAAUGCCCUGUCUAAUCUGCUUUUAGAUUCACCAUUUGGCCUAAACCAAGUGUAUUGUCUGCCCACAUUAGGAACCUCCAAUAACUCCAUAUCUUCAAUCCAUUCAUUGAAUUCUUGCAUACUAUUAUCACCCACUAAUCUGUCUGAUUUUCCAAUUCUUUCAUUCGGGUUCCUUAUGCAAUUAAAAUCCCCAAGCACACACCAUAGUCUUACUUGAGAGGCUUGUUUCAGCUGUUUCACAUAAUCCCACAAUAGUCUCUUGUUAUUUAUAUCACAGGGAGAGUAUACUGUCACAAUGCAGAUUUUCAUGUCUUCUCUGUUGCAAACUCCUUCCAAGAGAAUGAAACCAUUUCCAGUGACCUUGUUUUGUAACUUGAAAAUUGAUUCAGUCCACAUGCACAAGAUGCCACCAGCUGAAUUGAUUGCAGGUUGCAUCUCCCACUUAACUUCAUCACUACCCCAUAUAGCCUGGCAUAAUGUUCUAUCAAUGCUAUCUUUCUUAGUCUCCUGCAGACAUAGCAUUUGAAUAUUUUCUUUGUUGAUUAAUCUCCUUAUGGCAGCCCAUUUUACUCCCUUCCCCAAACCUCUAACAUUGUAAGAGGCUAUAUUCAUGGGUCCCUAUCAUUAUCUCCCAACCUCUCAGCUUCCAAUCUAUCUCUGGUUUCCAUACUGCUUAAUUUUUGUAGAAUUUCCCUGUGGUGGACAUCCUGAUUGUUUCCAGUGGUCACUCCCAAUUGUUGGAUCAUUUUCCACAUUUUAAGAGCUUCCUGGGUCUGAAUAGAGCCUGCACUUGUCUCUUGUUCUUGAUCUGAGUUGAUGUCUCCACUUGUCUCCCUCUAGAUUUCUGCCUUAAUAAAGAUUCAUAAGCUAUUGAGGCCUCCCACAAUUCUUGUUGUAAUUCUCUCUUAGCCUUUACCUCAUCAUCAGAUAGGCUUCUAUUAGAUGCUAAAUCCUCCACUUCAUUGAGCUUCUUCUGAAUUUUGUGGAUCCCCUUAUCAUUUAUGAAUUGUGCAGUGUGCAAAUGAAACAACUACUAGUACUAUUGUUGACAAGUUUCCUUCUCCAUUACUCACGGAAAAAGCUAAACCCAUUAUCAUUAUUAUGGUUCUUCUCUAUUUGAAUACUGGACAACCCUCAUAUUGUUGAUAAAAGGCUUUAAAUACACUGUGGCUAAUUUCUGUAUGGUUUUUUUAGGGUUAUCAUUUACUACUGCUAAUUGGCGUUGCUGUGGAAGCGCUUUGAUUAUAUCUUUGAAGCCUCGAACUCAGGUAUUUAUAUGUUUAAUUUGAAAACUAAUUCGAAAUUGUGGUUGUAUGCAUUACUGGUAUAUUUGUAACUUAUGUUAUGCCUGUCUACAUGACCUUUCUUUCAUUGGACUGAUAUGUUCAUGCCUUAUGUAUAUAUAUGUUGUGACUGCCAUUGCCGUUCUCUCUGUCUUCUAUUAUGUUUUUUUUAUUAGCAAAAUUAUAAUUUGUAUUAAUAACUGUGAGUACCAAAGGUACAAAAUAUACAAGUUAGAAACCAGCAGACUAGCAGAACCAUAGGUCCUACGAAUCAGGUGCCAAUCUAAAUAGAAUACAAUAACCCUGCACUGCUACCCUAAUCAAAAAAUGCUGUUGAUAAAUUACUAGACCAAUAGUUGUAGGGUUGGGCAAAGCCUUUCUCCAGCUGUCUUCUCCGUAAAUUCCCUUUAGUUGGGAUUCUAUCUUUGAUCAAUCGGCAAGCAAAUGUUUUUUUUUUAUCAGCAAAGAUUUUUUUUUGCUCAGCAAACAUAGAUAUGAUAUAUUAAUAAUGAGUACCAGUGGUACUGAAAUUACAAAUUUUAGGGGCCAGCUGGUUCCUAUUAUUAUUAGAAGGAACAAAGCCAACACCAUAGCACCCUGCUACCUAACCCAUGCUACAAGAGUCCAGCCCUCAAACUCCCAAGCUAAGUACAGAAAUCUAGUGUUAGAUUGGAAGACCAUUGAUUAAAGUGAACUAAAAAAUCUUUCUCGUUGGACUUGAGCCAAGACCAAAGUAAUAGCAGAGCAUCAUCCAUAACUUUGCUGCUGUUGAAACCUUGAUUUUGAAAGACUAUUCUAUUUCUUUGUUGCCAAAUGGUCCACGUUACUGCAACCCACCAACACUUCCACCUAGUAGAGUUUGUGGUCCCCGUAACCUGAUGCCCAUGCUGCAUAAAGUGCUCCGUUGGGUGUUGAGAAAGUGCAGUGGCUAUUCCAAUCCAAGAUAGUGAUUCCCACCAUAGAGGUAGGAUCUUACUGCAGUGAAAAAACAAGUGGGCAGCAUCCUCCUCAUGACUACUGCAGAAUGGGCACGUCGUGUCAUUCACCACCACUUGCCUCCUACUAAGGUUCAACUUUGUUGGUAAUCUAUCCUUAACUAGCCGCCAAGCAAACAUUGAGGCUUUAGGUGGAAUUUUAAGAUUCCAAAGUUCCUUAAAAACCACCUCCUGAUUUAUCCCCGUUAGAUCUCCCCACAACAGUCCAUAUGCGCUUUUUGAAGAAAAUUUGCCUCCUGGGUCAGGUUUCCACCACCAGAUAUCAAGUCUGUGUGGAGAAAUUUCCUUCUGAGCUAUUCUUCCGAUAAAAUCAUCCGCCAUUGCAAUCUCAUUAUUGAACAAAGGUCGCCUCCAAGUAAGUUGUCAUUCAAUUUCCCUCCUAAGUGCCCUGUUUUCUUGCAGAUUGUGGAUGCUGAUCAAGUCCUUCCACCAAAAUGAGUCAUGGCCACCUGUUUUCCCUUCUUCCAAGGACCUCCAACCAGCAUACUUCGAGAAUAGAACCCUGGCCCAUGGUUCAUCGGGCUGCUGGAACAACUCCCAUCUCCAUUUUCCUAACAAAGCAGUGUUGAAAGUUUUGAUGUCUUUUAUAUCAAGGUUCCUCCAUCCACCAUAUUUGGAAUUCAAAACUCUGGUCCACAGCUCACCAUUUUGUUGCAUUAAUAGCCCCUAUAGGUAUGCCAAGAUACACAAAAAGAAGAGUUAAGCGGCUGCAGUACUUUGCUGCAUCAUGCUUCCAUUGAUCAGAAAUCCCGAAAGCUCCGAAUCUACUCUUAGCAAAAUUGAUUUUCAGACCCGAUAGUUCAGCUUCAGAUUCAAGCUUGUUAAGCUCAGCUUCUAACUUCUGGACCCUUUUAACACUGCAUCGCUUUGUGUGCAUCUCAACACACACACACANNNNNNNNNNNNNNNNNNNNNNNNNNNNNNNNNNNNNNNNNNNNNNNNNNNNNNNNNNNNNNNNNNNNNNNNNNNNNNNNNNNNNNNNNNNNNNNNNNNNNNNNNNNNNNNNNNNNNNNNNNNNNNNNNNNNNNNNNNNNNNNNNNNNNNNNNNNNNNNNNNNNNNNNNNNNNNNNNNNNNNNNNNNNNNNNNNNNNNNNNNNNNNNNNNNNNNNNNNNNNNNNNNNNNNNNNNNNNNNNNNNNNNNNNNNNNAGUGCAUUCGCCUACCCAUCUGUCAUGCCAGAAAUCAAUUUUGUCACCACAACCUAUCUUCCAAACCAUGUUUUGAUGAAAAAUAUUGUGCUGAGACUGGUGGUAAAUCUUCCUCAGAUCCUUCCACUAGUUGGAAAAUCCCCUUUUAUCUCUUCCAAGCUGGAACUCCUUCCAUCCACCAUAUUUGGAGUUAAUAAUUCUGACCCAUAGCUGCUUUUGUUCAGAAGCUAGGGCCCAUUUCCAUUUUCCCAGUUGGGAUACCCAAAUAAUAGAAAGGGGUUUCUAUUUGUCUGCAGUUCAGAAGUUGGGCUGCCUCAUUUGCCCAGUUGACCAUCCCUCCAAUAAUCCCAAACUGACUUUUGGCAUAGUUGAUCUUUAAUCCAGAAGCCAAUUCAAAACCUUGCAGCAAAGCCUUCAAAACUAGAACAUUCUCCCAAAGAGCCACUCCCACAAAAACCGUGUCGUCAGCAUAUUGCAAAAUAUUAGUGGGCUCCUUAUUCUUCCCAACCAAGUAGCUUCUAUAUAUUUUUUUUGCACUGCUUCCCUCAUCAAACUUGUGAUGCCUUCUCCAACUAUGUUAAAUAACAAUGGGGCUAAAGGGUCCCCUUGCCUCAAGCCCUUAGAAGGGACAAACUCCUUUGAGGGACUGCCAUUAACUAAAACUGAUAUAGUUGCUGUUGUGAGACAUGCUGAAAUCCAUUGUCUCCACUUUGGACAAAAUCCCAUUCUUUGCAGCAUAUAGUCAAGAAAGGACCAUGAGACUGAAUCGUAAGCCUUUUCGAAGUCCACCUUGAAUACCAUAACUGGCUUCUUACAUCUGCAACCUUCCUCUAUCANNNNNNNNNNNNNNNNNNNNNNNNNNNNNNNNNNNNNNNNNNNNNNNNNNNNNNNNNNNNNNNNNNNNNNNNNNNNNNNNNNNNNNNNNNNNNNNNNNNNNNNNNNNNNNNNNNNNNNNNNNNNNNNNNNNNNNNNNNNNNNNNNNNNNNNNNNNNNNNNNNNNNNNNNNNNNNNNNNNNNNNNNNNNNNNNNNNNNNNNNNNNNNNNNNNNNNNNNNNNNNNNNNNNNNNNNNNNNNNNNNNNNNNNNNNNNNNNNNNNNNNNNNNNNNNNNNNNNNNNNNNNNNNNNNNNNNNNNNNNNNNNNNNNNNNNNNNNNNNNNNNNNNNNNNNNNNNNNNNNNNNNNNNNNNNNNNNNNNNNNNNNNNNNNNNNNNNNNNNNNNNNNNNNNNNNNNNNNNNNNNNNNNNNNNNNNNNNNNNNNNNNNNNNNNNNNNNNNNNNNNNNNNNNNNNNNNNNNNNNNNNNNNNNNNNNNNNNNNNNNNNNNNNNNNNNNNNNNNNNNNNNNNNNNNNNNNNNNNNNNNNNNNNNNNNNNNNNNNNNNNNNNNNNNNNNNNNNNNNNNNNNNNNNNNNNNNNNNNNNNNNNNNNNNNNNNNNNNNNNNNNNNNNNNNNNNNNNNNNNNNNNNNNNNNNNNNNNNNNNNNNNNNNNNNNNNNNNNNNNNNNNNNNNNNNNNNNNNNNNNNNNNNNNNNNNNNNNNNNNNNNNNNNNNNNNNNNNNNNNNNNNNNNNNNNNNNNNNNNNNNNNNNNNNNNNNNNNNNNNNNNNNNNNNNNNNNNNNNNNNNNNNNNNNNNNNNNNNNNNNNNNNNNNNNNNNNNNNNNNNNNNNNNNNNNNNNNNNNNNNNNNNNNNNNNNNNNNNNNNNNNNNNNNNNNNNNNNNNNNNNNNNNNNNNNNNNNNNNNNNNNNNNNNNNNNNNNNNNNNNNNNNNNNNNNNNNNNNNNNNNNNNNNNNNNNNNNNNNNNNNNNNNNNNNNNNNNNNNNNNNNNNNNNNNNNNNNNNNNNNNUUUGUAAAAGCUACAGUGCUCGUACAUAACUUCAAUUAAUUUGAAUCUGCUUUGCAAAUGCUGCAGAAUUUCAGGCUUAACCAAAUUAGGAUUUUCCACUCAGAAACCAUCAAUUUGCAGCAUGAAGACACCACUCCUUUGAUUGACCAAAAGCUUGUAAAACAUUGAUUUGAUACUGCUUCCCUCAUCAUGUGGUUCAUGAUGUUUACAAUUUAAUGAUCCUUUGCUACCCUGCAAUGAGACACACACAGAUACACAAACACAUACACAUAGAGACAAACACACGCAGACACAAACACAAACACACACACACACACAUAAAGAUACACACACAUACAUACAUAGAGUCACGCACACAUAAAGACACAGACAAAGACACAAACACACUGAGCCACAGACACACACAGAGACCCACACACAAAGACACACACACUGAGUCAUAAACACACACAUACACAAACACACUCACACACAUGGACAGACACACACACACAUAAAGAGACAAACACACACACACACACACACACACACAGAUAAAGAGACAACCACAAACACACACACACACACAGUCACACACACAUAAAGAGACAGACAAACACAUAAACACACUGAGCCACAGACACACACACUGAGUCACAGACACACACAUACACAAACACACUCACACACAUAGACACACACACACACACACACAUAAAGAGACAAACACAAAACACACACACACACACACAACUGUUGAUGUCCUUGUAUGUUCUUGUACGUCAUGAAUGUUCUUGUAUGUCAUGAAUGUUGUUAUACGUGCUGAAUGUAAUUUGCUAUAUAAAUAACUGUUGUUCAUGCUGAGUGAACCGUAGAUUCCCGUUUGAGACUGAAUGCAAUGAUUCUUGUGGAUAGUUUGCAUUAGUCAUUGUAUUUAGUCUUGAAUUGUCCGUUUGGACAGUUUGGGGAGACUUGUAUUUUUAUGUUAGACUCAUUCGGUCAGGUUAUUAUUAUUUUGAUUAAUUUGAUGAAAUUUCGGUUGAAUGCAUUUUAAGUUGUUCUCUGAGUGCAUACUUAAUUAUUGUGAAAUUCAUUUCACUGAUGUCAUGUCGUGUACUUGGAGACCAAUGCGAAAUGUUGCCGAAAUUUACUCAAAUUGUUCAAAAUAAUGCUAACCAUGACGUUUGAGGCUAACAUAAAAGACAGUCUUCCUAAAUGGGAUAGGGCCAUACCUAUAAAUAAAAAAGUGAGAUUUGCAUGCAUGGAUUUGCUUAGAUGGAUCGAAGUUGGAUCAAUCAAAGUCGCAUGAGCCCAGAAUAUGAGGAUGGCAUCGAGUAGUUUUUGCAAUUUGCUUUAGAAAGAGGUCGACCGAAUGAAGAAGGAAAAUAUUAUUGUCCUUGCAUCAACUGUUUGAAUGGAAGACGACAACUACUUGACGACAUACGAGACCAUCUAUUGUGUGAUGGGAUGAAAAAGAAUUACACGACGUGGAUAUGGCAUGGUGAAGUGACUGACAUGCAUACUGGGUCCCAAUCUGAACCGUUUGAUGUAGAAAUGGGAGAUCGCUUGGAAGACAUGAUUCGUGACCUUGGACAAGAGUGUUUUCAACAAGCACACGCCCCUGUGUAUGAAGGAUUGCAGAGUGAUUCAAAGAAGCCUUUGUAUACAGGGUGCAAGAAUUCCUUAACCCUGUUGUCUGCGGUGUUAAGUCUGGUUAAUGUGAAGGCCAGGUAUGGGUGGAGUGACAAAAGUUUCACCUCACUGCUUGAGGUAGUGCACAAUCUGCUUCCAGAGGACAACACGCUGCCUAAAAGUUACUAUAAGGCGAAGAAGAUAUUGUGUCCCAUGGGUAUGGAGUAUCAGAAGAUUCAUGCUUGCCCCAAUGAUUGCAUACUCUACAGGCAUGAAUUCCAAGAAAUGUCCAAAUGCCCUGUCUGUGGGACUUCACGGUACAAAGUGAAGGAUGAAGAGGAAAGCAAUUCUGAUGAAAACUCCAACAAGGGCCCCCCAGCGAAGGUUUUGUGGUAUCUUACAAUCAUUCCAAGGUUUAAGCGUCUGUUUGCUAACGAGGACGACGCAAAAGACCUUACAUGGCAUGCAAAUGGAAGGAUUUCAGAUGGAAUGGUCCGUCAUCCGGCUGAUUGCUCCCAGUGGAAGAAGAUUGAUGGUUUGUAUCCGGAUUUCGGGAAUGAGCCAAGAAAUCUUAGACUUGGACUAGCCAGUGAUGGAAUGAAUCCAUAUGACACCUUAAGCACUCAACACAGUUCAUGGCCAGUUCUGCUAGUAAUUUACAAUUUGCCUCCUUGGUUGUGCAUGAAGCGAAAAUACAUGAUGUUGUCUAUGAUGAUAUCGGGCCCAAGACAGCCAGGAAAUGACAUUGAUGUUUAUCUAAGUUCGUUGGUUGAAGAUCUGAGAAAAUUGUGGGACGAGGGGGUUGUAGUGUUUGAUGCGUUUCGCAAGGAGACGUUUGAAAUGCGUGCAAUGCUUUUUUGUAUCAUUAAUGACUUCCCAGCAUAUGGGAAUCUUAGCGGUUACAGUGUUAAGGGUCAUCAUGCAUGCCCCAUCUGUGAAGAAAAUACAAGUUACACACAACUGAAACAUGGGAGAAAAACAGUCUACAGUAGGCAUCGCCGCUUUCUAACACCCAACAAUCCUUACAGACGACUGAGAAAAGCUUUUAAUGGAAGUCAAGAGCAUGAUAUUGCGUCGAUACCGUUCACUGGUGAGCAGGUAUAUCAGCGGGUUCAACACCUGAACACUGUAUUUGGGAAGACCCAAAAGAAGGAUAAAAGUCAGAGUUGCAUAUGGAAGAAGAGAUCCAUUUUCUUUGAUCUUCCGUACUGGUGUGAUCUUGACGUUAGACAUUGUAUUGAUGUUAUGCAUGUGGAGAAAAAUGUUUGUGACAGUGUGAUUGGGACGCUCCUUAAUAUUCAAGGCAAGACGAAGGAUGGCUUGAAUACCCGUCAAGAUCUAGCUGAUAUGGGUAUAAGAUCACAGUUGCAUCCAAGGUCUGAUGGGAAGAAAAUUUACUUUCCCCCAGCCUACCAUACUUUUUCCAAGAAGGAGAAGAUAAGUUUUUGUCAGUGUCUUCAUCGGGUGAAGGUUCCACAAGGAUACUCUUCAAAUAUUAAGAGCCUUGUGCAGUUGAAGGAGCUUAAGCUUGUAGGGUUAAAGUCUCACGAUUGUCACGUGCUUAUGCAACAAUUGUUAGCGGUGGCUAUACGAGACAUCUUGCCAAACAAAGUCAAGUUCACGAUAACUCGCCUGUGCUUUUUCUUCCAUGCUAUAUGUAGCAAAGUGAUUGAUCCAGUAAUGUUUGAUGAGUUGGAAAAUGAGGCCGUAAUUAUACUGUGCCAGUUGGAGAUGUAUUUUCCCCCUGCUUUCUUUGACAUCAUGAUUCACUUGAUUGUGCAUCUGGUCAGAGAAAUCAAAUGUUGUGGUCCUGUUUAUCUACGAUGGAUGUACCCGGUUGAGCGAUACAUGAAGAUCUUAAAAGGGUAUACAAAGAAUCUAUAUCGUCCGGAAGCAUCUAUUGUUGAGAGGUACAUUGCAGAAGAAGCCAUUGAAUUUUGUUCAAAAUACUUAGAGAAGGCUAAAGCUGUUGGGCUUCCUAAGUGUCGGCAUGAUGACAGAGUGGGUGGUAAGGGUUCAAGAGGACUGCAGGUGAUCACUCCAAGUGUAGAAGAUUUGUUACAAGCUCACUUGUAUGUCUUGAACAACAGUAAUGAAGUUUUUCCAUACAUAGUUAAGCACGAAGCUUUAGUCAAAAAGAAUAAUCCAAAAAUGUCAAAGAAUUGGGCGUUGAAAAAGUAUAACAAAACUUUCUGUGAUUGGUUUAAAGAUACAAUCUUUACAGAUGGGAAUGCUUCAGAAACAUUAAGAAAACUAGCAGAUGGGCCUAAAAGAAAUGUUAUAACCUGGCAAGGAUACGACAUAAACAGGUAUUCAUUUUACACAAAAGCACAAGAUGACAAAAGUACAAUGCAGAACAGCGGGGUCACCCUAAGGGCUGAAUCUCAACACUUUGCAAGUGUCAAUGACGCCAAUCCCUGUGUAGCUUCCAUCCCUUACUUUGGGUUCAUUGAUGAAAUUUGGGAGCUUAAUUAUGUGAAAUUUACAGUAUGUGUUUUCAAAUGUAAAUGGGUUGACAGCAACACCGAUGUGCGCACCGAUGAUAUAGGAUUUACCCUGGUAGAUCUAAAGAAACUUGGUUACCACAAUGACCAUUUCAUCAUGGCAGAACAAGCUAGACAAGUAUUUUACAUGCAAGACCCUUGUGAUGAAAGGUGGUGCGUGGUUCUGCAGGGCAAAACAGUUGGUGUUAAUGUAGAAGAUGAUGAUUCAUACAUGGACACCUAUGUUAGUCCUUUGACCGCUCAAAUCACUGGUAACGUUGUCGGAGAAGAAGAAGCUGACGACGUUCAUGCAAAUCGAAAUGAUCAUGAUGAAGGAGAAUUGAUUAACAUCGGCUAAUGUAAUUUUCUGCAGAGACAGAGGUCACCAAACCUAGUAAGUGACAACUACAUUUUUCUCUUAUUGAGGCAUCGGUUUUUUGUUUCAAUUUGCCUCCUUAGGACUUCAUCCAGCUCAUGUUUGUCGCCAGUUUCAUCAUCCACCACCCUUUUCUUCUCUGGCUUCUCAUGUUCAUUGUUGUUAAACCCAUAUUUAUGCUCUCUUCCCUUCAUGUCUUGUUUUAUCACAACUUUAGCUGAAUCUCCCAUCUUCAGCAUAGUUGAAACUCCUGUCUCAUUGUCCAAUGCCACACUUUGAUGGCCUGUAUCUCUUUUCUUCGUAUGUUCUAGUGCUUCAGCUUCAGAAUGCAUAAAGCAAUCCGAAUUUCCGAGUGAUCACCAAAGGCUUCUGCAUCAGCAUUGACACUCUCCACCCUCUUUGGUUUAUGCUUCUGUGUUUUCUUCCGUGCCUCCUCGUUAUAAAUCUCAGCUUUAUUCGAGGUUGCACUAGAACGAUCACCACCAAUCUGUGCUUCUUCCUCGUCUAUCAGGUCAAUAUCUUUCCUUUCAACUUUUGUUUUGUAAAUUACAGUGUAGUUUUCAAAAGCAAAGGUGAAAGGAAAGAUAUUGAGCUGGUAGAGGAGGAACAAGCACGGAUUGGUGCUGAUCCUUCUAGUGGGACCUCCAAUAAAUCUGAGAAUUAUAAGGAGGAAGCAUGGAAGAAAACACAGAAGCAUAAACCAAAGAGGGUGGAAAGUGUCAACGCUGAUGCAGAAGCCUUUGGUGAUGACUCGAAAAUUCUGAUUGCUCUAUGCAUUGUGAAGCUAAAGCAGUAGAACAUACGAACAAAAGAGAUACAGGCCAUCAAAAUGUGGCAUUGGACAAUAAGACAAGAGAUUCAACUAUGCUGAAGAUGGGAGAUUCAGCUAAAGUUUUGAUCAAACAAGACAUGAAGGGAAGAAGGCAUAAAUAUGGGUUUAACAACAAUGAACGUGAGAAGGCACAAAAGAAAAGGGUGGUGGAUGAUGAAACUGCCGACAAACAUCAGCUGGAUGAAGUCCUAUGAAGAUCCUCCUCAUUCUCAAAGAGGGGAACGAGCAACAAUUUGAAGGUUGUAUAUUCAGGAACUAAAGAAUUCAAAAUAGCUAGUAAUAAGAGGGAUUUGUUUUUGGGAUUUUCUGAGCACCAAGAGCGGCUACGCAAGAAGUUUGCACUUGAGGAGGGAAGGAUAUUUGCAGCUAAUGAACAAGUUUCUUAACUAUUUGUCCUUAAGAUUUUACUGUUUCUUUUUGCUAAUAUGUAAAUAUAAAUGGUAUAAGGGUAUGGCGUAAAAACAUGGUCUAUAUUUACUUCUAAGAUUGUUAGGGGUAAAAAUGACCAUGUCCCUAUGGCAUAACCUUAUAUUAUUUAUAUUUACAUAUAAGAAAAAAAAUAGUAAAAUCUGAAGGACAAAUAGUUAAGAAAGUUGUUCAUUAGCUGCAAAUAUCCUUCCCUCCUUAAGUGCAAGCUUCUUGCGUAGCCGCUCUUGGUGCUCAGAAAAUCCCAAAAACAAAUCCCUCUUAUUACUAGCUAUUUUGAAUUCUUUAGUUCCUGAAUGUACAACCUUCAAAUUGUUGCUCAUUCCCCUCUUUCUUUUCUGCAAAAAAGAAAAUCAAAUGCUGUCAAAACAUGGAUGAAGUCCUAAGAAAAUCAAUAUCAAAGAAAACAUGGAUGAAAUCACAAUUAAAAAGCACAACUACCUAUCUUUCAGAGUCCUUUGGUUAAUUUGUCUUGUCUCCUUAUAUGGUGGGGUUUUGUUUAAUAAUCUUAUACUUUUGCCUUCCAAAAAAAACUUAUCACUAAUCCUCUUUUCAUUAAUCCAAUUUUGUAUGUUAUUGUAUAAAAGAUCAUGGGUUCUCCACCUGCCUCCACUACUCCUCCUCCUCCUCCUCCUCCUCCUUCUCCUCCUUCUCCUCCUCCUCCUCCUCUUACUUCGGACACAUCGGCUUCGACGUCUGUCGUGAAGCGGACACGUAAAGCCUCACGGCUAUGAUCGUUGUCCACUAGACCACCUGGUGUUGAGAGACCAGUGGUGCAUGUUGAUCCUGCUACAGGGAAGGCCGACGGUCCCCACAAGAAGAAAUUAAGAACAUAUUUGGGGAUUGUGGCACGUGAUAAGGUGGACAUCACCUACGAGAACUGGAAGGAGGUCCCUACUGCUCAGAAGGACCUGAUUUGGGAGGAUAUUCAGGUAUUUCUCUUUUCUUAUUUGAUUGUGUGUAAUUAAUAGCCAAAAAAUUUCAUUAUUGUAACAAAUAAACUUUGUUUCAUGUUGUCAGGCGGAAUUUGAUAUCCCAGAGGCUUCUGGCAGUAGGACGAAAAGGAAGUUACUACAGACCGUGGGGGAGAGAUGGAGGCAGUUUAAAUCAGACCUCACGAGGAAAUGGUCCCUUGCAGCCGAUCAGGACGGUGUCGAGGACACUGUUUGUGACAAAUACGGCAUCAGCAAGGAAAAGUGGGCCCAGUUUUGCCAGACUCGCAGAGACCCUUCUUGGGAGGUAUGUUCCUUUGCCAUUUAAGUUGUUUUUCAUAUUAAACAUGAUGUUGUUAUACUUCAUUCUAUCCAUUUCAAACAUUAUUGUUUAAUUUUUUCAGGAUGUGUGCAUGAAGGCACAGGCCAUCCAGAAGCAGAAUACUGCCCCCCACGUUUUGUCUCGUGGGGGUUAUGAUUAUUUGGAGCAGAAGCUCCUGGCUGAGAAGACCAAGAAGAAGAUGCAUGAAGCUGCACAGUCAGGAAGCGUUGAUGGCGUCAUCAACCCUCCAUCCCCGGUCAGACGCCACGUGAAGUGGAAGAUGGCCCGCACAAAGAAGACAGGGGAGAUGACGACUGAGGCCGCAUAGGAAAUCGCUAAGAAGAUUGUAAGUCAUGUUCAACUAACCAUUACAAUUAUGUUUGAAUAUUUUGAGAAUGCCAUGUACCACUGUGUGUUUUCUGUGCAGGAUUCGUUUGAGGAGCAGGCCACACAGGGAUCGUUCGUCCCCCAUGGACGUCAGGAUGUUCUGGCCGCUGCUAUUGGACGUCCAGAGCACCCUGGAUGUGUCUAUGCUGCUGGAGCCGGUGUCACCAUCAAGCAAUACUUUGGAUCGGCUCCACAGACGUCCCACAGCGCUUCCUCCCUGCCUCCUGACGAAUUACAGCAGCUGACCCAGCAGAUCAGGGACCAGCUAGAGGAGUCCAUCACAGAGAAAGUGACGAGGCAGGUCAUGGCAUCCUUCAGCCACCUUCAGUCGCAGAUGCAAUCUCAGGGAGUUGCAGUGCCUCCUGAGCCUGUGGUUGGUCCUGGUCCCUCCAGUCCUCGAGUGAGCACAAAGGGGAGUUGUGUUGAUCCCUCAGGAAACGAUCCUGAGAUCGGUGACUCUGAUAGGUGCGGCUUAUACAUAGAAGCAGAUCCUGCACGCCUGGUUGCCAUCGGGAGAGUUUAUGAGGGAUCCACUGUUGUUCAUAACACUCCUUUGUUGCCUGGCCAAGUAAAGGUGAGUGUGGAGGAGGUUAGAGAUGCAGAUGCUCCAGUUCCUGUACCCACUGAUGAGGUUUCCUUAGUGGGGCAGGCACUUCACACCUUCCUUGCUUGGCCGACACAUCUGGUCAAGUCUUUAUCACAGCAGGUACUUAUUGUCCUUACUAUAUGUUUCUUCUUUUCAAAUUAGGCCAUUUAACUUUCUUCUUUGUUUCAAACCACCUCCGAAGCCCGAUCCGGAGGUCGAUGAUCCGCUUUAUCUGAUGACAUUGACCAUCCCAGAGCUUUUCUUGAGGCCUUAUCAGGUUAGAUGGGAUGCCACCGUGUUCGGGGUCAUUAAUCCAGAUUUCCCCCUGUACAUAAAGCACGAAGACCUCUCUGAAAUCGCACACGGUGGUCAAUGUCUCAGCAUAUCAGUGUUACAGUUGUGGAUUCUGUAAGUCUUUAUAUAAAAGGCUUUUAUUUACCUAAGUUAUGGCUUUCAAUUCAUAAAUAUUUAACUUUGACUUAACAUAAACAGGCAUCUCACUGAAACAUGUAUGCGAGCGAGGAAUUCUGAUAUCUAUGGAUUCCUCGAGCCUCAGUCCAUUCAGAGGUAUGGGCAAUCGCAGUUUGAACCUGAAAGUUACAUAAAGAGUUGGAUGCAGAGUUCACAACGCGAUGUGUAUCUUGGAGCCUACCUAAAUGGGUAAGUCACAAAAUAACAAAAUUUAAUUAAUGUUUACUAAUGUACUAACCCAUUUUAGGUUCCACUGCAGCGGACACUGGCAGAUGGUGGUCAUCCUGCCCAAGGAACACUUAGUUGUCUGGUUUUGUUCAUUGCAUAACAGGCCAGACAACUACCUUAAGGGGAUUAUUAAUAGGUUAGUGUUGUUUUCAAUACAUUUGCAUUGUAAUACCUCAACGUACAACACCAGUUUUUAAUUGUUACUCAUAUGGAACAGUGCUAUCAAGGGUCUUGAUGAUGCUCCACAGCCUAAAUCAAAGGCUCCUGCUAGGUGGAUUGUCGUCAAGGUACGUCAUUUACAUAAAAAUUCUACUUAUAUAUAUUUCUUUAUGUGUCUGUACACUAGUUGUUUAAUUAAUAUCCAAAUUUCAUUAUGUAUUUAGUGUAAUAGACAAAAAGGAACUACUGAGUGCGGCUACUAUGUCAUGCACUAGAUGUCCACCAUCAUUUUAGGAACUUUUACAAAUAAUUGGGAAGCGGUAAGUUUAUUUCAAAGAAAAUCGAUUUAUUUAUAAUUUGUAUUACAUUAUUAACUUAAUAUGAUUUAUUUAAUCAUGCAGUAUUUUAACGACCCUAGACCAUUGGAGCCUGAGAGAUUAAAAGCAUUGCGGAUCCAGUGGGCACAGUUUUAUCUCCGAAUUAGAUAUCAGGCCUAGGAUUUAGGGACAUUUUUUUAACAUUUUUUACAUUUUUUACAAUUAUAUUCUCGUACUUUUUGCAAUCAAAACGUUACACUAUAUUUCUAGCAAUGUAAUGUAAAGAGUAAAAUCAUUUGGUUCAAAUUCUAAGAUUAAUUUUUAGUCUCACUUAAAAUCCAAUUUCAUGACACUAGUGAUCAAAUAGAAUCAAGCAUUACGAGUAGAAUGAAAUUACCAACAAUGAGUAGAAAUGAUGAAUACAUAUAUAAUAUCAAAAGGGACACGUAAAGGUAUAAAGAUUACGUCUAAUCCUUAAGAAAAACAAACCAAUCAUUGCGUAUGGCACAAGACUAACAAGAGAAACGACGAAGGAAGUAAUCCACGGUCAUAACUCUCCAGCGCCUUGGCUCCACUUUUCCUAUGGGGCGCACACACACACACGACUAAAAUAUGUUUGUAAUCCUAAUAUAAAAAUACCUAAAUUUUGUAUUUGCUUCAUAAUUUUUUUUUGCUUUAUUUUUUUGACAUGUGAUAAAACAAAAAAUUUGUUUUUGGUUUUUGACAUAUUUCUUUAGCUUUUGAUAAAUUAAUAAAUUGUGUUUGCAUUCUAAUAAUUUUUUUCAUUUAUUAUUAGUUGAUUUGAAAACAACUAAUGAUAAAUAAAAAAAUUAAAAAUAAGAAAAUAUAAAAUUCAUUAAUUUAUCGUGACUUAAAAAAAUGUGAAGAAUCAAAAAUAAAAUUAUUAUUUUAAUAGAAACUUAAUACAAAAAAAAUUAUUAGAAAACAAACUCAAAAUUCAUAUAUUUAUCAAAAAUUAAAAAUAUAUUUUAACCUAAAAUGAAAUUAUGCCAAACCCUUCUGAUAUGCUCUGUUAUCUUAUUGAUUAAAAUAUUUAAUUUUGCAAUUUCGUAUUGAAAUUCAUCGUAACAAAUAGCAGUCCUCAAUCAUCAAAUAAAAAUAUAGUGAAUAAAACAGAAAGAAACAUAUAUAUAUAUAUAUAUUUAACUCUUGAGAUCUAGAAGAUUUAGAACCCAAAUGCUUUAAUCAAAGCAUUAAAAUAUUUCUACCUUUGACCGAAAAGAAGGAAAUAAAUCAUUAUUGAAUACUUUAAUUAAAGCGCUAUAAAGAGCUCCUGAGAAAGGUAAGGACCAUUCCAAUAUAGCCUCAAGCACAUUGAGGUCUUCACUCACCUAAAAUGGUAACCACUGUGGCUUCUUACAACGUCACUCCAUAUCAACCAACUCCCAAUGAUCCUUUAUGGCUAUCAGAUAGCGACCAACUUGGGGUCCUAGGCCAUGUAGCCACCAUCUACAUUUACAAAGCAAAACCCAACAGCGACACCAUUGAGAGGUUGAGAAACUCUCUUAGCAAGCUUUUAGUGUACUACUACCCAGUAGCUGACAGGUUGAGCUUGACAGAAAGUGGUCGAAUGGAAGUGAAUUGCAACACAAAGGGAGUGACGUUGAUUGAAGCUGAAACAACAAAAACAUUUGGUGAUUAUGGAGACUUUUCAGCGUCAGGGUCGACCGAUGAACUUAUUCCAAAAGUUGAUGAUACUCAUCCUACAGAGGAGAUUCCCCUACUGCUAUUGAAUUAACAAGGUUCCUUGGUGGUGAAGGCCUUGCCAUUGGAGUUCUUAUCUCUCAUCCUUUGACUGAUGCGACUGGCCUGAUUCACUUCAUGAACAGAUGGGCAAAGCUGACUCGAGGAGAAGAACUAAACCCUGAUGAAAUGCCAUUUCUCGAUCGAACACUACUCAAAUUAUUACCAAAUCAGGCAUCAACACCAAGCGUUAAACUCCAAGAGUUGAAGCCUGCACCACAAACACUAGGAAAAGAGCAGAAAAAGAGAAGUGUUGCAUUGCUAAAACUCACAUCAAGCCAGAUAGAGAGGCUAAAGAAGAAGGCUAAUGAUCACCCUUCAAAAGAAGGGUCCAGACCUUAUAGCAGAUUUGAAGUUGUUGUUGCUCAUAUAUGGAGAUGUGCAUCUAUGGCUCGUGCUGAAUCUGGUGAGAAUUCAAACCAACCAAUUCUAGUUCGGUUUAGUGUUAAUUUUCGCAAUAGAUUGAAACCGCCCCUACCUCAGAAUUAUUUUGGGAAUGCUUUGGCAAAAGUAGCGACACCUGAAUGUUAUGAGGGAGAUAUCAUAUCAAACCCAUUAGGAUUCACUGCU
rnacentral:lncRNA from 1 species